rnacentral:lncRNA from 1 species
UCAUACGGUGAACUAGCAAAGGUAACUGGUCAUUUCUCGCUCAAUAACCUAAUUGGUCGAGGUGGUUUUGGUCAUGUUUUUAAGGCAUCCUUAGAUGGUGAGAUCUGUGCUAUUAAGAGACUUGAUUUUCCGGAUGUACAAUCCGAAGGAGGUUUGGAGAGGGAGAUUAUGGUCGUCAAAAGUGUCAGUCACAAAAACCUCGUUGAAUUGGUUGGUUACUGUAUUGAUGGAGCCAAUAGAUUGCUUAUUUUAAAGUAUUUUCCAAAUGGGUCCUUGAGAUCUAAAUUACAUGGUGAGUCCCGUAUAUCCUUUCUUUUUACUUUUAUGUUCGUAUAACUAAUCCAUAUAACAUGAUUAAUCUUAAAAGUUACAAAUGGUAUUGUAGGGAGUGGGGAUGUUUUGGACUGGGAAAAAAGAAUGAAGAUCGCCACAGGUUCUGCAAAAGGAUUGGAAUAUUUACAUGAACACUGUGAGUAUUUAGUACUAUAUAUUCUUACCCGGCAAGAUCUUAUGAAUUUAUUUAUUUAUUUUUAUCUAUAUUAAUAAUUUAUUUUCUCUCAAAAUUUAUAUUUUAUAUUUUUUUCAGGUAAACCUAAAAUUAUCCAUUUAGAUAUCAAACCAGAUAAUAUUCUUCUUAAUCAAGAUUUUGAACCUAAGGUGAGAUAAUUUUAUAACAAAUAAAUAUUUUAUUUAUAUUAUCACAUAUUUAGAGUAAAAUCUUGAUAAUUGAAUAUUAAAAUUUUAUUUUUCAAAAAUAUUGAAAAAUUAUAUGAACUCCUUAAUUACAUAAUUUUAUUUUUGUGUUAAUUAAUAAAUCUGGAUUCUAAUUCUUUUUUGGUUUAGCCAUAAAUUUUUGGUUUUUUUAAUAAAAUUUAUUGCUUAUAAAAAAAUUAAUAAAUCCACCUUAGUAGGUUUCUUUUUUUUUUCAUGAUUUAAUAUUUUCUUAAUAAACCUUAUUGAAGUACGGAAAUUGUGUAAUUUAUCAAAUAGAAAGGUAAAAGAGUGUAUAUUCGUGGAAUUAAGUGUGAAGUUUCAACCUUAAAUUAAUAUAUACAUUAUAUAUAAAUAGCAUAAAUAAAUUUAUUAAUUAAUUUAAAUAAUUUGUUUAGAUAACAGAUUUUGGACUUGCUCAUUUUUUUUCGACGGUGCUACCCACAUAUCCAAAUCAUCAGUUAUGGGAACCCAUGUGUAAGAUGUAACCUCCUCUUCUAUCAUUUAAUUGCAAUGCUAUUAUUGUCUUUCUUUUUUCAGUGCCAUUAUUAUCUACCCUUAGAAUAGUUUAAAAAUAAAAUUAAAAUAGAUAAAAUAAUACAUAAAAAGAUAUUAGUACUCCUUAACUUGAUGGUAUUAGUUUCUUAAGAAAUCUUAACAUAAAUUUUAGUUCUGUUAAUUUUAUUGCAGCUAUGAAGAUCCAUUGACAACAAAACUGGGAAAGUAUUCUGAUAAAUCUGAUAUUUAUUCUUUUGGAGUUACACUUUUAGAGCUGAUUACUAGAAGAAAACCUAUACACAAUGGCACUGACAUUGUUAUUUGGGUAUGACUCUGUUUGCAUUAAUACAACUUUGAUAUAAAAAUUCUAUUUUUACCUUAUAAAGUUUUGAAUUUAGAUCUCAAUUGGAGCUAUUUAGAUUUCAAUUCAAUAUAUUUAUGAUCUAUUAAUAAAUAAUUUUUUUAAUCAAUAUCUUAUAGGCAAAUCAUCUAAUUAAAAAGGCUUUGGAGGGAAGAUAUACAAACUUUGUAGAUUCUAAUUUACAAUCCUUUGAUCAUGAACAAAUGUAUCAAAUGGUUUCUUGUAUUAAUUCUUGCAUAAAUCAACCACUAAACUCUCGGCCAACAAUGGAAAAGGUAAAACUUUUCACAUAUUUAAUUUAAUUUUAGCUAUAUAUUAUAUAAUUUUAAUUAAUUUUGUGAACUCGAGAGAUUACAUAAUUGACUUGUAAUCAUUUUAUUGCUAUGUCAUGUAGAUACGUCUAGUUCUUGAAGGAAAAUCGCCUCCAGAGGAAUUAUACGAUCAUGAAUUACAAUGGAGUAUUAUACAUAGAGGUUUAUAUUCUUUUAUAUUAAUUUAUUAGAAAUUAUAUGCAUAUUUAUACUAAAGCUCGAUCAAAUUGAUGCCUAAAUUAAUUUCCUAAAUUAAUUUUCAUUUAACUUGUGUCAUAUCUUAAAAUUAGAAACAAAUGUUGAUUUUCAACUGCAUAAAUAUUAAUUUUUUAAUUUGAAACGUAGAAUAAAUUUAUUAUUAUAUUUUAUAGAAAGAAAAUGAAUAAUAAUUUUGAGAUAAUAAAAUAAAAUAAAUAAAAAUUAUGGAACGGAAAGAAUAUUAUUUAAUUAUUUAAGUAAAGGUAAAUAAAUAGAAAUAAUGAAGCCGUGAAUAGUUUUUUGAUAGGAAAAAAAAUAAUUAAUGUCCAUGAAAUCAUUUUCUAUUUUGAGAUAGUUUAAUUUAUUUUAAAAGAUCUUAUAACAUAAUUAUUUGUUUAUAUUAUAUACAUAUUGUUUGACAAAUUCUUAAUAAGAUGAUUUAGAUUGUUUACAUAAUAAACUUAUUUUUUUAUAUAGUUAUAGUCUUUUUAGGUAAAUUUCAAUCAUAUAGGUUAUUCGAAUUUAUAUUAAAAUUUGUCUAAAACACUAAUAAUUCACUAUAUGAAAUUAAGAAAAGGAAAAAUAAAAGUAUGAAAAUUAAUUAGUAAGCAUGGUUAUUUGGCUUAAUUAAUAGAGAUAAUUUACUCAUAAAGCUUGCUUUAUGUUCACAUAUGGAACAACUUUAUUUAAAAAAAAUUAUUGUAAAAUAUAUAUAGCUUUUUGCUCUAUUUUCUUUGAGAGUUGCAAAUUAUAUUAAGAAAACAAAAAAUCUGAACUUUUCAUCAAGCUCACGAGAUCAGUUGGAAAAUUCUUAUCUUAAUUUCUUUGCUUUCUAUAUAUGUAUAUGCAAUGGUUCCACAAAUUAGAUAUAUACACUAACUAAAUAUGGCAUGCUAUGGUUUGCGUAGAUGACGAAUCUAGCUCAUACUUUGAAGAGAUUGAUCAAAUUGAAGAAUCUGGCCCAUUGCAUGAAAAGAAUUAUAAGGGUAUUAGGCCGAAGCCAAAUUCAUUUAGUGAACUAGCAGUGGCAAAUUAUAAGGGUGGGCUAAAGCCAUAUUCAUUCAGUGAACUAGCAAAGGCAACUGAUCAAUUCUCGCUUCAACGCCAAUUUGGCCAAGGUGGUUUUGGUCAAGCUUUUAUGGCAUCCUUAGAUGGUAAGAUCCGUGUUGUCAAGAAACUUAAUAAUUUUCCAGAUGUACAGUCUGAAGGAGAUUUCGAGAGGGUGAUUAUGGUUCUCAAUGGAGUCCGUCACAAAAAUCUUGUUAAGUUAGUUGGUUAUUGCAUUGAGGGAGCAAAUAGAUUGCUUAUUUCAAAGUUCUUUCCCAACAUGUCAUUGAGAUAUCAAUUAUACAGUGAGUCCCAUAUCCUUUCUUUUGCCUAUGUUCAUAUAACUAAUUAAUAUCACAUAAUUAGUCUUACAAAUUACAAAUGAUUUUGUAGGAAAGGGGAACGCUUUAGACUGGAAAAAAAGAAUGAAUAUUGCUAUAGGUUCUGCAAGAGGAUUAGAAUAUUUACAUGAAUACAGUGAGUACUUUUAAUUUUUGAGAGUGAUUUUUUUUUUAAAUUUUAUUUUUAUUUGUUUUAAUAAUUUAUUUCCUCUAAAAGUUUUAUGCUAAUAUUAUUUUCAGGUAAACUUAAAAUCAUACAUUUAUUUAUCAAGUCAGAUAAUAUUCUUCUUGAUAAUGACUUUAAUCCUAAGGUAAGAUAAUUUAUAAAUUUUAUUUAUAUCACUACAAUGUGGAAUCUUCAUCAUUAGAUUCCGAAAUUUUAUUUUUGAAAAAUUAUGUGAACCCAUUAGUUUGAUUGUUGUAAUUCAUUAAUAAUGAGGCUUAACAAGGUUUCUUGUCUUUUUUCAUGCUUUACUACUUUCUUAAUAAACCUUAUUGAAGUACGGAAAAUAGUGUAAUUUAUCAAGUAAAUAUAUAUAUAUAUAUUCAUGAAAUUAAGUAGUAAAUAACUACACCUUUAAAUUAAUAUAUACAUUAUAUAUAUGCACAGCAUAAUAAAUUUAUUAAUCUACUUAAAUCACAUGUCUUAGAUUUCAGAUUUUGAACGUUCCCUAUUCUUUAGGGAUGCUACUACUCAUGUGUUCAGAUCAUCAACUCUCGGAACUCACAUGUACGUAAAAAGAAAAAAAUUUCUUUUUAUCAUUCAAUUACAUCACUAUUAUCGUCUCUUUUCUUUCGGUACUAUUAUUAUCUAAUCUUAGAAUAAUUUGAAAAAUAAAAUAAAAAUUAAAACAAAGAAAAAAACACAUAAAAAGAAAUUAGGAUUCCUUAUUUGAAAAUAUUAGGUUUUUUAAAAAAAUCUUAAUAUAAAUUUUAAUUGUGAUGAUUCCAUUGCAGUUAUGCAGAUCCAUUGUCAACAAAAUUAGAAAAAUAUUCGGAUAAAUCCGAUGUUUAUUCUUUUGGUGUUAUACUUUUGGAACUGAUUACCGGAAGAAAGCUCAAGAUGGAUGAAAACAUUGACAUCGUUACUUGGGUAUGGCUUUCUUACUUGUAAUAAUUUAAUAUAAAAAUUGCAAUAUAAAAUUAUAAUAUAAGAAUCAAUAAGAUAAAAAAAAGAAUUAAAUUUAAAUCUCCAUUGGAUUGGAUGUAUGCAAAUAAAAUAAUAAAGCAUUCUUUAUAGUCACAUUAAAAACAUUGAAAAAGACAAAACUAUAUGCUAUAAGUUAAAUACAAAUGCACAUGUAACAUGCAGUUAUGAUUCAUUAAUAAUAAAUAACUUAUUAAUCAAUAUCUUGUAGGCACAACCUCUAAUAGAAAAGGCUUUGGAGGGAGAAUAUAUGGAUUUUGUAGAUCCAAGGUUGCAAUUGUUUGACGAUCAAGAAAUGCAUCGAAUGAUUUUUUGCUCUAAUGCUUGCAUAAAUUAACCGUUAAGAUCUCGUCCAUCGAUGAAAAUGGUAAAAUUUAUUCACAUAAUUAAUUUUGAUAUAUUUCACUAUUAUUGUUUAUUUUCAAUUAAUUUUAUAGAAACAUUGAGAGAGUACAUAUUUGACUUAUAAAUCUUUCUAUCAUUGAUAUGUCAUGUAGAUACUUCUAGCUCUCGAAGGAAUUCUUCCUUUAAAUUCUUUGUGAUGAGAUGAAUGACAACAAAUUGCGAUUGGAAGCUACUCAUAAAGGUCCGUUUCUUAUAAAGAAUGGGAAUAUCUAUUUCGAAUGUUAUUCAUUUUCUAUAGAUUUAUUAAAUAAAAAAAUUUAAAAGUAUACGGUUUGUUAUAUUUAUUCUAAAUUUAAAAUUUUGAACAAUAAAAUCAAUUUUUUUUACAUUUACUUCAAUUAAUUUUGAUAAAAAAAAUUUUAAUCUACGUGUCAUAUCACAUAGGUUUAUUUUUUGCAAGGCCUACUCAAUAAAAAAAUUCAAAAUUAACAUUAAAUUCAUAUUUAUAUUGAAAACUUUUGAACAAUAAAAUCAAACCUUUUUUAAUUUAACACAAUUAUAAUCAAUAGGACUAAAUAAAUUAAAUCUGAAAAGUUAAUGAUAAAUUACAAUAUAAUCCUUAAAAUUUUAUGUUAACAAAACAUAUAGUCUUUUAAUUUAACAUAUAGUCAUUUAUAAAUUAUAAUGUAGUCCCUAAAUUUAUCAUAUGUAAUAUUAAAUAUAUUAUAUUAAAUAAAUAUUUAUUAUAAAUAAAUUUUCAUUGCAUAAAAUAUCACAUACAAAUAUUAUAUAAUAAAAUAUUUUAUUGAAUAUUUAAACUCAAUAUUAUAAAUAUAUUCAUAUUAUUUCUUUAUUUAAAAGGAGUAGGAUAUGAACUUAAUUCACCUUUUAAAAAUAGAAGUAUCCGUCUCAGUUCAUCUACUUGGUGAUUUUGCUUUUUUCCUUUAAUAAUAUUCCUCUUCUUAUUUGAGAAGAUGGAUUGUUUUCCCAAACCCAUUGCCUUUUGGAGAAGAUGAAUAUGUUACAUUUAAUAAAACCUUAAACCUUUCUCUUCUUAUUUUUAAUAGACCAGAGUUUUCCUUAUCAUUUUAAGCUUUUCUCUUUUUAUUAUUUUCUUUAAACGAUGACUUAUUACAUUAUUUUCUAUAUUAAAUAUGACCAAGCUUAUAAAAUAAUCCUUUUUAUUUAAUCUCAAUAUCAAAUACUAUAUGAAAUUUUUUAAAAUAUCGAUAAAUUUUUUCAUUAGUAAUUCAAUAAAAAUCUAUUAGCAAAUAAUACAAUCUAUUUUUAAAAGUUUCGCUGGUAAAUUUUUACUAACAGAUUUUAAAUUUAUUAGCACCACUAUGAAAUUUACCAAUAUAAAUUCUCAUUUUUUAUUCAAUUCGGAUAGUAGUGUGGAAUUUUUCGGAUUGAGUUACAAUUUGAUGCAUAAAGAAAACAUACAUAAAAUUUAAAUCACAUAAAUAACAUAAUUUAUAUUCAAUAUUCAUUAAAAAUGUAAAUAUAUAUUUGGAAAAGAAAAAGAGUAAAUGAUAAAAUAAAGUGAGAAAAAUAGAAAUGAAAGAAAAUAAAAAUUAGAGAAAAGUAAAUAGCAUAAAAUGAGAAGAAAUUAUAAAAAAGAAAAAAGAAAAAGGAGAAAAACAAUAGAAAAGAAAAUUAUAGAGAAGAAAAAAAGAAUGAAAGAAGAGGGAAAGGAUUAUUAGAGAAGUGAGAGAAAAUAAAAUAAAUAAUUAGAGAAUAAAAUAAAUAAAGAGAAAAUAAUAGAAAAUAAUGAGUUGCAAAACUCACCCAUCUUUUCUUAUUAAAUUUUAUAAUUUUGCUAUCAUUUUCAUAUAAAUAAUUAAUUUUUAUUUGAAAUUUGAUUUUGAACGGAUUUUAAGGGAAAAUUAAGAAAAAAAAUGAAAAGAGGCUGAAUUGGAAGAUUUUCGGAUGAGAAUGUUACAACCUUGGAUAAACUUGUAGUCUAAGGCGAUGGAUAGCUCCACUUCACUCCGAUUAGUAAAUAGCAUAAAAUGAGAAAAAAUUAUACACAGAAAGAAAAAGGAGCAAAACAAUAGAAAAGAAAAUUACAGGAAAAAAAAAAAGAUGAAAGAAGAGAGAAAGGAUGAUUAGAGAAGUUUGAGAAAAACAAACAAAUAAUUAGAGAAGGAAAUAAAUGAAGAGAAAAUAAUAGAAAAUGAUAGUGGCAAAACUCACUUCCUUAUUAAAUUUCAUGAUUUUAUUAUAAUUUUAAUAUAAAUAAUUAAUUUUUACUUAAAUUUGAUUUUAGACAGAUUUUUAAGCAGAGGUUAAGAAAAGAAAUGAAAAGAGGCUGAAUUGAAAGAUUUUUAUUGGAAAUGUUACAACCUUGAACAAGCUUGUAAUAUAAAGCGAUGGACAACUUUAGAUUUUAAAAAUUUUCACUUCAGCCUGAUUUUUCCACUUAAAAUGAUAAGAUCAGUUUCAAAUUGGAUAAAAACUAAUCAGAUUAGAAUAGGAGUGAGAUAGGAGGAGUAGAAUUUAUUUUAAAUUAUUAAAUUUUAUCUUUUUAUUGAAGAAAAAAUCUAUAUAAAGUCUUUCCAAAAAUUAAAGCUACAUCAUAUUCUUAUCUUCUCUCCCUCCUCUUCUCUCUAAGCUGCCCCUCUUCUUCUCCUUCUUUUUUCUUUUUCUUUUUAUUUAGAUUUUUACAACUUUAUUAUAAUAUUUAAGGGCUAAAUACUCUCUUUUCAGUCGAAGGUUAAUCCAAAUUGAAGUUCUAUUUAAGUUGUGAGAUUAUAUACUUCUAUUCUUUUCAUCUUAUUUCUAUUUUCUAUUAAUUUCGAAUUUCGAGAAACACCACCUCCAUUUUUGUCUUUUUAAAAAUUCAAGAAGCCUAUUGAAUCUCUUGAAUAACAUAUUACUAAUUAAACUAAUUAAAUCCGUAAUUGUUUAAUUGAAUUAAUUAUAAGUACUAAUUAACAUAUUAAUUUAUGUUAAGAAAUUAAUAGAUUUAAUUUAAAUAAAUAGUGUAUUUUUAUUGAUCAAGUAGUUCUUUCCUUUAAAUGCAGUUACUAUUAUAUGCUAAAUAUGCACGUGACAAAUUUUUCCUAGAAGAUUCUGGAAAUUCUAUUCUAGCAGGUAAAGAUGAAACUUUUGUUUAUGUUUCCUCUUCGUCAUAUUGCUUGCUCAAGCUUAUAGAUACAUGAUCAAUUCUCCAACUGCAGUUCUAUGUCUUCAAGGUAUGUAAAGCUAGAUGUUUAUUUCUUCGGUGUAAUUCUUUUGGAGAUAAUUACUGGGAAAUUACCUGUUAGUGAUAUUAGUUCCUAUGAUUCCUUCAACUUAAUUGAAUGGGUACGUAUUAAUUUUUCUCUUUUAAUACAAAUUAAAAGAGCUUCUUCAUUUGAGUAUGUAAGGAUUUAUUUAUUUAUUUUUCUUAACGUUCAGGCUGUUCCUGCAAUUCAAAAUGAUUGGCCCAAAGGCAACUAUAAGUUUGUUGAUGAAAAAUUGGGGAGCAACUUUGACGAGGAUGAAAUGGAUCGAAUGAUAGAAUGUGCUUUAGCAUGUGUAGAGCGUUAUCCACAAAAUCGACCAGAAAUGAGUAAGGUAAUUUCAUAAAGCUUUGUAUUCUAUUUUAUAUUAUGCAUAUAUACAUGUGAGUUUUAAAUGAUUCAGCAUUGUGUUAUAUUUUAGUAUUUAGAUAUCAGUAUUUCCAUCACUGCUCAUAAAAUUAUUAUUUUAAAACUAUUAAGAUAACAAUUUAAAAUUGCUAUAAAGAAAAUUUAUUGUAUAUUCAUUAAAAUCAUAAUUUUAAUUCUAUUUUUUAUUCAUUAUGAAAAAAUAAUUAAACCGUUAUUUUAUUAAUUUAUAAUUACAGUUAAAAAUAUAAGAUAAUAAUUUAUAAUUAUCGGCUUAAAUUUAUUUUUAUAAUAAUUAUUAUGAUAAACUAAUAACAUUCCUGUGUUGUAAUCAUACUCUAAUUUGGGGAAGAAAAAAAACUCAAUUGCUAAAAGUUAAAUUUUUUAAGAAUUAUUAAUGAAGUUAGUUUAUUCCAUUUCUUGGCAGAUCCAGUACUUUUUUUUCCUUUUUCUAAUUACUUUUCUCGGCAAAGCAGGUUGUUGAAGUUCUAGCAGGAAACAUUCCUCGGAAAAAUCUCAAGAAUUGAGAUGAAAUGUUUGAAAAGGAAAAUUAUUUUUUUCCUUUUCACUAGAAGUUGGAAACUUCCUUGAAAGGCCGAUUGGACAUUGAAAUAAAAGAUAGACUUCAGUUGAAGUGGCAAAAGGAGUGUAACUGGAAGACUUUCUGAAUUUUGCUUGUAUUGAUCUGUCUUGGAGACUAUUGCAACUAAAAAAAAAAGUUCCGUUUGAAAUAAAUCGAAUGUAAAAAAGUGAUUUAACUUAGAGUAAUUUUUUUAAUUAACUCUUUUUAGUUAAUAAAAUUAAAAUUUUAGUUAUUAUGUUUCUAAAUAUACAAAUUAAAUUAAAUUCUUAUAAAUUUUUAGUUUUCAAACAGGAAAAUAAAAGGUUUUGGAAGGUUUGAAUCCAAAUAAGAACCUUGAGAGAAUUAUAUCACAGCCAAAUUGCUGGACUAUCUACAGUAGCAUUUCUUUUUCAAAAACAAUUGAAAAUGAGGUUACUUCUUAUUUUAUUAAUUAAAAUUUUUAAAAAAAAAUUUUAAAGGAAAUCGAAAUUUGGAUACAUUUAUCAUCGGACGAAAUUUAUAAGUGUAAUAUUUAUUAUGUUUUAAUUAUAAUUUAAGAAUUUAAUAAGCUAAUAAAAUGUAAUUGUAUAUUUAACAUUAUUUUAAUCUUUAAGUCAAAAUCAAUAAUUCAACUCCAACCAUAGGUUAUGGCACUAAUCAAGUAACAGAGAAAAAUAUUUUUAAAGGGAAAUACUUAUUUUUAAUAAAACUAAUUAACUCAGAGUUAGCUUCUUUUAUCAGUUUAUAUGAAUUUUAUUAUAUUAAUAAUAAAAAUAUAUUUGUUAAAUAUGACCAAAAUUUUAAAAAUGACCCUCUUUUAAAUUCCAAUAUUAAUUUAAUUCCAAUAAACUUAUCAUAUUUCUCCUUAUUAUCCAUAAUAAACAAUGACCAAGAUUUUAAAAUGACCCUCUCUAAUUUAAUUCUAACAUUAAAAAUGACCAAAUUUAUUAUCUAUAUUAAACAAUGACCCAGCUUUUUAAAAAUGAUCCUUUGUAGUUUCUUCAUUUAUUAAUAUGCAAGUGGGACAUAAAAAAAUCAUUACUUAAUUAAUUUAGUACGUCCUAUUUUAUAAUACACUGACGAAUCUGAAAGCUGAUUGGCCCCCACAAAUGGAUUAAUUAAUAAUUCAACCUUCUUAAUUAAUGCCGCCUUCAUUGACAGCCUGGGUACUGUUCUGAAACUAACAAUAUAGUAAUCUUACUAUUGCACCGACUCUGCAUAAUUUGUAUUUUUUUAGUACUCCCUACUUUCAAACUUUAAUUUUCGCUAUCGCUGUUUAUUUGAUGAAUUAAAUUUUAAAUUAAAUCGAUUUGAAUAAAUUAAAAAUUUAAAUUUAAAUAUUUAUAAAAAUAAAAUUAAAUUAAUUUUAAUUAAAAAUUAAAUUGAAUUGAAUCGUUGUGAUUUAAUUUGAUUCGAUUUAAUUGAUUUAAAUUUUUAAUAAAUUUUUUAUUUUUUAUAUUUUAUUUUUAAUAUUUUAAAAUUUAAUUAAAAUAUUUUAAUUUUAAUAUAAUCUAAUAUCUUUAUAUUAUUAAACAUAAUAUACUAUUAUCAUUAAUCAAUUCAGUUUGAUUUUUUUAUUUUUUCUGAUCAAAAUUAAAAUAAUUAAAAAUUUUAAAAUUAAAAAUCAAAACAAAUUGAAAUAAAUAAAAAAUUAAAUUAAAUUUUUAAAUUAAUUUAAUUUAAUUAAUUUUUUUAAUUUAAACCGAAUAUUACUCAAUCUAAUUUUUCUCAUUUGCUAUCAAAAUUAAAUAAGAUAUUUUCUUAUUAAAAAAAUAUUAUACACAUGUAAAACAUAUAGGUUAAAUAUAUAUUUUUACAUAUUUAUAUUUUAAUAAGAAAAUUGGCCAACCAGAUCGAUUGGCCAACCAGAAUGAAGAUUGCUUUGGGUAUAGCAGAAGGAUUGGCAUAUUUGCAUGAAGAAUGUGAGGUUUUAACUUAUUUAGUUUUUUUUUUUCCCAAGUUUUCUAUAUUGCAUUUUAUACUUUUUAAUUUUAUGCAUUUUUAGGUAAACCAGGAAUCAUUCACCGAAAUAUUAAAAUUGAUAAUAUUAUUCUCGAUGAUGAAUUUAAUUCUAAGGUAUGAUAAUAUACUCACAGAAGAGAUUUAUAAAAAAUAAUUCAACAGCUAAACAUUUUAUAAUUAAUAUUAAAAAUGUAAAUAAAGUUUACAUUUAUAACUAUUAACUGUUUUAAUUAAUUACAAGUAAUUUUAAUUAUAAAUAAGUGGCCUUUCAAAAUCUUGAUUUAAAAUACCUUCUGUUUAGAAUUAAAAAAAACUUGUAAGAUUCAUAUCAACUUUGAAUUUAAAUUUAACUUAUUAGUUAUAAAUUAAUUUGAAUGACACAAUAAAUUACUUCUAUCAACUUUUUUCUUUUCAGAUUAGAAAUUUUGGAAUUUCCAAAGAAUUUGCGGAUUCAAAAACUCACGUUUCCACUAUCCCAAUGGGAACUCCAGAGUAAGAUUCGUUCUUAUUUGUUUGCUAAAUUUUCUUUCUCAAAGAAAAUUGGUUGAAUUAGUAGUUCUCAUUUGAUAAACACUUUCUUUAAGUGCAGUUAUCUCGCUCCUGAGCAUUACACCCAAGAUGAUCAAAAUAAGAAGCUCACCGAUAAGUCUGAUGUAUUUUCCUUUGGUGUCGUACUUCUAGAGCUGAUUACGGGAAAAUUAGCUGCUUUUGAGAAGGAACGCAGGGAAUAUAUUUUCUUAACUAUUUGGGUACUUAAAAAUAAAGAAUUUGAUAUUUUGUAUAUUCAAUAUUCAAGGGUUUUUUAUUUUUUAUUAUUUUUUCCCUGAUGGAAUGCUUAACUGACCUUUGUACAUCUAUUUUGAUUAUUCACAGGCCGUGCCUCUAUUGAAACAAAUUUUGGAUGCAGACUAUCAAGAUUUGGAUGCUGAAAAUUGUAAAGAAAUUUUUGAUUCCAAAUUACCGAACAAUUUUGAGAAAAAUGAUAUGAAAAAGCUUAUUUAUUCUGCUGCUUCUUGUGUAUAUAAACCUGCAAAGUUACGCCCACAUAUGUGCGAGGUAAAUUCACAAAACCAAACCAGUUAUUUUUGGAUUAUGCUUUGCACGUGAUUAUCAGUAAAAAUAUAUGAAAUAUAAUUUAAAAAAUACGUAAAAAUUAUUUGAUAAUUUUGCAUAUGUUAUUAAAAAUUGGGAGGGUGACUGCAUGUGAUUUUUUGAUGCAGAGAGUUAAAGUACUAAAUGGAGAUAUGGAACCCAAAACUAUAUGGGUGAGAAGUGAUUGCAAGUACCUAUACAAUGGGUCACCUUACGCUCCAUUUCCUCAAGCUCAGGGAACCUCCAGCUCUUGAUUUCUAUCCAAUACAUGAAUUAACCUCCGCCUUGUAAUAAAAAAGUACGUGUUCUUGCUAAAUGCACGUGCUUUUCUAAGGGAUCAAUUAGUUAAUAAGAAUGUGUUCCUUGCUGUUUUUUUUUAAAUAUUAAUAAUGAUUGAUAUUGAAUAAUUUUUUCAUGUAUAUAUAUAUAUAUAUAUAUAUAUUGGCAGAAUAUAUAAUAUCCAUUAAGUAUUAUUUUAAAACAAAGAGAUAAUAAUUUUGACCAAACUGUCAAUUGCUUGAUCCCAUAAGAAGUAUUUCUGCAAAAAGAUUAAAGUAUAUGAGUAGUUAGUAAUUACACAUUUCAUAUUAUAGGUCAAAAUGCUUAAAGAAUUAUGUUUCACCUUGAAUUCCUGCCAAUAAAACUCCUUAGUGUCAUUUGGCACUGUCUUCCAACAGUGCCCUUCUGCGACCAAUCUUUCUUUUAUUAUCAGAGUAAUCCUGCGACUGUACAUCUCCAACGGAUGUAAACUACAUGAACAAUGGUGAGUUAGUAUAGGGUAACAUUGAAAUUAAUCGUAAUUAAGAAAUAAUUAAAUAUUACUUGUUAUUAAUGAGUGAAAUGGUCUAUUGGAAUGACUGUGUGCCGCCUACAGCAGUGGUCGAACCAGCUGAUGCUGGAGCAAAUGCUGGAGCAGAUGAUGAAGUAGAUGCUAAUGCAGAUCCUGAUAACUGAGAGUGAGUUUAGCAUCCAGGCCAUAAUUCUUGUUUAGAUGCAUUUAACAUAUCAUACAGUUUCUGUGCAGCAGAGUUUGACAUCUCAUAUGUAUCAUUAUUUAUUGCAUGAUAGCUUGUUGCAUCCAUGACCAUGUCGUCUAACCAAUUGAAAUUUGGGUGAUUAACACUAUCAGAAAUAUAAGACGUGUCUAAUAGUGCAUCACCAGAUCCGUCAUGCACUUCAGUUUCACCGUGCAAAUACCAAACAAGAUAAUUUUGCACAAAACUAUACUUCAUUAAAUGAUAUUUUACUGUAUUUUCAUCUUGAAAACUACAGUUCUGACACUUAAAUCGAUUGCAAGGGCAGUGAAUCUGAUCACCAUUUAAAUAAUAUGGGCAGUUCUUAGCCUUUUCUAUAAAUUCAUUGAUCCCCUCUAAAUAUCUGGGAUUAAAUAAAUCAUCUCUAAGACAGGCAUACAUCCAACUUCUUUUAGCAGUCAUAUUAACUACAAUAACGAUGUUGAUAUGAAAACAUAAAACUUAUAAACCCUAUCUUCAAACGAAGCCUGAAAAGUAACAAUUAAAUUAUGUAUUAUAUCUAAAAUAUGCAGUAAUUAUAUCAAUUUUCCUUGAGAGGAUAAUUGAUGCAAAAAAUGGAAUAAUAAUACAAAAAUCUGAAUUACAUGAUAAUUAAUUACUAAUAUCUUCAUAAUCACGCGUUUAAUUAAUUAUUAGGUCUGUAAAUUUAUUAAGUGCGCCAAAUUAUUUUAGAGAAGUGCACCUGUAGGUGCACUGGAAAGAAAUCACAAAUUUCAAGAAAUCACAAAUUUCACAAAAAUCAAAAAUUUUAAAAAUAUAAAACAUUUCACAAAAAUUUCACAAGACUGGAAUACAUGAUUAAGACAGAACAUGAAUCAGGUCAAACAUGAAUAAAAAAUCAAUCGGAACAUGAAUCAGGAAGAAAAUAGCGCACCUGUGGACACUGUCUGUCUAGAAUGGCAAGACUGGAGAGAGAGAGAAGGGUUCACUCGUGGACCAUGAUGCCGAGAAAGGGUGCACCUGUAGACGGUGGAUGGCAGGCGGUGGUGAAAGACCCAGAGGUUGGACGCAAAUUCGAAUUUCAGAGAGAUUUUAAUUUUUCAAACAUACGAUUUAGGGAUUUCAGUUAGGAUAUUGUGUAUUUGGGUUUAUAAUUCACUAACGGAUGAUUAGUCUGUUAGUGAAAAAAACAUUAGAUUAAAAAAUAAUAAAAUCACUUACGGAUUUCUAACAGAAAAAAUGUCCGUUAGUAUUUCACUAACGGACUUGUGACAGAUGGUUACGAACGUAUUCUUCACUAAUGAAAAUACUAACGGUUAUGUACUUCCGUUAGUAGAUAAUAAGUUUUCAAUGUUCCGUUAGAGAUAACCGUUAGUAUCAUUAACGGAUUUCAAUCUAUUAGUGAAGUCGGUUAGUGAUCAAUUGAAUUUUUGUAGUGUUUUGAAUACAAAAAUUUUAUAUUUUUUUUCACGACUCCAAUCGUGACUUAGCUGAAAAUUUUCGUAUUGCGUGUAAUACCCAUUAAAAUUAAUCCAAAUAACUUUUAAAUCUAUUUUUUAUUAGACCUAAAAUGAUUAACCCUAUUUAUUUAUUUAUUCAGUGCUUACUAUUAUAUAUAUAUUCUCAUUAUCCCUGUUAUAUAUUUUACCCAUGUGGGAUUGAAAUCUCAACUAAGGAGUAGGCACCACACUAUGAGCCAAAUUUGAUAAAAAAAAAAAAAGUGAAUAUGUGUUGAGAUAGGGUUUAAAUAUAAAUAGCCUUUCAACCAAUUUCAAUAUAAUUAAUCAAGUAAAUUAAAUAUUUUUAAAAAAUAAAAUAAAUGUGUAAUUAUCAAAUAUAUGUAAGGUAUAUAUGGAUAGCUAAAUGUUUUUCCUCUUCCCACGUUUAUUUAUACUAUAUUUUUUAACGUGCCUCUACACUUUUUAAACUCGUUCUGCAUAUUAUUUAUUCAUUUAAAUAGCCAAUUAAAUUUGAUAUUCUAUUAUUAUAAUAUUAAAUUCUUAUAACUAUAAUUUAUAUCUAACUAUAAUUAGAUAGAAAAAUUAUAAUAUAAUAAAAUAAAAAAGGUAUAUUAUUUUAGUUAAUUUUAUUAUUACAAAUAAAAUAUUAAAAAUUUGCAAGUAAAACAUGAAUUUAUUAUUCUUAUUCCUAGGGUCAACCGUCAACGUUAUAUUUUUUUUAAAGGAGAAUCCAAGACUGAACGCUAAAAUUUCCUACAGCUUUCUCUCAUUUCUAUGAUCUAAAUUUAUUAUAAUUAUAAGCAAAAUUCCGUAAAAAAAAUAGAAAGGUGAAAUUGUUAAAAAAGACACAUGAUUUUAUUUGAUAAUGAUAUAUUAUUUUGUAUUUUAAUUGGCUGAAAAAUAUAAAAAUUUAUUAUUGUUUAAAUAAUAAUUUCUUAUUUCAAUUUAAAUUCUAUAAUUUUACAAAGAAUAUAAUAUCACAAAUAAAAUUUUUGAUAUUUUAAAAGCUUGAAUAUUUAUUUAAGAAUUAUCAUAAUCUUUGUUGUGAAAAGAAAAACAUUUUAUUGUAUGAUUUAAUUAAUUUAUAUAUUUUAAUUUUUUUUUGAAAUUUUUCAAAAUAUUUUUUAUAUACAAUCAUUUUUUUUAUCUAAAAUAAAUGGAUCUUUAAUAUUGGUAAAUACGAUAUAAAAUGUGGUAGGACGUAAUAGAUUCAGAAAUUUGAUUAAAAUCCUGCUUUGUUCUUUUUAAGUGAAAGAAUAUUGAGAAAUUUGAUUACUAUAAAAUAAAUUUAAAUAACUUUUUAUAAAAUUAUUUAUGAUUUUAUUUUUAUAUAUAAUAAAAAAAUUUAAAAUUAAAAAAUUUUGAAUUCUUUUAUUUUAAAUAAAAUUUUAUAAAAAUAACUUCAAUUAAAUUAAAUUUUUAUAAAAUUUUUAAUUUCAAAAUGGAAGGUUAAAGUAUUUUAUUAGAAUUCAAAGUCUUGUGGUCCAGGUCUUUUAUUAUUCUUAUUAUUAUUUUUUUGUUCUGUUUUAUUAGAAAAUGUUAAUUCUAGAAGGCUGAAUAAUCAACGAUUGGACAUGCUUCCAUCUCAUUGGAUAGAUAGUCACCUUACGAUCCCAGCUCCAUAAUAAGGGGAGAUAUUUUAUCAUAGGACACGGCUUCAAAGCUCAAUAUCUUUCACACUUGUAAAUUAGUGCUUUUUUAGAUUUUAGUUUUUUAAUCUUACCAUGAAUUUUUAUUGUGCUUAUUUAACUGCAGCUAUGUAGCUACGUAUAUCCAUUCGCAAUAUUUCUAAUAAAUCAGAUUUUAUUUAUUUGAUAUUAUAUUUUUUAAAUUAAUUACCGAAAGAAUGUUCAUAGAAAAUGGUGUUGAUAUUGGAAAUUAGAUAUGUAAUAUACAUGUAGCAUACUCUAAAAAUUUAUGAUACUUAAUUAUAUAAGUAAAAGAUUUUUUUCUAUUAAUGCUAAAAAGGUAAAAAAAUAUAUAUAUUUAGUAUCUAAAAAGUAAAAUAAAUAUUCACAUACAACUUCUAUUUAUAUUAAUACAUUUGAAAUUCUAGUCUAAACUCAACUUAAUAAAAAUAUAUAUUUUUUAUUAAAUAUCUUACAGACAAAAUCUCGAAUUAAAAAAAUUUUGAUCGAAUAAAUUGUAGCUUUUGUAAAUUCUACAUUGAGGUUUGAUCACAAAACAAUAUAUUGAAUGAUUUUCUAUAUUGAUGCUUGUAUAAGUAACCCUUUAAAUUUUCGCCUAUCAGUAAAGAAAAAAAAAAUUUAUUCAUGUAUUGUAUUAAUAAUUAGUAAUAUAUAAAAUAAUUUCAUGGUUAUUAUGUCAUAUGGAUACUUCUAGCUUUCGAAGAAAUUUUAUAUUCUGGUGAAUUAUGUCACAAAAAGGUGUAGAUUAUAACUGUUUAGUUUUAACUUUAUUUCAGAAAUCUCACCAAUUUUAAUUUUUUAAAAAUUAAAAAAUUAUUAUAUCUGAAAUAAUUGUAAAAAAAAAUAAAAUAAUUUAUUUAUAAAAUAUACUGCAGAUGUAAAAAUAUGAUUAAUUUUAUUUUAAAAAAAUAAAAAUAAAAAUAAUUAAAUUAAUAUAUUACAUUCUUAAUAAUAAUAAAAAUAUAAAAAAAUUUAAUUAGUAUUAUAUUCAAAUCAAAUACAAAAAUUAAGAAAGAGAAUAUAAAAUUAGAAUUAAGAUGUAUAAUUGGAUACAAGAUAAUUAUUUAUUAAUUAAUUUAUAAAAAAUUAUAUAAAAUAUCCAAACCAAUCCAAUUGGUUGGUUUAAAUUAGGUUGGAUUUUGUGAUUCGACCUGAAGACUAAUAGCAACAAAUAAUUUUAAAAUUAAUUAAUUAAUGAAUGAAACGUCAUCAUUGAUUCUGAAAGAUGGAAAAGUUUAUCUUUCAAUUCAAAUUAAUUAUCCAUUGAUAGAGUCAUUAUCAUGAGUGUAGACAUUCAUAUACUGUAUGAGAGAUCAACCUCAUCUUCUCCGUUGUCUUAAAAAAUAAUUUAUUAAAAAACACCAACUUAAUUGUUAAUUUAUAUAACUUUUAUAUUUUAAAUAUUCUUUUGAUUAAAACAAAAAUAACAUUUUUUAAAUUAAAUUUAUACUAAAAAUUCAUAUAUAUUUAAUAUAUAAAUAUGAUAUAAUUCAAUAUUUAUUCAAAUUAUAAUAUACGGUGAUAAUUUUUUUUAAUCUAAAUGAUAAUAUGUUCGUAAUUAGAAAAUUCGAAUAUUCAGAUUUAAGUGUUCUCACGAUGUUUACCAAAAUAUUUGAUUUUACGAUGGCAAAGUCUCCUUGAGGCUUAUUUCUCACCGGUAAGGAUUAUUAUAAAUCAACCAUCAAAAAGUUUUUUUUUCAAAGAUUUUGAAUUACAAUAAAAAUUAUUAUAAGAAUUUAAACCAAAAAAAUGAAAAUUUUGAAAUUUAUACACUCAACAAUUAAUUAAAUUAAUAAAAUUUAGAUUAAAUUACUUUGAAUUUUUUAAAAAAUUUUAAAUUAUCUAUCUAAUAAAAUUAUUAUUUUUUAUUAAUAGUCAAAUAGAAUUUAACUAAAAUUAUCUAUUAAAAUAAUAUCAUCAAUAAAACUACAAGAAUAUUUAAAUAAUAUAAUACAAUAAUUAUUUUAAAUAUUUUGUUUAACUUUUUAAGCAUUUAGAUGAUAUUAAAAUUAGAAUAUUUUUUAAAAUUAAAACAAUCUCUUUUGAAUAUUAUUUUAAACUCAUCAAAAAAAUUAAAAUAAUCUCAUUAAUAAAACUAUAAAAAUAUUUAAGUAAAUUUAAAGUAUUCCGUUGCAUUCAUAUAUAUAUAUAUAGUUUUUAUAAAUGUCCUCAAAAUUUUCAAGGUAAACAUGCUUAACGAAUUUUUAUAUUUUGAAAAUAUUGCACCAUUGUUUUAUAAGUUUAAUUAUUAUUAAUUAAAUAUAUGCUUUUCAUAUAUAAUUAAUCAAUUUGGGAUGUGAUACCAUAGACGAAUUUUGCGCAACAUUCUCCACUUGAAUUUCUUUCGAUAAAAUUACCGCUAUUCCUUUUUUUUCCAUCAUAUACUAAAGUGGUUGUACAUGUAGGAUUGUCUGCAUGCUACAAUAACUCAAUAAAAAAUUAAUAAUUAUAUAAAUAUAGCAUAAUAAUAGAUGAAUAAAUAAUAUUUAAAAGUUUGUAGUCCACCAGAGUCUAAUACACAAGCCUAUCCUUUAACAUGCUACUCAAACUAUGCUCGGAUAGGCCGAGCAGAACGAGACUUGAGCCCAACGGAGAAGGAUCCAGCUCACCUUAUUUGAUGGGUCCGUGAAAAAUAGACCCCUUCACAUCUAGAACCAUGUCAGCAUGGACGCCGGAGGGAAUUAAUUAGCUACCUGACGAUGGAGAAAAAGGGUAGUACGUCCAUACAUACAGUUUUGUAUGAUUGCAGCAUGUGACACUGUAGUAAGGUGACAGUUAUACGUCAUUAAAGGAUAAAAAGAAAAAAAGAAUAAAGGAAAAAGACGUGAACUAUUCAGACUAAACUUACAUACACAUACCCAAAACUCUACCCUCUUCUAGAUCUCAUAUCAUAACUGGCGUCGUCUGUGGGAACGGAGGAGAUCUUUUCAUCACUAGAGUUCUCAUCUUGGUUACACUCACUGAGAUUCACAUGGUGAAUCAUGAUAAAAAUCACUUUGGAAAUACCCCAAAUGACCUAAGUUCCACCUAUGAAAGUCAACAGUUUUCAUUCUCCAAUUCUACGGCCUCAUCAAACCAAUCACCUGCAUUGUUUCACCCCUCGCUGAACUCGGCAGGAAACAUGUCUAGAACCACUCUUUCUGACCAAGAACUACAAAAUAUGGCUAUCCAACUACAGAAUACAGCUCACUGGCUGGAGCAAAUAUUACAGCAAAGGGGACUCAACACCCUAUUAAGUGUACCACCUAUAGCCGAGGGCUUCAACGUUAAUGAGUUCCAGCCUACCUUGAAUCACCAAGUCCCUCAGCAAAGCAGUAGGAGGAUAAGCGAAGGAGGCGAAGAGGCUUGCAGAAGAAAUGAGUCAACAGCUAGAACAAGGGCCUGAAUGAUUAGGGAGCUCAUCGAAAACGACGAAGUCAAGAGCUAUUCCUCCAAGAAGAUAGGAGGAUCGAAAAGUGAAGAGUUGGAAAGAGGCUACCGCUUGGAGAAACGGCCGAGAAGGGAAGAGGUGGAUGUGGACUAAAAGCUGGAAAGGUUGAGGAAGCAACUCUUGCCAGAACUGGGGGCACGAGAUAACAAUAACCCCCUGAUACCUAUCUCAUUACCGUUCGCGAGAUGGGUACAACAGGAGACUACUGCUAAGAAAUUCAUGAUGCCGCCGAUGACUGCAUCCGAUGGCAUGGGAAACCCCCGAGAAUAUGUCCUAAACUACAAAAUGUUUAUGGAGCUCUAGACCCAUUCUGAUGCUCUAAUGUGCAAGGUCUUUUCUACCACCCUCACCGAACCAGCCCGGACAUGGUUCAACAACUUAGAAGUAGUGGGCAUUAAGAGCUUCAUGGACCUGGCAAGUGUAUUCAUUAGCAGGUUCAUUGUAGGGGGUCCCGGCGGAAAGAAAAAUGAGCUACUUAAAGAUAAUCGGACAAAGGAGGAAUGAGUCUUUAAAGGAGUACAUAGCUAAAUUCAAUUUUAAGGCCCUACAGAUCCCUAAGCUUGAUGAGGCUAGAGAGGAUAGAGGCCAUGCAGAAAGGGACAACAUCCCAGGAGUUUUUUUGGCUCAUUAUGCAAAAAGCCACCCACUACCUUGGCCGAACUGAUGAAAAGGGUUAACAAAUACAUAAGGCAGGAUGAUGCCCUGACCACCAGUAGGUUUACCAGGGAAAUGGGAGAUAGGAGGAAAGUAGUAGAGGACAGACGACCUGAAAGGCAGGAGAGAAGACAGAAUUGGGGGCCCGAAGCAUUGAACAAGCACCAAUGGGAGAGGAAAGAGCAGAGGCUAUACCAACUCCUGAUUCCCGAGCUAAUCACUCUUGAAUGUGUCUAGGGCAGAGGUGCUUGUGGCUGUACAGGAUAAAGACUUUAUACAAUGGCCCAAGCCUAUGAAAGCCAAAGCCAGCCGAAGAGAUCCGAACAAGUACUGUCAAUACCACUGGACUUAUGGCCAUGACAACAAUGACUACUAUCAGCUGAUAAAUGAAAUAGAAAGGCUCAUUAAAAAGGGGCAUCUCAGGAACUUUGUGAAGAAACCAGAGGGACAGAGACCUCAGCAAAAUGCAAUGGCAUAGAGGCCUCACAGGCAGAUAAGAGGACUUGUGAAUGAUGACUCCAGUGGGAUGAUCAACAUGAUUGUGGGAGAAUCUGAGAUAAGAAUGAGAAGGAGGAGAAAGAAGAGGACCAGGAGUGGAGAAGGAAGUAGUGCCGAAAUCAUGUAGAUAGUGGAACAGUACCCUGUGACCAUCUCUUUCUCUCCAGAAGACGCCCAUGGAAUCCAAAUGUCUCAUGACGAUGCCCUGGUUAUUGAGGCCGUCAUUCACAACUUUCAGAUCCGCAAAGUCUUGGUGGACGAUGGGAGUAAGGUGAAUCUGCUACUUUACCGGGUCUUUCAAUAAAUGAACGUACCUGAAGUACAACUGGUCAGGGAUCAGGCCCCGGUUAAGGGGAUAGGUGGAACCCUCGUGGCAGUAAAAGGGAAAGUGAAAGUAGCCUUGAUGCUAGGAGAGCCACCCCUGUCCCGCACCCACUAUGCAUUAUUCCUUGUGGUGAAGCUGCCUCUGAACUAUAGCGCUAUUUUGGGAAGGCCGAUACUAUACGACUUCAAGGUUGUGACCAGUAUCCGGUACCUAACCAUGAAAUUCCCCACGGAGUUAGGGGUGGGCAUAGUGCGGGGAAGGCAGGAGGAGGCUUGAGCUGUAUAUUUGGCCACUAUGGAAGAACCGAGCACCCUGCCAGAAGAAAUAAACCAGGAGGUCAUGGAGGUCCAAAAUGAGAAAAAGGAAACCGGGAUAGAGCCAGUUGAUAAGCUGGAGACAUUCCCACUAUUUGAGGAGGAAAGCGACAAAGUCUUCAGUAUUAAGAGAACCUUGGAAAAGACUAAAAAGAGAUAGCAAUGACUCUUAUCGGAGGGCAUGCCUCAGGAUUUGCCUGGAGGCUUUCAGACAUGUCGGGGAUAGACCCUGAGGUGAUGAUGCACAAAUUGAAUGUCCUUCCUGAAGCCAAACUAAUAAAAUAGAGGAAAAGAGUGUUUGGGAAGGAGAAGCAACAAGCUACAAGAGAAGAAGUGCAAAAACUGGAAGAGGCAGGAUUUAUUAGGGAAGUCAUAUACCCAUAGUAGUUAGCCAACCCUGUGCUAGUCAAAAAGGCCAAUGGAAGUAUAGAAUGUGUAUAGACUUUACCGACCUAAAUCAGGCUUACCCAAAAGAUUGUUAUUCCCUUCUCGAUAUUAAUAAAAUGAUCAAUUCUAUGGCCAAUUUUGAUUAUUUGUCAUCCUUAGAUGAAAUAUCAGGUAUCACCAAAUUCCUAUGGACAGGUCGGAUGAAAAAAAUACGUCCUUCAUAACUGAAGAUGGGACAUAUUGUUACAAGGCUAUGCCGUUCAGACUAAAAAAUGUCGGGGCAACAUACCAACUAUUAGUGAAUAAAAUCUUCAAGGAUUAGGUAGGGAGAAAUGUGGAAGUAUACGUAAAUGACAUGGUAGUAAAAAGCCAAACCUUUCAACAACACCUAGCCAACCUGGAAGAGAUAUUCAGGAUACUGCAGCAGUACAAAAUGAGAUUGUACCCAACAAAGUGUGUAUUCUUUAUCAGGGGAGGAAAUUUCUAUGCUACAUGGUCAGCAAAAAGGGCAUAGAGCCAAAUCCAGAAAAAGUAGAAGCCAUAUUAAGAAUGCUCAAACCGACCUGUGUGAGAGAUGUGUAGAAACUUACAGGAAAAGUGAUGGCGCUCAAUCAAUUCAUGUUGAAGUUAGCUGAAAGAUGUUUACCAUUCUUCAAGAAGUUGAGGAAAGUUUUGAACUUUGAACGGGCAGAAGACUACUAAGAAGCCUUUAGAAAUAUCAAGCAAUAUCUCAGUUCUUUGCAUGUACUUAGUAGCCCUUUAGUUGGGGAGGAAUUUCUGAUAUAUUUAGCCGCCUCUGAAUAAGCUGUAAGCGCAGUAUUGGUGAGGGAUGAAGGUGGGACGCAUAAUCUUAUUUUCUAUGUCAGUAAGUUGCUCAAGGAUGCCGAGGUCAGGUAUAUGAACAUUCAGAAAUUGUCGUUUGCCUUGUUGCUGGCGGUAAGGAAGUUCAGAGUAUACCUAGAAUGCCACCAAAGGAUAGUGAUGACUGACCAACCUUUAAAGAAAAUGUUACACAGACUUGAGACCUCGGGGUGGAUGCUAGCCUGGUCUGUUGAAAUUAGCCCAUAUUGCCUCAUUUAUCGACCUCGGGCUGCCAUCAAAGCCCAAGCCUUAGUUGCCUUCAUAAUUGAGUGCUCUUUUAGCUUAGACCAUCAGGAACAAAGUGAGAGGUUAUCGAGCUCAGCCAAAGAGAAGGAAGGGGACCAACAACCGUGUGAGCUCAAAUGGGACCUAUUCAUGGACGGAGCAUCCAGCGCUGUGGGCAGUGGGGCAGGGAUACUUUUGAAAGGACCAUAUGGAUUCAGGGUGUGCUGUGUUUUGCAUUUAGAGUUCCCAGCAUCCAAUAAUAUGGUAGAGAAUGAAGCCCUCAUGGGGGCAACCGACCUGAAAAUAAAUAGUGACUCCCAGCUUGUGAUCAACCAAAUAACAAGGGUAUACCAGGCAAAAGAUCUCGUCAUGCAAAAAUAUAUGGCCAAGUUCCAAGCUGUAGAGGUCGAGUUCGUUGAGCAGGGGAUUGUUAUACAGUAUCAAAGAAUGCCUCGAGAGGAAAAUGAAGAAUGUAAUACCCGGCUAGAAUCCGGCACCGGAAUGCCUAUUGUCAGGUGGAAUCCGGGGUGUUGGGAUUCUAUAUAAGGGGAGGAGUUAUGUUUUCUAAGUGUUAUGAUGUGUUUUCUGGGUUUACAGUGUGAUAGUUUUGAGUUGCAAUGAACCAAGGCAGAGGAGCCAAGUUCGGCCGCCGAAGAUAAGUUCGGCCGCCGAAAGUGCCCCAUGUUCGGCUUCCGAAGGUACGUUCGGCCCCCGAAUGUUGCAUGGUUUUGCAUGCGAUUCGGCAGCCGAAAUUGAGUUGGCCAGCCAGCUGUUGGGCAUCCUUAGUCAGCAUUUUGGACAGGUGUUAUCACCAGAUCAUGUCCAGAAGUUGGCCACGUCUCCUAUGCUUUAUGUGCUAAGUUUGAGCAGCUCAUGCAAGAGGUUGCUCGUUUACCAAGUUGUGAAGGUUUUGAAGCAAAAAGUGAGGUUGAGAGAGUUUGAGAGUGUGAGAAGAGUUGGUCCGUUUUCCCUUGUUCAGAGUGUUUAGCUUCUUGCUUCAGGAGGUAAGUGAUGCUCUUGACUAGGGUUUUAUGUUUUCUGAAGGUUUUAUGGGAGUUGGGGAGAGAGAGAUGCAUGUUUAGGGAGUUAAUGGGAGAUUUGAUGCUUUAUGCAUGUAUUCCUGAUUAUGUGUUAUGUUUGUUUUGUUGUUUGGGGUUGUUAGAUAGUUUUGGACCCCUGUGACCAUAUACAUGAGUAUAUGUGAGUGGAAUAGAGGAGGUAGGCAUGUUUGGAGAGAUUGAAGGGAAGGAGGAGAUGGUUUGCCGUGGAAGCUGAGUUCUGGAUGAACUCAGGUUCGGCAGCCGAAGGAUCAUUCGGCCGCCGAACCUCCUGCAUGGUGACUUGGUUGCCACAGCUUGCCCCCGAGUGUUUUUGCAUGUUCGGCUCUGUUUGGGGGAUUCGGCCGCCGAAGGUGCCGCCGAAGGUGCUUGAGUUUCAUCUCUGGAGAGGACAUUCGGCCGCCGAACCUGCCGCCGAAAGUGUUCUGUCCAGCUUUUCUUUUGCAUGCUUUGCAUGGCUAGUUAAGUGAGUUUCAGGGGAUUCUUGGGGAGUUUAAUAGAGGUAUUGAUAAGUUAGUUUGGUCCCUCAUUUGAGUCUAUCUGUAUAGGUACAGACCAGAGGAACCAGAGAGAGCAGCAGUGAGUACUGCUCCAGAGUUUCAGAGCCUGCAGAGUCAGUCAGUCCAGAUAGCCGGAGGUGAGUGGAACUAAACUUAUGACUUUUAAUUGAACCACAAACUGCUUUUAGCAUAUCUCAUGCAUCAUGUUUAUGCCAUAGGGUGAUUGCAUUAGUAUCCACGAAUAUGUUGCAUUGCAUUGUUAUUUGAUGAUGUGAGGAAAUGCUGAAUGAUCCAAUAGUCUCAGACAGGAAGUCCAGGAGCCUUUGACUACGCCCUGGCAGGUAUAGAGAAGUCCAGGAGCCUUUGACUACGCCCUGGCAGGUAUAUAGUAAAGUCCAGGAGCCUUUGACUACGCCCUGGCAAUGUUACAAAGAAGCAUACCUUCUCAGCAAGCUGUCCAAAGAAGAACUAGAACAACUCCCAGACAAAGUGUACAUACAACACAUUAAUGCCCCUACUUAUGAAAAAUCAGCCCCAAUCAUGCAGAUCGGAGAGGAAAGGAGCUGGAUGACUCCCUAUUUGGAGUACAUGGAGGCAGGAAAGUUACAUGAGGACAAAGCAGAAGCAAGAAAGAUUGUACCUAAGGCUGUAAAUUAUCAAACAGUAAGGGGGACCCUGUACAAAAGGGGAAAAUCUAGCCCGAGGCUAAGGUGUGUGGACCUGGAAGAGGCGGCCGAAAUUGUUAGGGAGAUACAUCGAGGAGUUUGUGGAGUCCACGAAAGAGCAACCACGUUGGCAAACAAAAUAUUCCGGCAAGGGUAUUACUGGCCCACAGUUAAGAAGGAAGCAGAAGAGUUUGUCAGAAGAUGUGAUGUAUGCCAAAGGUCUGCUAAUGUCAUUAACAGCUCGACCACGCCACAGUUAAGUAUAUCUAGCCCUUGACCAUUCACCCAGUGGGGGAUCGAUAUACUGGGUCCUUUUUCAAAGAUGGUGGAGAAGAAGAGGUUCGUGAUAGUGGCUGUGGAAUACUUCUUCAAGUGGCCAGAGGCAAAAGCUGUACCCAAUAUCACAGCUCGCAAGGUGAUAAACUUUGUCUGGGGCAACAUCAUAUGCCAAUUUGGGAUAUCGAGGAUGCUCAUAUCAGACAAUAGCAAGCAAUUUGACUGCAGAUCCUUCAAGGACUUCACAAAAAAUAUGGGCAUAUGGCACAAGUUUUCUUUGGUAGCCCACCCUCAAACAAAUGAUCAAACAGAAGUAACGAACCAGGGUAUCCUCCAAGGACUAAAAAAAUGGUUGGAUAGAGCUAAAAAGAAUUGGCCAGCCGAGCUAAACAAUAUCCUAUAGGCAUUUCGGACUACCCCUCAGAUGCCGACGAGAGAGACUCCGUUUGCAGUAGCAUUCGGGACUGAGGCUGUAUUUCCCAUAGAGCUGCAGAUCCCCUCUCACCGAGUUCAGUUCCAUGAUGAGAAUACCAAUGGAGAGAAAUUGAGGAGUAACUUGGAUGCCCUGAGGAAGUCAGAGAAGAGGCUCAAAUAAGAACAACUACUUAUCAAUAGAAGGCAGCACGAUACUACAAUCAGAAGGGUCGCAAGAGGAGCCUAAAGGUUGAAGACUUGGCCCUGAGAAGAUUAGACGCAACGAGAAAGAGAACACAUGUGGGAAAAUUGGUGCUAACCUGGGAAGGCCCCUUCAGGAUAGCUAAAGUCGUCAAGCCCGGGGUGCACCGAAUUGAAGACCUACAGGGGCACUCAGAGCCUCACGCGUGGAAUAUCCAGCACUUAAAUAGGUAUUUUGCAUAAGAAAGAGCAUAAUAUAAAACCAUGUCCUUUGAAAUAUGAAUAAAAAUUGUUGUUUCUCCUUUUCUAUUUAGCAUUCCUAAGAGCAGGUAGAGAAGACCCAAGUGAGGUGGAUGACCGGUCUCGGAAUAUGACCAUCGACACCAAAAAACCGGUUGAGGGGAAGAAGACCCCAGUGAGGUGGGUGACCGGUCUCGAAAUAUGACCAUCGGCACCAAAAAACUGGCUGAGGGGAAGAAGACUUUAGUGAGGUGGGUGACCGGUCUUGGAAUAUGACCACCGGCACCAAAUAACUGGCUGAGGGAAAGAAGACCCCCGUGAGAUGGGUGACCGGUCUCGGAAUAUGACCAUCAGUACCAAAAAACCGACUGAGGGGAAGAAGACUCCAGUGAGGUGGGUGACCGGCCUCGGAAUAUGACCACGACACUACAAAAUCGAUUGGAAAAAAAGAAGACCAACAUAAGAAAAACGACAUUAAACAAAGGCCAUGAGCCUCCCAAAGAAAAAUUGAGCAAUAAAUAGUCGACCUAAAAUAGAACUUUGGCUUAAUUAAGACCCAGCAAAUAAGGAAAAAUCGGAUCCCAAGAAAAGAUCUCAGAACACCCAGGAAUGAUGGAUAAAAAUUUGAUUUCGACCUCGCCUAAAGGAUCGGAACACAGAACCACGAAUCAUAAACUCAAAUCCGACCUCAUUGAGGGAUACAGAUUUCAAUAACAUCAGAAAGGCCUAAAUCCAAAUCAAUUAAAAGGCUCGAACUACAGGAAAAAGAGGUCCCAAUACCAUAAAAAUGAGCUCAGCCCACUUAAAGUCCUUAGGCAAAUAAAGGGUAAAUCAGGAAAAUCCAGCCGAACGAGCUCACAAGCUAAACAUGAGAAAAAAACCUAAGUAUAAUAUAACCGAGCUCACAGCCCUAACGAGCUCGUAGGCUAAACAUGCGAAAAAAGUCUAAGUAUAAUAUAACCGAGCUCAUAGGCUAAACAUGCAAAAAAAGUAAUGCAAACGAGCUUACAGCCUAAGUAAAGCUCACAAAGCUAAAUACAUAAAAAUAUCUUAAGUGCAUUAAAACAAGUAAGCCAACAAAUUGGCAAGGCUUGCAGGCCGUGUGUGCAGAAAUAGCUUAAGUAAAUGGGUUAAGCGAGCUGAGAGGCUUGGCCGUUGCUUAAGUACAAAAGGGUAUAAACAUAAAUAAACCAAGUUCAAAGGGGCCAUUAGCUCGGAAAAAAACGCAGAAACUACACAUCCCGAAAUUUUUUAAGUAGGCAAGCAAAACACACGUUAAAGUCAAAAUUUACGAGCUACCAGCCUAAUAAAAGUUCACAAGCGAUUCAUACAAAACAAUUUAAAUAUAAAGUGAUAAAUAAAAUAGACACGAAUAAGUCAAGGAAAAAUAUAAACUUUAUUGAUUAUUUGAAUGGGUUAUAGAGGUAGCAGAGGAGGGGGAACCAAAACUAACUAAGUCAUUUAAAGAUUUGUCCACAGCAUCCUCUCCCUCAGGUCUGGAGGGCAAGCGAGGAGCACCUUUGAGCAAAGGAUUGUCGUCCUCUCCAUAACGCACCUCUUCACCAUCAGAGUCCAUUUUUGGAGCUCGUAGGUCCGCCAAUGGAGUGGAGGGGGCAUCCCUAGUAGACUUCAAGCCCUGGUUAUAGCCUGAGGCAAAAAUUUGAAAAGCCUUCUUAUAUAUAGCCUCCUGCAUAGGCCUUAUACUCCUCUAGUUGUGCUUCGCAGGCAAGAUGAAUUAUAUCUUUAAGCUCCAAAGAGUUUUUAUACUAUUGUAGGCACUCCUCGCAAGCCCGCUGGACCCUAUCCCUUGCGGCUCAGGCAUCCUUCAACAAGGCAGAACAUCUCUUCUCCAGAGCAGUGACUUUUUGGUGGAGUUAUUGUUGCUGAAGGUGAGACUCCUCCGCUGCCAAGGCCAUGCCUUUCAGGUCCUCGAUGUGUUUAUUGAGCUCCUAUUGGAGGACUGCAACGCGAGCUAUGGCCUCAUCACGCUGGUCCCUAGCCUCAUCACGCAAGUUGACGACCGGACUCCUCUAAAGAGGACAACUAUGAUAAGGCAUCGUCUCAUUGAGACUCAGCUGCAGAAGCUCGGCGGGAAGCUGACGGGAAGCCCGGGCGGCCUCCUCUUUCAUAUUCCCCAGCUUGAGUAAGGUCCUUAAUGACUCCUUUCAGCUCGACAAUGUAAUACCCGGCUAGACUCCGGUAUCGGAAUUCCUACCGUCCGGUGGAAUUUCGAGUGUCGGAAAUCUCUAGAAGGGUAAAAUCAUGUUUUUAUGAAAUGUUUUAAUGUAUUUUAUGGUUUUAAGUAAAGAGAAAGUGAGUUUUUGCAUGAAAAUUUAUCUUGGAGGAAAACCCAGGUUUGGCCGCCGAACCUCAAGUUCGGCCGCCGAACAUGCAUGCACUUCGGGAGUGCUUUAGGCCCCCGAAGGCAUAAGUGAGGAAAGCCCAGGUUCGGCCGCCGAACCUUAUGUUCGGCCGCUGAACAUGGCAUGCAUGCGGAGGCACGUUAGGCCCCCGAAAGUGGCCUGGCCAGCCACCUAUAAAGGGGUCCCUGCCGAAAAUGCCGAAACAGGCGAGCUUUCUCCCCAUUUUUGGCCAAGUGAGCUUCCGUCAUUUUCCCUUGCCGAUCUAGUGUUCUUCCUUCAAAUCCCCACUGUUUUCUUGAGUUUUUAACUUUGCAUUGAAGUUUUUUUGAGCUAAGAGCAAGUUGUGAGGCUUGAAAGACUCAGGAGCUCAUUUCUUUGGAUCUCCCAAGUUAGGUCGUCUCUCUCUCGAUCUUCAAGAGGUAAGAGCCGAUCUUAAGCUCAUUUUAUGUUUUUAACAAGUUUAAGUUGAUUCAUGGGGUAGAAAUGCAUGUUUAGGAUAGUUGAGCUUUGAUAAGGUUUAUGUAGUUUUAUGGACAAUGUGUGUUGGAUAUGCAUGUUUGAUGUGUUGUAGUUGGGGUUUAGGAUAGUUUGAGACCCCUAGGUGUUGAUGUAUGAGUGUAUGCAUGUUUUGAGAGGUUUGGAUGCAUGAUUGAAUGUUUUGGAGGCAAAUGUGCAUGUUGGAGCAGAGUUUCUGCCCAUUUGAGAAACUCAGGUUCGGCAGCCGAAAGGACUUUCGGCUGCCGAACCUGCCAGUGAAGGCAAGCCCUUCGGCUGCCGAAGCCUGUCCCUGAAAGUGGACUUUCGUCUCUGGAGGGGACUUUCGGCCGCCGAAGGUGCCGCCGAACAUGCAUGAGUUUCGUCUCUGGAGGGAACCUUCGGCCGCCGAAAGUGUUGCCGAAGGUGCAUGACUUUCAGCUCUGGAAGGACUUUCGGCCGCCGAAGGUGCCGCCAAAAGUGCCCUGUUCAGCCAUUUCUUACAUGUUUUCUAUGAUUGUUUCUAGGUGUUUUUAGGGGGUUUUUGGGGGAAUGUUUAGACUAUGUCAGUAUAUGUUUGGUCCUUCAUCUGAGUCUACCUGUGUAGGUUCGGACCCGAGGAACCGAGGAGGUCAGCAGUGCUAGCUGCUUCAGAGUCCUUAGAGCAUCAGCCAGAGGUGAGUAGAACAGAACUUUGACUUAAAUUUUAAUAGAAUGUUUAGCAUGACCCCAUGCAUCAUAAAUGCCAUGCUUAUGUAGGUUGUCUUGCACUAGUAUUCACGAAUAUGAUGCAUUGCAUUUUUAUUGUUGAUGUGGAUGGAUGUUGGAUGACCCACUAGCUCUCAGUAUGUAACCUAGAAAGUCCAGGGCUGCCCAUGCCACGCGUCCGGGCAAAUGCAUGAUUGUUUAUGAGAAAUGAGUGUUAUUGGUGACAAGUCCGUCCUUGAUGUGAAAUGUCUGUGUUAUGAUGCAUUCCAUGAAAGCAUGAAUAAUUAUAAUGUUUUAUGGUUCUGCUCACUGGGCUUUUUAACUCACCCCAUUCCCUUAACCCCACAGGUUUGCAGGUACGAGGCAGUCAGGGAAGUCAACUAGAAUAGCAAGGUUUCUUGGUUAUGUAAUAGUUUAGAUGUGGACAUGAUAAGUUGUAAUGUAAAAGUAUUAUGUAGUUAUGGGAUGUAAAAAUGUUAUAGAGGUUUAAAAUUGGUGCUUGACCCUAGUAUGUUGUAAAUCCCCUUUUAUAUACAUGAUCUUUAUAUUAUGAUGUUUUGAUAGACCAAGCUUAAAGUAUGUUAUGAUAUCGCAUUGGAGCAUUUGAUGAGGGCUCCAGUGUGUGGUUUAUGCUUAUGUUGAUGUGCAUGCACAGGUUAAGCUUGGCAAUAGGAAAAGAAAAAGUUUAUAUGUUUAUGAUAUGUAUGAUCAUGUAUGGGAUUAAACAGGUUUACAGGUUUAUGUUGGCUUGCUACGGGUCCCGGCGACCUUAUGUCGAACUGGAUCCUAGCGCCGGUAGCGGUCCGGAUUUCCGGGUCUUUACAGACAAUUUGCCCUUGUUCCUCACCAGUGGCAGUAAUAUUCUCGUCCCUGCACUCCUCAGUGAUGCGCUGCACCAUCGAGCUCUAGAAUGACCAGUUUUGAGCAUCGAUCUCGAUAAACACUCCGAAAGCCUGCCACAAAGAAAGAAAAAGACAGAGUUAGAAAAAUCAAGGGAGAUAUAAGUAUUCUCAAGAAAAACACAAUAGCUUACCAUAAGGAGCAUCUCCCUUAGGCUAUCUUCGAGGUCGUCUAGGGAGCAAGCACUGAAUGUUGCUUGCUGCAUAGUGGAGCAGGCAAGGUGGCUGACGAAGGCUAGGAAGUGAGGAUCUAAAGCGUUUGGAGCACCACCAAACAUUUUAUUACAAAGCUCCUUGGUGGUUGAAGCUGGUGUAGAUUCAAGAGUCACAUCGGCAUCGUUGAGGGAUUCAUUGUCAAGGGCUGAGGAUAGUAGCUCCACAACCCUUUUUCCUUUGUCAGCAGAAGGGGGAGGCACGGUCUUGGCAGGAUCUGCGGCCUGAGCCCUAUUAGCAGCUCUACCUUCAGGAGUGGGCUCAGAAGUCCACGCCCGCUUACCGGUGGCCCCUCCAAUCACAACAGCAGUGAUGGUCUGAAGAGGUUGGAUGUCCAAAGGAGCGACCUCAGCACCUCCCUUAGAACCGCCCUUAGCAGAUUCACUGAUGGUGGUAGGCUCCUUGGAGGUCCGCUUAGGAGCUGCCAGGGACUUGGCCAAGGCCGACGCAUUGGCAGGAACAAAGGCCUUUGAAGUUGCAGAACGAGAGCCUUUUGUAGUAGAUGUCAACGCUAGAGCAGGGGCAGAAGCAAGAGUUCGGCUUGCAGAGGUAGGGGCAAUAACCUGGAAAACCUCACGAGUCAUGUCCGCCACAGACUUACCGGCCUUGAAGGCUUCCAGCGUGGCCUUCAUGCUCUCCCUAGAUAGGGUAAAAUUCUUCGGCAAUUUGAGGUUGUCCAUGGGCGAGGCAAAAGCUAAAAAAGAGAAAACAAUACAAGUCAGAACUCAGGAUAACAAAAAAAAUACAAUUAGAAGAGAAAAAUAAGAAAGCAAUAAUUAACAAUACCAGCUUCUCGGUAGUCCCGGAGGUUAGAUAUGAACAUGCACUUCUCGAUAUCACACUUCUCGAUAUCGCACUUCUCGACAUCAUACUUCUUCUGUAUAGAGGUUAGACAUGAACAUGCACUUCUCGACAUCAUACUUCUUCCGUACAGAGGUCAAUCGAAAAAGGUAGAUCUGGUCAACCAGGAUCAGCCAGAGAAGGUCAUUGCAGCCCUGAGGGACCUCUCUCCAAGAGAGAUCAACAUCUCAGCUGAUCUCCUAGCUCUCCUUUAGCUCGACCAUCACGAAGGUCUUGGUCCAGCCUUUUAUUGAAUCUUUAUACCCAGCAAAGAUGGACAACCCCCCUUCCCCUUAGGAGCAAAGUAGUAAAACCUAUGGUUAGCCCAGACGAGGCAGAAGAAAGUGGAGAACAGAGCAACGGAAGGAGCAAAACCCUAACACAGCAAACAAAUUCAAAGGAGCACAUGAAGAGAAUGGAAUUUGGGGAUAACAUGCGAGGGGUCACACUAAAAUACUGAAAUGGAUAAAAAUCUCGAUGAAAAAAGGGGUGAAGGGGAAGGUCAACCCAAAAUCACAUUGCUUAACGAAAAAAAUUAAGUUGCGACCCUGCUGGGGUCUGUCAAGCUCGCCGAAGGUGGAUUGGGAAGGACAAUCCUCUCAUUGUCUAGAGGAGCCCUAAUCCUAUAAAUGGAGGUAUCGAUGUACUCGCUGGAGAAAAAAUUAGAAAGAAAAGAAGGAGUGACAAAGGAUAUCAAAUCUAUGACCUCAGGAAUAGAGUGGGACGUACCUCAGAGCAGAGAUUGCAGAGGCGAAGGAGAACAAUUUAACGGGAGGAGAGUGAGAAGAAGAGUCGAAAGCAAAAUCGAAAAUACGAAUUUGAAAUGGGUAAAGCCGGAGAGAAAAUGUUUUGAUAAGAGUCGCGCGGUCAUAAUUGAAGUUUUGAGAUUUUCCCUCAUUAAUCAUGGAAUAACUAAUGAGCAGGUAAAGGAGCACUUGAUGAUCGCUGGGUCUUUGCUUCCCGGCCGCAGUCAAGCCCAUGUAGGAGAGCAAGGUCAUAACCCACUAGAGCCCAAUACGCAAGUCUAUCCUCUAGCAUGCGGUCCAGAUCACGCUUAGGCAGGACGGGCAAAAUGAGGCUCGAGCCCAACAAAGAAGGAUCUAGCUCACCUGACUUGAUGGGUCAGUGGGGGGAAUAGACCCCUCCAUAUCCAGAACCAUGUCAGCACGAGCAUCGAAGGAAAUUAAAUAGCCGCCUGAUGAUGGAAAAAGGGAGCAGUACGUCCAUACGUACGGUUUUGUAUGAUAGCGGCAUGUGGCACUAUAAUAGGGUGGCAGUUAUAUGUCACUAAAAAACAAAAUGGAAAAAGAAUAAAGGAAGGUGUGAACUAUUCAAACUAAGCUUACACGCACAUACCCAAAACUCUAUCCUUUUCUGAUCAUCAAUAAAAAUUUACCAAAAGCCUAAAAAUCAAAAUCAAACCAAACAAACAAGAUCAACUCAAAAAUGGAACCCAAUUAAACCUAAACAAGAAAAACUAAAUUCAAAUCAAAUCAAAAUGAGAAACCAACAAAAGCACCGACCCUAAUAGCAAUCUCCAUCGGCACCGACUCAAGCCUCAAUCCGUUAUUGGAAUCGAAGAGAACAAAGCGCUGAAUAUAGCAACCAAGGCCUACGCGAACAAUACCAACCACAGACAUGUAAGGAAAGAAAAGAAAGCAGACAAGCACCAAAUCCCACAAACAUCAAGGAAAGAGAGUACAACAAGCCAAUCACUGGAGAAACUAACGAAAAAUACCCAAGGUAGAAUAAACCCAAGCAGCUUUAAAAUACUAGACUCAAAGGGACGACGCGACAUAACUCUCAACAAAAGCGAUGGUCACCAAACGUAAUGUUGCAGACCUAGUUCAUGGAUAUAGUCACUGAGCAUAAGUGUAUACAUUUAUAUGUGUAGGUGGAAAUCAAGUUAAAUUUCUCGUUUAUCUUAAUAAACAAUAAAUAACUUGCUAUUUUUAUGAGACUUUUAUAUUUAAUUUUUUAUUGCCCUCAACACGAAAUUAAUAGGUCAAUUAUUGAAUUUGACUCAAUUUUUAACCCUUGAAUUGGAUCUUAAUAUAAAGUAUAGAGAAACCUUAAUCAUUGAGAUUUUUUUUUUCUUAAAAGAAAGUAAGAAGUAAAAUGUACUUUAGAAGCCAUGCAUAAUACACAUAAAAAUAUAUCAAUAGGGAGUGAGGUUUUAAAAAAUUUAAUAAUUUGAAAAAAAAAUAAAAAAAAGAAUAACUAUGAUAGAUAAAUGAAGGGAAAAGAAAAAUUGAUAAACUACUUUUACCUCUUACUUUUCAUCUAUUUAUAUUAUUUUUCCUCUUUUACUAUUUUUUAAAUUGAAUUUUCUAUUUUAUUUUCCAUUGAAAUAAAAAGAAUUAUAAAGUAUAUAUCAAAACCCCAAUCAAAAUAAAGUAAAUAAAUUUUAUUAAAAUUAUUUAUUUAGAAGAGAUAAAAGGGCGGAAAGGAUAAGAACAACAUUAUUUAUAAAGCAAUUAAUAAAAUGUCACUAUUAAUUAUUUUUUGGUUUAAAUAAUGGAAACUUUCUGAUUGUUGCAUUAAGUCAUUGAUGGGACCCAUGAGCCCAUGUCUAUUUAUCACUAAAAAAAUAUUUACCACUUGCUGCGCAUUAAUAAAAACGAAACUCAUUAAUAAAUUUAUAUGCAUUGCACAAAAUGAAAUUGACUCGCCGCUGGAGUCCACAUGCUGCCCAUUUUACGCCAACUUCAACAUUAUAUAUAUAUUAUAUUUUAAAGGAAAACGAAGGUCUGAAUGCUAAAGUUACCUACCGUCUUCCAUCACCCUUUCCACAUCUCCCUCUCUAUCUCUGACCAUUCAUUCACACUGAAUAUACUUGCAAGAAAGUUCUGGUCGUGGUUGCAUAAGUCUGCAACUUCUGACGACCUCUAGCUUGGGGCUGAACGGGGCAGAUCGCCGGAUGGAUACUAGAGGUAUUAAUUGUUGUAGCUGAAACUGUGGAACCAAAUAGUAUUAGUUUCAUAGAGCUUUCAUUUCAUUUCAUCAACUAAUUGAGGCAUGUUGUUUAUUCUAUGGUCACUAAGCACAGAUCCGAAUGAAUCUGCCUUAUCUCCGUCUGCAUCUGAGAAUUAUGACCGUAUUGGGCCAAAGCCAUAUUCAUACGGUGAACUAGCAAAGGCAACUGGUCUUUUCUCGCACAAUAACCUAAUUGGUCGAGGUGGUUUUGGUCAUGUUUUUAAGGCAUCCUUAGAUGGCGAGACUCGUGCUAUCAAGAGACUUGAUUAUCCGGGUAUAGAGUCCGAAGGAGAUUUGGAAAGGGAGAUUAUGGUCGUCAAAAGCAUCAGUCACAAAAACCUCGUUGAACUGGUUGGUUAUUGCAUUGAUGGAGCCAAUAGAUUGCUUAUUUUAAAGUAUUUUCCAAAUGGGUCUUUGAGAUCUAAAUUAGAUGGUGAGUCCCAUAUCCUUUAUUUUACGUUUCAUGUAACUAACGCGACAUAAUUAAUCUUGUAAAUUACAAAUGGUUUUGGUUUUGUAGGGAAGGAGAAUGUUUUAGACUGGAAAAAAAGAAUGAAUAUUGCUAUAGGUUCUGCAAGAGGAUUGGAAUAUCUACAUGAACACUGUAAGUAUGUAGUACAACAUAUUCCUACUUGGCAGGAUUUUAGCUUUAGAGAGUGAAUUUAUUUUUUAUUUUCUGUUUUUGUAAUAAUUUAUUUUCUCUUAAAAUUUUAUAUUUUCUCUAUAUCUUUUUCAGGUGAACCUAAAAUUAUACAUUUAGAUAUCAAGCCGGAUAAUAUUCUUCUUGAUGAACAUUUUGAACCUAAGGUAAAAUAAUUUUAUAUUAAAUAAAUAUUUUAUUUAUAUUUAUCACAUUUAUAUACAUAGUGGAACCUUGAUCACUGAAUACUGAAAUUUUAUUUUUUGAAUUGAACUCGUUGUUUGUAUAAUAUGAUUGUUGGAAUUAAUUAAUAAAUCAGGGUUCUACUUCUGUUUUGGUUUGGCCAUAUAUUUUUGGCUUUUUUAAUAAAAAUUAUUGCUUAUAGGUGAAGGCAAAAGUUGAAGGAAAGUUUGAUUUUCUUUUAUAUCUUGGAUCAGUAGCAGUACAUGUAUAUAUAUACAGUGGGUACAAUAGACUUGACUUAAAAUAGGUUUACAAAAAAUGUAAUACACAUGAAAGAACUGAAAACAGUUUUUCUAACCUAACUUUGGCGCCAUUAUUUUCCACGUGGCUUAACAUCCCCUGCAAAUUGAAGAGUAUAUAUCAAACAUCCCCAGCUUGGAUAAUAUUUCUCGAAAAGGAGCAAUAGGUAUGGGCUUUGUGCAAAUAUCAGCGAGUUGGGCAGCUGAUGGUAUUGGAAGGAGCUUAAUCAACCCAGAGAGCAGUUUUUCACGAACAAUAUAGCAGUCUAUCUCAAUAUGUCUUGUACAUUCAUGAAAAAUAGAAUUCGCAGCAAUCAAUCCAGAGAGCAGUUUUUCACGAACAAUAUAGCAGUCUAUCUCGAUAUGUUUUGUACGUUCAUGAAAAAUGGAAUUCGCAGCAAUUUGUAUAGCAGGUUUGUUAUUGCAAUAGAUAAUGGCAGGUUGAGGUGACUGACAAAUAGGUCAUGAAGAAGAUACAAUAGCUACUGUACUUCACAGGUGAUAGUUGCAAGAGCUCGAUAUUCAGCUUUAGAGGAGCUCCGAGAAAUGGUGGACUGCUUCUUUGCCUUCCAAGAAAAUAGAGCGGAUCCUAGAAGGAGUCAAAAUCUUGUAACAAACUUUUGGGUGUCAGCACAACUUGCGCGGUUGAACUAGUAGAGAAGAAAAGACAUGCACUCGGGAGCUCUUGAUAUAAUGUAAUAUUCGAUGGGCUGUUUGUAAAUGAAUAGAGGUGGAGCGAUCCAGGAACUGACUAAGUUGUUGAACUGCAAAGGAAAUACCAGGUCUUGUGGAUGUCAAAUAGAGUAAUCGCGCUAUCAGUCUUCUAUAGGAAAGGAUAUCAUCCAAGGGUGUGCCAAAAUCAAUAAUAAGCUUAGUUUUGGAGUCCAUAGGAGUGGGAGAUGGUUUGCGAUCUAAAAAGCCAGAGUCAUUAAGGAUGUCAAGGGCUAUUUACGCCGACAAAGAGAGAUGCCAGCUUAGUUCUUGCUACUUCCAACCCCAGAAAAAACUUCAAAUCACCAAGGUUUUUUAUUUUGAACUUGUUAUCAAGAAAAGAUUUAACAGUGUUAAUUUCUUGUAAAUUUGUGCCAGCUAAGAUAACAUCAUCGACAUAAACCAAUAUCAGAGUGAUGUGAACAUCAUGUUUCUUAUCAAAGAGGGAAUAGUCCGAGAUAGACUGUUUAUAACUCAGGGAGACAAGAGCAUUAGACAAUUUUGAAUACCAUUGAUGAGUGGCUUACUUUAAACUAUAGAGUGACUUGUUUAAGUGACAAACUUUAUUAAAUUGAGAGGUAGUAAAGCCUGGAGGAAGUGUUAUGUAUAUUUUUUCAUGAAGAUCUCCAUGAAGGAAUGCAUUAUUGAUGUCCAACUGUUGUAAAAACCAUCCAUUAGCAGCUGCAAGAGCUAAGAGAAGUUGCACAGUGGUUAUCUUAGUAAGAGCUCUUGAUAUAACGUAAUAUCUGAUGGGUUGUUUGUAAAUGAACAGAGGUGGGGGAGAUCCAGGAAUUGACUAAGUUGUUGAACUGCAAAGGAAAUGUCAGGUCUUGUGGAUGUCAAAUAAAGUAAUCCCACUAUCAGUCUUCUAUAGGAAAGGAUAUCAUCCAAGGGUGUGCUAGAAUCGAUACUACGUUUAGUUUUAGAGUCCAUAGGAUUGGGAGUGACUGUGCGGUUGUCGAAGCAGGUCAAAAAUAACCUUUUUGGUUAUCAACAAUUUUACAACUGUAGAUAGUGGCAAAAGGAUGAAAUCCACAGGGAAUUGAUACUUACUUAUUUUCCUAAUCAAGACCAAGUAAAUAAAUAGACAAUAAGAGUAAAUUGGGAGGGGGGUUUUGAAGAUUGAUGACUAAACUAGCAAUAAAGUAAAGCAAAUAAUAAAAUAAAGGAAAUUCAAUAAUGAGAAAGGCCUAGUUGGAGAGUCAGAUCCACUUUAGUUGUUGGGGUUGAUUAUUGAUACUUAUAUUCUUUUAAUUGACUCAAUAAAUUAGUUAUGGAGGUGGAAGAUACUUCUCACCUCCAUAUCCCUCCUUAAGCAUAGAUUAAUUAGGGAACGUCCUCUAAUUAAUCACUAAUUAACAAGUUGCCAAGGAACAUCCUUGGGGCUUUAAGCAUCUAACAACUGUCAAUUGCAUUAAGAAAUAGAGAGACCUAAUUCUAGCUACCCAAACGUAUGGUGAUGUUGCUAGAUCAUGCAAUUUCCUUAGUUUUUACACCAAGAGUUACUUUUGUUUGAAUAAUUCAAGAAAUUACGGACUUAAAACUAUCCAAACUAACAAAUUAUUACCUUGUAAUCAAGAAUCAAUAGAUCCUAGUGAUCUAAAUAACAAAGCAACAAUAGAAUUAAGCAUGAAAUUGCAUAAAUAUUGAUAAAUAAAAGAUUAACAUAAUAUGUUCAAAUCUCCCAAUCCAUAAACAACUAAAGUUUCACCUAAUCUUCAACUAGAAAAAAGGGUUUCAGCCACUCAUGGCUGAAACAAACAUGAAAAAUAAAGAAAGAAAACCAAAGAAAGGAAGAGGAAGGCCAAUCCGCCGGCUGGAGUGGUAUGCUGGUGGCGCGCGGUUGCUAUGCAGCUUCUGCCGAAGAUGAAUGAUGAUCCAAAGAUGGUUCUUUGCUGGUUUGCUUGUCCUUUUAUAGCUGAGGAGGUUGCCCUAGGUUUUCUUGUUGAGAUGGGAUUCCUUUUCCUACUUGGAGUUGAAUUCUUGAAAGCAAUUGUAUCUUCUUGAGAUUUGGCUUCCUAAAUAUGUAGGAUAGAGAACUGAGGUGUAUUAUUGACUUGCUAAGUUGUCCCCACGUGUUUGGUGUGCAAAAGACUUCUUGAAGACUUGGAUUCCAAGUUUCCCGCAACUGCUGUCUUCUGUCGUAAGUGCUUGUUUGCCCGGGUUGUGUGGGCAAACAACUCAGGCAAACAGUCUGUCUUGCCUGUUGUCUGUGCACUGCUUCUGCCCUAUGGGCUUGUUUCCCUAGUUUGCCUGGACAAACAAUAUAGUCAAACAGCAAGUCUGUAUUUUCCUUAUUCCUCUCCCAAUUCAUCUGCAACUUGGUUUGAGCAAACAACUUGGGCAAACCAGACUUGUUCUCUUUUGCUCUCUUUUAGGCGGAUUUAAGGCCAUUUUUACCAAAUUACCCUUUUACUCAAUUUUCUGCAAAAUAAGAUCAAUACCACAAAAUUAGGUAGAAAAUGUGUAAAUCAACAUAAAUAACAAAAUUAGUUGCUUGCAUCGCACAUGAUUUCAAAGGGAAAGUUCCAAUCAGGUGCUUGAAUGAUUGGGGCAGUCACUAGUAAUUCUUUUAUUAGAUCAAAUGCUAUCUUGCAAAUUGCAUCAAAAUCAAAUGUUACAUCUUGUUGGAGAUGGUUGGGUGAUUUUGGAGAAAUCUUUUAUAAAUCUUCUGUAGAAUCCUGCGUGGCCAAGGAAGGAACGGAUUUCUCUAACAUUUGUGGGGUAGGGCAGAUUUUUUAUGGUGUCCACCUUGGCUUUGUCCACUUCAAUUCCUUUGGCUGAAACAACAUGGCCUAGGAUCAAACCUUGGUUAACCAUGAAGUGGCAUUUUUCAUAUUUAAGCAUAAGAUUUGAUUCAAGGCACCUCUGUAGGAUUUUUUUCAGAUUAGCAAGGCAUUCUUCGAAAGAGUUACCGUAUACCGUGAAGUCAUCCAUGAAGACUUCAAUGAUUUUCUCCACAUAAUCAGAAAAUAUGCUCAUCAUACAGCGUUGGAAGGUAGUAGGCGCAUUGCAUAGUCCUAAUGGCAGUCUUUUGAAUGCAAAGGUGCCAAAAGGAAAAAUGAAGGUGGUCUUUUCUUGGUCUUCUGGGGCCACUGGAAUCUAAUAAAAUCCUGAAUAACCAUCCAAACAGCAAUAGUGUGACUUACCUGCAAGCCUCUCUAGCAUUUGAUCAAUGAAGGGUAGAGGGAAGUGAUCCUUCCUUGUUGCUGCAUUUAGCUUCCUAUAGUCCAUGCAUACUCUCCAUCCAUUCUUAACACGAGUUGGAACAAGUUCUCCCUCGGAGUUUGGAACAAUGGUGAUCCUAGUUUUCUUCGGGACUACAUGUACAGGACUUACCCAUUUACUAUCAAAGAUUGGGUAGAUGAUUCUUGCAUCUAGUAGUUUGACUAUCUCCUUUUUCACCACUUCCAUCAUAGGGGGGUUUAGUCUCCUUUGAGCAUCUUGGACAGGCUUGCAGUAUUCUUCCAUGUGUAUCCUAUGCAUGCAUGUGGCAGGUGAGAUGCCUUUUAUGUCGUCAAUGGUCCACCCUAUUGCUCCCUUCUAUUUCUUUAGUACUUGAAGGAGGUUUUUUUUUUCUUCUUGUUGGCUUAAUUGAUUUGACAUUAUUACUGGAUGUGUCUUUUCAGCUCCUAAGUACAUGUAUUUCAAGUGUCCAGGAAGAGGCUUCAAAUCCGGGUUUGAAAUUUUCUGAUCUGCUGGUUGCUAUUUGGGCAAACACAAUUCUGCCUCAUCUUCCUCUGCUGGUGGUUUGGUCGAACAACAGCUCACUUGUGCUAUCAAUCCGGUUGUGCUGGAUUCUGCCCUCUCAUGCUGUUUGGGCAAAUAGCGAAUUUCCUCAUGUUCCUCUGCUGGUUUUUUAGGUAAACAGUGUUCUGACUUUCCAGGUGCCUUUGCUUCAGUCAAAUGGUAUUCUGUCGAAGCUGUUUGCCCAAUUGGUUUGGGCAAACUGUGUUCUUCUUGCUGAAAUGGUAUGGGCAGGCUACAAGCUGUCUGCGUCUGCUGAACCUGUUUGGGCAAACAGCAGUUUGCCUUGCCUUUCUCUGCUGUCUGUUUGGGCAGACAAUAACCUGCCUGCUGAGUGCAGCAGAUUGCUUCUGUCCGUUUUAGCUUUCCUUGGCUUCCCUCAUUUUCUUGGCUGGCCUCCCUGCAAAAAUCAUUAUUUAGCAUAUCAUUUUGAUUCAUAUCAAAAAUUUCUUGGCUUAGACAAUCAAUGAUAUCUAAACCAUAAAUAGGGAACAUGUCAUGGGGAUAUUUCAUAGCAUCAUAGACAUUGAAUUUAUUACUUCCCCUUCAAAUUUCAUGGUCAAUGUGCCAUCAUGCACAUCAAUCUUAGUCCUGGCCGUGCUCAAGAAGGGUCGUCCAAGCAAUAUGUCUGAGGUAGUGUUGCUAUUGUCUUCCUCCAUAUCAAUCACAUAGAAAUCUGCUGGAAAGACAAGUUGAUCUAUUUGGACUAGAACGUCUUCUAGAAUGCCUUUUGGGUAUACCACGGAUCUAUCAGCCAAUUGGAUAACCACUCUAGUGUCCUUAAGUGCACCUGCAUUCAAAGAAUUAUAAAUAGAAAGAGGCAUAACAUUAAUUGAUGCACCUAAGUCACACAUGGCUUUCUUGAUGUCAACAUUGCCAAUUUUGCAAGAAACAGCAAACAUCCCUCGAUCUUUGCACUUGGCUAGUAGUUUUCUCUUAAUGACAGCAGUAACUACUUCACCUACACUUACCUUUUCUUUUUCAGCAAGCUUCCUUCAGUUUGUGCACAACUCUUUCAAGAAUUUUGCAUACCUUGGUAUUUGUUUUACCGCAUCAAGCAAAGGUAUGUUAAUCUCCACUUUUCUAAAGGUUUCAAGGAUCUCUCUUUCUUCUUUUUCUUUUUGUGAUUUUUCAAACCUUUUUGGAAAAGGAGGUGGAAUCUUGAAGCUUACUUGCUGGUUUGUAUUCUGCUGGUGUACUAGUGUUGUUUGCCCAGUCUGUUUGGGCAAACAGCACUCUGGCUGCUUGGGCAAACUGUCCCUAUCCUGCUGUGUAUGUUGUCUGCUUGUUUGCCCAGUCUAUUUGGGCAAACAACAGUCUGUCUCAGUUUCUGGCAGAUUUUCUUUAGCCACUUGUCUUUGCAAUUCUGAACCUCUAUCAUCAACCUUGACAUCUUGAAGUUCUUUCCCACUUCUUAACAUUAUGGUACUUACAUUUUGCUUGGGAUUGGCCUCGGUUUGGGAUGGCAACUUUCCUUUAGAUUCAAGUUUACUCACAGAGGUGGCUAUUUGACCCAUUUGCUGUUGGAGACUUUGCACAAUGUUCACCAAUGACUUCAUCAUCUCCUCAAGGUGCGUAUUGGACCUUGGAGGUGCUAUUUGGGCUGGAUUUCUUGGAUAAUUUUGGUAGUUGUUAGCCCUAGCAUAGCUGAAGUUCGGAUGGUCUAUCCAACCGGGAUUGUAGGUGUUAGAAUAUGGAUCAUCUCUUGGUUGUCCAUUAAAUCCUCCAAUGGCAUUUACUUGCUGGUCAUCCUCUUGAAGUGUAGGACAUUGAUCAGUUGGGUGUCCCACAUGUGCACAUAUCCCGCAUGGCCUUAUUUGCUGAAGUUGUUGAGCUUGUUGGGAUUGACUUAUAACAAGACUUCUCACAGCAGAGGUUAGUUCAGAAAUUUGAGAUGUAAGAGCAGAUGUAAGAGCAGAUGUACUUACCUCAUUGACUCUCCUUGGCAACUGUAACAGCCCGGGAAUCCAGACCGCUACCGGCGCUAGGAUCCAGAUCGGCGUAAGGCCGUCGGGACCCGUAGCAAGCCUGACAUCUAACCUGUAAACCUGUAAACAUUUGCAUAUCUCAACCAAGCUCAACCUGUACAUUACAUAAUCAUAAACAUAAACCACCACUGGAGCCUUCAUCAAAUGCUCCAAUGGGGUAUCUCAUCAUAUGUUGAGCUUGGACUAUCAUGAACAUCAUAAACAUAUCUAUAGAUCAUGUAUCAAAAGGGACAACAAUACUCAUAUGGUCAAGCACAACUAUAACCACAAUACAUAACAUUACAUAACUGUUCUAUACUCUUACAUUUCAUCAAUUACAUUUGUCAUGUCCACAAUCUAACUAUUACAUAUGCAUACUUCAAGACUCUGGCUAACCUCCUGGUCUACCCUGUACCUGCACAUCUGGGGUUAGGAGAGAGGGGUGAGCUAUAUAGCCCAGUGAGCAGAAUAUAGAAAACAUAUAUUAAAAUUUCAUGCUUUCAUGAAAUUCAACACACCACAAACAAAUCACAUAAGGAUGAACUUGUCACCAAUGGCCCUCUACAUGGUCCAAUGAGGUCCAACUGUGCCAGAACGUAGAAUGGGUCCUGGUCUUUCUCUUACUCUGUGCCAGGGACGUAGAAUGGGUCUUCCUGGACUUUCUCUUACUCUGUGCCAGGGACGUAGAAUGGGUCUUCCUGGACUUCCAUACCAUAUCAUCAUAAUAUCAUACUAUACGAGGACCAAUGGAUCAUCCAACAUUCAUCCGCAUCAACAACAAAGUAUGCAAUGCAACAACUUCGUGAAUACUAAUGCAAACACCCUAUAAUAUCACAUGGCAAAUAUGAUGCAUGAUCAUGCUCAAAAAGUUAUAUCUCAUUUAUUUAAAAACUUAAGGUUUAUUCCACUCACCUCUGGCUGAAGCUCUAAAGACUCUGACAAUCUCUGUAGCAGCUGGCUCACUGCUGGGGUCCUCGGUUCCUCGGGUCCGAACCUACACAGGUGGACUCCAAUGAGGGACCAAACAUACACAAACAUAACUCUAAUGUACUCCCCAAAAACCCCCUGAAACAUCAUGAAAAAACCAUAGGAAUACAUGCAUGAAAUGGCUGAACAGGGCACUUUCGGCGGCAGGUUCGGCGGCCGAAAGUCCCUCCAGAGCCGAAUCCCAGGCAGGUUCGGCGGCACCUUCGGCGGCCGAAAGUCCCAGACAGAGACGAAAGUCUCUUUUCGGGGGCAACUUCGGCAGCCGAAAGGCCUGCCUCCCCAGCCAUGUUCGGCGGCCGAAAGUCCUUCGGCUGCCGAACCUGGUUUCUGCCAAAGGGCAGAAACUUGGCUCCUCUGUGCACAUUUCGCCUCCCAAGCUCAAAUCAUGCAUACCACUCAACCAAAACAUGCAUACAAGCUCCUAGGGGUCUCAAACAAACAUAUACCCCAACUACAACACUUCAAACACACACAAUCAAGCCACAUUGUUCAAGAAUCACAUAAAACCUAACAUAGCUCAACUAAUCCUAAACAUGGAUUUCUACCCCAUAAAACUUUAUAAAACUUGUUUAAAACAUAUAUUGAGCUUAAGAUCGGCUCUUACCUCUUGAAGAUCGAGAGAGAGACGACCGAAACUUGGAGGUCCAAGCAAAUGAGCUCCUGAGUUUCCAAAGCUCCGAAACUUGUUCAAAACUUGAAAAUCUUCAAAACCAAAGUUACAAACUUGUAAAAAUCAUGGAAAAUGAAAGGAAAAACUCAAGAUUUGUGAAGGAUGGCGGAAAGCUCACCUUGGCCGAAAUGGGGAGAAAAAGCUCGCCCGUUUUCGGCUAAGGGACCCUUUUAUAGUGGCUGGCCAGACCACGUUCGGGGGCCGAAAGUGCUUCCGCAUGCAGGCCAUGUUCGGCGGCCGAACUUGAGUUUCGACGGCCGAACCUGGACUUCCCUCACUCAUGCUUUCGGGGGCCUAACGUGCCUCCAAAACGCAUGCAUGUUCAGCGGCCGAACUUGACUUUCGGCGGCCGAACCUGGGUUUUCCUCCAAAAACUUUUCAUGCAAAAACUCAUUUAAUUUCAUACUUAAAACCAUUAAAAACAUGAAAACAUUUUAUAAAAACAUACUUUUACCCUUCUAGAGGUUUCCGACAUCCGGGAUUCCACCGGACGGUAGGAAUUCUGAUACCGGAGUCUAGCCGGGUAUUACAUUCUCCCCCCCUUAAGAACAUUCAUCCCCGAAUGUUCCUCAACUAGCGCAUGCAUAACAUACAUAUACAUCACAUAAACACAUAAAUACUAACCUCUAAAAGAGAUGGGGAUAUUGCUGGAGCAUGGACUCCCGUGUCUCCCAAGUGCAUUCUUUCAUAUUGUGGUGGUUCCAAAGGACUUUCACCAUCGGGAUUUCCUUGUUCCUCAACUUUCUGAUCUGGGUGUCCAGAAUCCGCACUGGCUGUUCAACAUAGGUGAGAUCCUCUUGGAUCUCCACAUCAGGCUCACUAAGAACCUUGCUCGGAUCUGACACGAACUUUCUUAACAUGGAAACAUGGAAAACCGGAUGGACUCUUUCCAUAGAUGCAGGCAAGUCCAGCUUGUACGAUACAUUCCCAACCUUUUGCAAGACCUCAAAGGGUCCGAUGUAUCGUGGGGCUAGCUUACCUUUCUUACCAAACCGAACCACCCCUUUCAUAGGAGACACUCUGAGCAAUACCAGAUCUCCCUCCUGAAACUCUACUUGUCUUCUGCGAAGGUCUGCAUAACUCUUCUGUCUGCUCAUAGCAGUCUUAAUCCUUUCUCUGAUCAUGGGCACCACCCUGCUGGUGAUCUCUACAAGCUCAGGCCCUGCUAAGGACCUCUCUCCAACCUCUUCCCAGCAAACGGGUGAUCUGCACUUCCUCCCAUACAAAGCUUCAUAUGGAGCCAUCCCUAUGCUGGCAUGAUAGCUGUUAUUGUAGGCAAACUCCACCAAGGGUAGAUGUUGCCUCCAAGAACUGCCAAAAUCCAGCACACACAUUCUGAGCAUGUCCUCUAUAGUCUAGAUGGUCCUCUCUGACUGUCCAUCAGUCUGGGGGUGGAAGGCAGUACUGAAAUCCAACCUGGUACCCAUAGCACUCUGCAGACUCCGCCAAAACCUGGAGGUGAACUGGGGCCCUCUAUCUGACACUAUAGACACUGGGACCCCAUGCAGUCUGACAACUUCAUCCACAUAGACCUGCGCUAACUUAUCCACAUAGUAGUUGCUCCUGGCUGGAAUGAAGUGAGCAGAUUUAGUGAGUCUGUCCACAAUCACCCAUAUGGAGUCUAAUCUGUUGGAUGUUGCCGGUAACCCCACUACGAAGUCCAUAGCUAUAUUCUCCCAUUUCCACUCUGGAAUAGGUAGCGGGUUAAGCAUCCCAGCCGGCUUCUGAUGUUCCAGCUUCACCCUCUGACACACUUCGCAGGCUGACACGAACUGUGCCACUUCCCUCUUCAUAGCUGGCCACCAAUAAACUCUCUUCAGAUCUUGAUACAUUUUGGUGGCUCCAGGGUGAACAUUGUAUUUUGCAUUAUGAGCCUCCCUCAUAAUGUCUCCUUUCAACCCGAUGUCAUCUGGUACACAUAGUCUGUUCCCAUAACGGAGGAUCCCCUUAUCAUCAAAUCUGAACUCCUCAUUCUUGCCCGACUGAACAAUCCUGGCAAUCUUCACUAACUCUGGGUCCUCGUGCUGUUUCUGAGCCACCUGCUCCAGAAACACAGGUGCUACUUUCAUCUGGGCUAUCAAAGCACCUGUACCAGACAACUCCAUCUGUAGACCUUCCUCAAUGAGCUUGGAAAACUCCUUCACCACCGGUCUCCUCUCUGCUGUGAUGUGGGAUAGGCUGCCAAGUGAUUUCCGGCUUAAGGCAUCAGCUACUACAUUAGCCUUACCCGGAUGGUACUGGAUCUUACAAUCAUAGUCACUGAGCAGCUCUACCCAUCUCCUCUGCCUCAAAUUCAGCUCUCUCUGGCUCAAAAUGUGCUGCAGGCUCUUAUGAUCUGUGAAGAUCUCACAUUUUACCCCAUAGAGGUAAUGCCUCCACAUCUUGAGGGCAAAGAUAACUGCUGCCAUCUCAAGGUCGUGUGUGGGGUAAUUCAACUCAUGCCUCUUCAGCUGUCUAGAAGCAUAAGCUAUCACCCUUCCAUUCUGCAUUAGCACACAACCCAAACCUACUCUGGAUGCAUCACAGAACACUGUGAAGUCCUCAUUGCUAGUCGGCAGAGCUAACACUGGUGCUGAAGUCAACCUCUUCUUGAGCUCCUCAAAGCUUUCCUCACACUGGUCGGUCCACACGAACCUCUGAUUCUUUCUGGUCAAUCUGGUUAGAGGAGCUGCUAUCUUAGUGUAUUCCAGGAAUGCAGAGGAGCAUGCCCAUCAUCUGAGGAUAGUUCUACAGACCUUGAGGGAACAUGGCUUGUAUGCCAAGUUCUCCAAGUGUGAGUUCUGGUUGAGAAGCAUCUCAUUCUUGGGGCAUGUAGUGUCAGAGAACGGAAUUGAAGUAGACCCCAAGAAGGUAGAAGCUGUAACUAACUGGCCUAGACCCACCUCAGUGACAGAGAUCAGAAGUUUAUUGGGUUUGGCUGGUUACUACAGGAGGAGAAGUCCUGCCCGGAAAUUCGGACCGCUACCGGCGCUAGGAUCCAGAUCGGCGUAAGGCCGCCGGGACCCGUAGCAAGCCUGACAUCUAACCUGUAAACCUGUAAAUCCCAUACAUGAUCAAACAACUCUAAAGAAUCUGUAAACAUUUUCAUAUCUCAACCAAGCUCAACCUGUACAUUACAUAAUCAUAAACAUAAACCACCACUGGAGCCCUCAUCAAAUGCUCCAAUGGGGUAUCUCAUCAUACGUUGAGCUUGGACUAUCAUGAACAUCAUAAACAUAUCUAUAGAUCAUGUAUCAAAAGGGACAACAAUACUCAUAUGGUCAAGCACAACUAUAACCACAAUAUACCUCAAUACAUAACAUUACAUAACUGUUCUAUACUCUUACAUUUCAUCAAUUACAUUUGUCAUGUCCACAAUCUAACUAUUAUAUAAGCAUACUUCAAGACUCUGGCUAACCUCCUGGUCUACCCUGUACCUGCACAUCUGGGGUUAGGGGAGAGGGGUGUGCUAUAUAGCCCAGUGAGCAGAAUAUAGAAAACAUAUAUUAAAAUUUCAUGCUUUCAUGAAAUGCAACACAUCACAAACAAAUCACAUAAGGAUGAACUUGUCACCAAUGGCCCUCUACAUGGUCCAAUGAGGUCCAACUGUGCCAGAACGUAGAAUGGGUCCUGGUCUUUCUCUUACUCUGUGCCAGGGACGUAGAAUGGGUCUUCCUGGACUUUCUCUUACUCUGUGCCAGGGACGUAGAAUGGGCCUUCCUGGACUUCCAUACCAUAUCAUCAUAAUAUCAUACUAUACGAGGACCAAUGGAUCAUCCAACAUUCAUCCGCAUCAACAGCAAAGUAUGCAAUGCAACAACUUCGUGAAUACUAAUGCAACACCCUAUAAUAUCACAUGGCAAAUAUGAUGCAUGAUCAUGCUCAAAAGUUUAUAUUUCAUUUAUUUAAAAACUUAAGGUGUAUUCCACUCACCUCUGGCUGAAGCUCUAAAGACUCUGACAAUCUCUGUAGCAGCUGGCUCACUGCUGGGGUCCUCGGUUCCUCGGGUCCGAACCUACACAGGUGGACUCCAAUGAGGGACCAAACAUACAUAAACAUAACUCUAAUAUACUCCCCAAAAACCCCCUAAAACAUCAUGAAUUAACCAUAGGAAUACAUGCAUGAAAUGGCUGAACAGGGCACUUUCAGCGGCAGGUUCGGCGGCCGAAAGUCCCUCCAGAGCCGAAACCCAAGCAGGUUCGGCGGCACCUUCGGCGGCCGAAAGUCCCAGACAGAGACGAAAGUCUCUUUUCGGGGGCAACUUCGGCAGCCGAAAGGCCUGCCUUAAUUGAACCUCCACAUGCUACAUGAAUGAAUUUCCUUUUGGAUGGUAGCAAUCCUCCAUAGAAGUAUUCUAUGAGUGAUUUAUCUGAGAUGUCAUGUUGAGGGCAGCUUGUGCAUAGUCUCUUGAAUAUUUCCCAAUAAUCAUACAAAUCUUUAGUCUCUUUUUGCUUGAUGCCACUUAUUUCUCUCCUUAUGCCUAUGGCUUUAGAAGCUGGAAAAUAUUUAUUCAGAAAAGCUCUUACCAUGCCAUCCCAAGAGGUGAUUGAUUCGGGUGGUAGGUAGAAUAACCAAUCUUUGGCAUAAUCAUCAAGUGAGAAUGGGAAUGCUCUUAAUUUCACAUGUUCUUCGGAUAUGCCUUGCGGCCUCAUGGUAGAGUAUACUAUGUGAAAUUCCUUCAAGUGUUUAUGGGGGUCUUCAUUUUUCAAACCUCUGAAUUUAGGUAGUAGGUGUAUCAAACCUGUUUUUAGCUCAAAUGGGGCUGUCAAGGGCGGAUAGGUGAUGCAAAGAGGUGCUUGAUCACCUAUAGGGGCUGCUAACUCUCUUAAUGUUCUUUCUCUUGGAAUUGGUGCCCUUAAUGCUUGAUUUUCUGGUUCAAAUUCAGCAUAGACAGCAAGUUCUGCUGGUCUUCAAACAGGUGCAGCAGGUUGCACAUGAAAUUCAGCCAUCUCAACGGCUGUUUGGGCAAACACAACAGUGUAGCGCUCUGUUUCUGCAAAGGGCUGUUCUAUUUCUGCAGUGUGCUAUUAUGUUUCAGCAGUAGGUGUUGCUGGUCCUGCUGGUACAGCAGCUUCUGGUGCAAUUGCGGAAGUUUCAAUAGGUGUUGUCCCUUAGACAGCAACAGCUUCAGCAGUUGCUGUUUGGACAACAGCUGUUGAUGAGGAUGGCUUUGAGGCUUGGCUCUUCGGAUUGGAUUGCUUCCUUAGUUGUUUGGCUGUACGCUCAUUUUCUGGGUCGUAAAGUAGAGUAUAUUUGUGUCUAGUCCUGGUCAUGAAAGAAAAAUAAAUUAGUUAAAUCAAUUCCCCAGCAACGACGCCAAUUUUUGACUGUGCGGUUGUUGAAGCUGGUAAAAAAUAACCUUUUUGAUUAUCAACAAUUUUACAACUGUAGAUAGUGGCAAAAAGAUCGAAUCCAUAGAGAAUUAAUACUUACUUAUUUUCCUAAUCAAGACCAAGUAAAUAAAUAGACAAUAAGAGUAAAUUGGGGGGAGGGUUUGAAGAUUGAUGACUAAACUAGCAAUAAAGUAAAGCAAAUAAUAAAAUAAAAGAAAUUCAAUAAUGAGAAAGGGUUAGUUGGAGAGUCAGAUCCACUUUAGUUGUUGGGAUUGAUCAUUGAUACUUAUAUUCUUUUAUUUGACUCAAUAAAUUAGUUAUGGAGGUGGAAGACGCUUCUCACCUCCAUAUCCCUCCUUAUGCAUAGAUUAAUUAGGGAACGUCCUCUAAUUAAUCACUAAUUAAUAAGUUGCCAAGGAACGUCCUUGGGGUUUUAAGCAUCUAACAACUGUCAAUUGCAUUAAGAAAUAGAGAGACCUAAUUGUAGUUACCCAAACGUAUGGUGAUGUUGCUAGAUUAUGCAAUUUCUUUAGUUUUUACACCAAGAGUUACUUGUGUUUGAAUAAUUCAAGCAAUUACGGAGUUAAAACUAUCCAAACUAACAAAUUAUUACCUUGUAAUCAAGAAUCAAUGGAUCCUACUGAUCUAAAUAACAAAGUAACAAUAGAAUUAAGCAUGAAAUUACAUAAAUAUUGAUAAAUAAAAGAUUAACAUAAUAUGUUCAGAUCUCCCAAUCCAUAAACAACUAAAGUUUCACCUAAUUUUCAACUAGAAAAAAGGGUUUCAACCACUCAUCGCUAAAACAAACAUGAAAAAUAAAGAAAGAAAACCAAAGAAAGGAAUAGGAAGGCCAAUCGGCCGGCUGGAAUGGUAUGCUGGUGGCACGUGGCUGCUGUGCAGCUUCUGCCGAAGAUGAAUGAUGAUCCAAAGAUGGUUCUUUGCUGGUUUUCUUGUCCUUUUAUAGCUGAGGAGGUUGCCCUAGGUUUUCUUGUUGAGAUGGGAUUCCUUUUCCUACUUGGAGUUGACUUCUUGAAAGCAAUUAUAUCUUCUUGAGAGCAAUUGUAUCUUCUUGAGAUUUAGCUUUGUAAAUAUGUAGGAUAGAGUGCUGAGGUAUAUUAUUCACUUGCUGAGCUGUCCCCACGUGUUUGGUGUGAAAAAGACUUCUUGAAAACUUGAAUUCCAAGUUUCCCGCAACUGCUGUCUUCUGUCGUAAGUGCUUGUUUGCCCGGGUUGUGUGGGCAAACAGCUCAGGCAAACAGUCUGUCUUGCCUGCUGUCUGUGCACUGCUUCUGCCCUGUGGGCUUGUUUGCCCAGUUUGCCUGGGCAAACAAUCUGGUCAAACAGCAAGUCUGUAUUUUCCUCAUCCCUCUCCCAAUUCAGUUGCAACUUGGUUUGAGCAAACAACUUGGGCAAACCAGGCUUGGUCUCUUUUGCUCUCUUUUGGGCAGAUUUAAGACCAUUUUUAUCAAAUUACCCUUUUAAUCCAUUUUCUGCAAAAUAAAAUCAAAACCACAAAAUUGGGUAGAAAAUGUGUAAAUCAACAUAAAUAACAAUAUAAAAAAUGGGUCUAAAAUUUGCUUGAUCAGGGAGCUGGUUUACAAUCUGAAAAGCCAGAGUCAUUAAGGAUGUCAAGGGCUAUUUACGCUGACAAAGAGAGAUGUCAGCUUUAGUUCUUGCUACUUCCAACCCCAGAAAAAACUUCAAAUCACCAAGGUCUUAUUUUCAACUUGUUAUCAAGAAAAGAUUUAACGGUGUUAAUUUCUUGUAAAUUUGUGCCAGCCAAGAUAACAUCAUCGACAUAAACCAAUAUCACUAUGAUGUGAACAUCAUAUUUCUUAACAAAGAGGGAAUAGUCUGAGAUAGACUGUUUAUAACCUAGGGAGACAAGAAUAUUAGACAAUUUUGAAUAUCAUUGACAAGUGGCUUACUUUAAACCAUAGAGUGACUUGUUUAAGUGACAAACUUUGUUAGACUGAGAGGUAGUAAGCCUGGAGGAAGUUUCAUGUAUACUUUUUUAUGAAGAUCUCCAUGAAGGAAUGCAUUAUUAAUGUUCAACUAUUGUAAAAAUCAUCCAUUAGCAGCUGCAAGAGCUAAGAGAAGUCGAGUAAUGGUUAUCUUAGUAACAGGUGAAAACAUAUCAAAAUAAUCAACACCUUCAGUUUGUAUAUAGCCUUUUGCCACUAGACGGGCCUUAUACCUUUUGAUGGAGCCAUCAGCUAUCAGCCUGAUGUUUGAUUUUAAAUACCCGUUUACAUCCUAUGGGAGUAACAUCUUUGGGUAAAUCAACAUCUUUCCAGGUAUGAUUAGCUUUCAGGGCUAGAAUUUUAGCUUGCAUUGCCUGUUUCCAACAGUCAUAUUUGAUGGCUUGGUUGUAAGUUUUUGGCUCAGUGGUGGCAGAUAUUGAUAAGGCGAAGUUUCUAUGAGAUUGAGAUAAGUGGAUAUAAGAAAGGGCUGAGGAAAUAGGAUGAGGACUAGUAAUGGAAGAAAGGUUGCAAUGCUAGUCUUGGAGGUCGGAGGUUGGUUUGCAAGUUCUAUUGGAAACAGGAAUAGAGGAAGGAGAAGGAGAAGAUAUAGGUGGUAUAUAAGGAUCGUCAUAAUCUGAGAGAGUGAAGUCUUGUGGAAGAGAUGGAGGGGCUGGAAUUGUAGAUUGAUGAAAAGGAAAUAUGUUUUCAUAAAAGGUGACAUCUCUUGAAAUAAAAACAGCCUAUGAAUGCAAAUCAAGCAAGAAAAAUCCCUUUAUACCAGAUUUGAAGCCAAGAAAAAUACAUUUGUGGGCCCUUGCAUCAAAUUUGGUCCUAGUGGCUUUUAAAGUAGAGGCAAAGCACAGUGAUCCAAAGACCCUCAGGUCAUUAUAAUUAGGCAUACAAGAGAAAAGGACUUCAAAAGGAGACUUGUUAUGAAUCAGAGGACUGGGCAAUCUGUUUAUCAAGUGAACAGAAUGCAAGAUAGCAUAGGACCAAUAUGGAAGAGGUAACUUGGAUUGAAAUAUCAAGGAUCUUGCGAGGAUGUGUUGGUGCUUCCUCUCUGCUGUACCAUUCUAUUGAGGAUUCUCAACAUAGGAUAUUCGGUGAAUGACUAAAAGUCUGGUAUUGGAAAUUCAACUCCAAUGUUACUUCUGAUUUUUUGGAUCUUAGUAGAAAAUUGAGUUUCUACAAGAUUAAAAAAGGAUUGAAGGCAAGACCUGGCAUCAGAUUUAGAGUGCAAUAAGAAAAUCCAAGUGAACUUAGUGAAAUCAUCCCCAACAGUUAAGAAGAAUUUGUGACCAGUUAUUGAACAUACUGAAAAUGGCCCCCAAAUAUCUACAUGUAUUAGUUCAAAAGCUCUAUUUGUAGUAGAUAUGCUAUCAGAAAACAAAAGCCUUUUUUGUUUUGCAAAGUGGCAAAACAAUUUCUAGAAAGAGUAAGCUUAGACACAGAUAAGAAUGAAAAGAGCACCAUUCAGUAUCAAUUUGUCUGUCAAUUGAACUGUGCCUGCAACUUUUGUAAGAAGCAUGGAUCCAUUUGGAAGUGUAACAACAAUGGAUGGAAUGUUGUGAUAAGUACUGAAAAGAUGCAGUGAAUGUGCAAUAUGGUAUAUUUCACCAGUGUCCACUAUCCAAACAUCAGAACUGGCAGAAAAAGAUAAUGCCAAAUGUGUACCUGGUUGAGGAUCAAAGGCAGAUACCAAGUUUGUAACAGGAGUAGAGAUUGCCUGAGAGUUGUUAGAUGUUAACUGUGGAUAGGAUUUAGCUUCAAGAUGAGAAUCAUUGAGGAGUGCUAGUAAGCCAUGAUAUUAUUCUUGCGUUAAUGAGAAUCUUAAUUUCUCAAUUUUUGUCUGAGGCCCAAUUGAACUGAUGGCUUGAACCUCAUCAACAGCGAUAACAUUGUUGACGGUCACAUUUGAUCCUCUUGGUUUAUAACCGGGGGAUAUCCAUGUUUCUUAUAGUAAGUUUCUAUUGUGUGCCUGUACCUUCCACAAAAUGUGUAGUAUCUAUUGUCUCCAGAGGAGUUAACAAUAGAUUUUUCAGCUGAAUGAAACUUGUAAUUGUAUGAAGGGACAAAUCUAAAACUGGACAGAUUAGAUUUUGCAAUCGGACUAAUUAAAGCCUUAGAUUCAUCAAGAUGCAUCACAAGAGGGGCUAUUUUCCUUUCCCUUUUCUUAUUGAAUGACUUAAAAAAAAACCGUUAUUGAUGGAAGGAAAGGAGUCUAACAUUAUGAUUUGUGUCCUUACAUUCACAUAUUGUUCAUUCAGACCCUUUAGGAAUCGAAUGACAUAAUCAUGAGAGAGUGAAGUCUUGUGGAAGAGAUGGAGGGGCUGGAAUUGUAGAUUGAUGAAAAGGAAAUAUGUUUUCAUAAAAGGUGACAUCUCUUGAAAUAAAAACAACCUAUGAAUGCAAAUCAAGCAAGACAAAUCCCUUUACACCAGAUUUGAAGCCAAGAAAAAUACAUUUGCGGGCCCUUGCAUCAAAUUUGGUCCUAGUGGCUUUUAAAGUAGAGGCAAAGCACAGUGAUCCAAAGACCCUCAGGUCAUUGUAAUUAGGCAUACAAGAGAAAAGGACUUCAAAAGGAGACUUGUUAUGAAUCAGAGGACUGUGCAAUCUGUUUAUCAAGUGAACAGAAUGCAAGAUAGCAUAGGACCAAUAUGAAAGAGGUAACUUGGAUUGAAAUAUCAAGGAUCUUGCAACAUUGAGGAUGUGUUGGUGCUUCCUCUCUGCUGUACCAUUCUGUUGAGGAGUCUCAACAUAGGAUAUUCGGUGAAUGACCCCUUUAGAAGCAUAAAAGACUGGUAUUGGGAAUUCAACUCCAAUGUUACUUCUGACUUUUUGGAUCUUAGUAGAAAAUUGAGUUUCUACAAGAUUAAAAAAGGAUUGAAGGCAAGACCUGGCAUCAGAUUUAGAGUGCAAUAAGAAAAUCCAAGUGAACUUAGUGAAAUCAUCCCCAACAGUUAAGAAGAAUUUGUGACCAGUUAUUGAACAUACUGAAAAUGGCCCCCAAAUAUCUACAUUUAUUAGUUCAAAAGCUCUAUUUGUAGUAGAUAUGCUAUCAGAAAACAAAAGCCUUUUUCGCUUUGCAAAGUGGCAAAACAAUUACCAGAAAGAGUAAGCUUAGACACAGAUAAGAGAUUAAAGGCAAAUUCUGGAAUGAAAAGAGCACCAUUCAGUAUCAAUUUGUCUGUCAAUUGAACUGUGCCUGUAACUUUUGUAAGAAGCAUGGAUCCAUUUGGAAGAGUAACAACAAUGGGUGGAAUGUUGUGAUAAGUACUGAAAAGAUGCAGUGGAUGUGCAAUAUGGUCUGUUUCACCAGUGUCCACUAUCCAAACAUCAGAACUGGCAGAAAUAGAUAAUGCCAAAUGGGUACCUGGUUGAGGAUCAAAGGCAGAUACCAAGUUUGUAACAGGAGUAGAGAUUGCUUGAGAGUUGUUAGAUGUUAACUGUGGAUAGGAUUUAGCUUCAAGAUGAGAAUCAUUGAGUGCUAGUACGCCAUGAUAUUAUUCUUGCAUUAAUGAGAAUCUUGAUUUCUCAAUGUUUGUCUGAGGUCCAAUUGAACUGAUGGCUUGAAUGUUAUCAACAGCGGUAACAUUGUUGACGGUCACAUUUGAUCCUCUUGGUUUAUAACCAGGGGGAUAUCCAUGUUUCUUAGAGUAAGUUUCUAUUGUGUGCCUGUACUUUCCACAAAAUGUGUAGUAUCUAUUGUCUCCAGAGGAGUUAACAACAGAUUUUCCAGCUGAAUGAGACUUGUAAUUGUAUGAAUGGACAUAUCUAAAAUUGGAUAGUUUAGAUUUUGCAAUUUGACUAAUUAAAGCCUUAGAUUCAUCAAGAUGCAUCACAAGAGGGGCUAUUUGCCUUUGCCUUUUCUUAUUGAAUGACUAAAGAAAAAGUGUUAUUGAUGGAAGGAAAGGAGUCUAACAUUAUGAUUUGUGUCCUUACAUUCACGUAUUGUUCAUUAAGACCCUUUAGGAAUCGAAUGACAUAAUCAUGUUCUACAUAUUGCUUCAUUUUGCUCAAGGCACCAUAUGAACAAUUAGGUUCACAUGAACAGGAAGGCAUUAGUCUGAAAUUCAUCAAUUCAUCCCAUAAAAUUUUGAGUUAAGUAAAAUAAUUAGUGAUAGACUUCUCACCUUUUUUUAGUGCAUAGAUCUCCUCUUGCAAAUCUGAUACUCUCAAGAUAUCUCCUUGAGAGAAUCUUUCUUUUAAAUCUUUCCAAACAUCCAUGGCUUUGUCAAUGAAUAAUAUGUUUUGUGUGAUUGAUGACGAAAGGGAUCACAUUAUCCAAAAUAGAACCAUCAUAUUCCAUCGUUCCCAAGUAGAACACAACAGAUCUGUUGCAGCAGGAGCUUGUAUAAUGCCAUCUACAAAUUUCAUUUUAUUCUUUGACAAUAGGGCCAUCUUCAUUGCUCUUGACCAAGUGUGAUAAUUAGGACAUGUUAAAACUGGAGAAAUAAGAACUAGUGCAGGAUUCUCAUUCGAGUGCAAGAAAUAUGGACCGGAUGGACUUUGUGUUGGAUCGCUACUAGCAGAAACAACCAUGGAUGGAAGAAAAAUUAAAGGGAGGGAAAAAUGAUUUUCUUGAGAGAGAGAAUUAUAGAAAAAAAACUCUAUUUCGGAGCUCGACGAAGGUAAAAAUUAAAGGAAAAAUUGAUUUUCUUUAAGGGUGUAAACGAACCAAACUGUUUGUGAGCUAUUCGAGACUCAACUCGAUAAAAGUUCGAUCGGACUCGGCUCGUUUUCUAAACGAGCCAAGUUCAAGCUCACUUUUUAGGCUCAUUCCGAACUUGAGCUUAGCAGUAUUCAGCCCGUUUAGGCUUGUGAGCUCAGCUCGUCCUGUCAACCUCUAGCAGCCUACUAACAUCCAACAAGACUGCCAGACUGGGAAAGAUUCUAGAAUCGGGGGAAGCUUAACCAGCACAAGACUUCUAGGCUGGAGGAAGAUUCCAGAAUUGGGGGAAGCUUGACCAGCAGACCGUAGCUGGCAGAGAAGUUCUCCAAGAAUCAUUAAAUAAUGCUUGUCUUAGCCUAUAAAUAGGGAAGUCCCACGAAUUUGUAAACAAGAAGCAGAAUAUUAGAGAUUACUUGCAUUGAGAAAGCUCUUAUAAUUUGUACAACCAUUCUCCAAAAAGCAUUAAAUAAUGCCUGUCUUAGCCUAUAAAUAGGGAAGUCCCACGAAUUUGUAAACAAGCAGAAUAUUAGAGAUUACUUGCAUUGAGAAAGCUUUUAUAAUCUGUACAACCAUUCUAGUGAAAUAUACUUCCUCUUUGUGUAAUUCUCUUCUCCUUUGCAAGUGUGUGAUUGUCCCAAUUCGUUCCUUGUGUUGUUGGUUGGUUGGAUAGGCUUACUUUUGUUGGUUUUGGGGAGAGCAACCUCACAAGUGCCGCACGUUGGCAAGCUGAAAAGUCUUGUAGCGUGACACGUGGUAUCAAGCCGACUCGUGAACAAGCUCGCGAACAAUCUCAUGAGCAAGCUCGCGAACAAGCUCAUGAGCAAGCUCGCGAACAGGUUCAUGAGCAGGCUCGUUCGCAAAUACCAAUCCCACAUCGAAAGUUGAAGGGAUAUGGAGGAUUAUGACUUCUCUAUAAAAGGACAACCCUUCAACAUUUUUUUUAUUAGUUUUGGGUUUGAGAGAUUUCAAUUAAAUUUAAAAAAUUUAAUUUAAAAGUCUCUUAAUGAUUUUAUAAUUUAAAUUUCUUAAUAAUUUAAAUGAAUUUGAAUUAUAUUGAGCUUGUUUAUAAUAUAAUCGAGCUCAAAUUCGAGCCUAAAUGAUAAAUGACUAAUUAGACUCCGUUAGGAGUUUUAACCAAUAUCAUUUGACUAUUUGACUAAGACGAUAUAAGAGAAAAGAUAGACUGAAAAGACGAACAGUCUUAUUGAAAUUUUUCAAAAAUUAAAAAGUGGAUUUCUAAUAACUAAGAGAGGCUAUUUAUAAUAGAAAAAAAAAUCAUAAUAUGCAAAAUUAUAAAAAUAUCCAAAAAAUAAUUAAAAUACAAAACUGACCCCCUAAACGAUGAAAUUUUCAUAUUGAACUUUAUAAUAGGCCUGCGACCCUUGUCACACUUUUGAAAGUCAUGCGUCUCAAAAUUCCCUUUUUGAAAAGCUAUCGUGGGUCUCCAUCGGACGUCGGCAGUAAAAGUUAGGCUCAGUCCAAGUCUGCUGUAAAGUCCAAGACUAAUUGCUCCAUAUCAUUCCCUUCCAUUUGUAAAGAAUUCGACCUCGAGUUGUCAUCAGUAGGGUAGUACUGAAAUAGAUUCACCACGUUAAAUGUCUUGAAAAUUUUCAUCUCAUUUGGGAGGUCAAGAACAUAGGCAUUGUCAUUAAUCUUCUAAAUGAUCUGGAAUGGACCAAUCUUCUUGGCGUCAAGCUUUUUUUGUCCUCCACCAUGCUCCUUGCGUAAAUACACUAUAACUUAGUCUCCAACAUUGAAGGAUUUGAAACGCCUAUGUUUAUCAGCUAUAACUUUAUAUUUGUCAUUAACUUCUAUAAGGAAUUGUUGUACCUGUUUCAAAACAUCCACAUGCUACUUUGCCAAGUUGCUUGCUGCUAUACUGUUGUGAGAACCUGUAGAAAGGGCAAUAAGGUCGACUGUAUGUGCUGAGACUUUCCUAUACACAACUGCAAAUGGUGACAUCUUUGUGGAGUUGUGAACAUCACUGUUGUAAUCAAAUUCUGCUUGCACAAGAGCAAGAUUCCAAGUAGUUUUCUUGUUACUACAGAUACGAUGCAAAAGAUUGUGAAGCUUGCAGUUCACUACUUCAGUUUGGGGAUGGGCAGCACUAUUGUAUCGAAGUUCAGUUCCAAAACGUUUCCAUAAAGUCACCCAGAAGUGAGCUAGAAACUUCACAUCUCUGUCAGAAGUAAUGGUCUUUGGGACACCAUGUAGACGAACAACCUCCUGAAAAAACAGUUUUGCCACAUGAGAAGCAUCAUUAGUUUUCUUGCAAGGAAUGAAAUGCACCAUUUUGGAGAACCUGUCAACAACAAUAAAAAUGAAAUCAAAUCCACGUUGAGUACGUGGAAGGCCAAGAACAAAAUUCAUAGACAAGUCCUCCCAAGGAUGUGCUGGAAUAGGCAGUGGAGUGUAUAAGCCCGUAUUCUGCGAAUGUCCCUUCUGAGUUUGACAAAUUGGGCACUUCUGGACCAUCCGACCUAUAUUCCUUUUUAAUUGUGGCCAGUAAAAAUGCUCCUCCAACCCAGCAACAGUCUUAUCACGCCCCAAAUGUCCACUCAAACCUCCUCCAUGGACCUUCCGAAUAAGUUUUUCCCGCAAAGAAGAUCGAGAAAUGCAUAACUUGUUCUCCUUAAAAAGAAAGCCAUCAUAUAUUAAGAACCCAUCAGCAAGCUAGUGAGUCUAGACUCUAGCCCAUAUAUCAGAAAAGUCAUCAUCUGUAGCAUACAAAUCCUUUAGGAAUUCAAAACCUACAACUUCCUGAUUAAUUGUAAUCAAUAGAGCAACCCUGUAAUACCCGGCUAGAAUCCGGCACCGGAAUUCCUGUUGUCUGGUGGAAUCCGGGGUGUUGGGAUUCUAUAUACGGGUAGGAUCGAUAGUUUUGAGUUGAAAUGAACCAAGGCAGAGGAGCCAAGUUCGGCCGCCGAAGAUAAGUUCGGCCGCCGAAAGUGCUCAAUGUUCGGCUUCCGAAGAUUCAGGUUCGGCCCCCGAAUGUUGCAUGGUCUUGCAUGCGAUUGGGCAGCCGAAACUGAGUUGGCCAGCCAGCUUUUGGGCAUCCUUAGUCAGCAUUUUGGACAGGUGUUAACCAGGCUUAACAGGUAUGAGAUAACCCAUCUAGAGUAAGCUCUAGUCAGGGAUACAGAGUACAGAGUACAUGAGUACAGAGUACAUGAGUACAGAGUACAGAGAUAGUGCAUGCACAGGUUAAGCCUUGGUUCAGAAAAGAGUUUUAUUUUCACAGAAAAUGUAUGAUCAUGUAUGAGGUUUACAGGUACACAGAGAGUAUAGUAGGCUUGCUACGGGUUCUGGCGGCCUUAAGCCGACCUGAAUCCUAGCGCCGGUGACGGUCCAUUUUGGGGUCGUUACAAACCCUACUACUCAAAGCAUCUGCCACCUUAUUACUAUGGCCAGCCUUAUGUUUUAUGACAUAAUGAAAGGCUCCAAAAUAAGUUGCCCAUCGACCAUGCAUCUUAUUCACAUGUUUUUAAGUUUUAAAGUGGAUCAAAGAUUGAUGAUCCGUGUGAAUAAUAAACUCUCAUCCCAUCAUAUACUACUCCCAAGUUUUAAAAGUCUGGAGUACUACAUAUAGCUCUUGCUCAUAAGUAGACCACUUCUUCCUAACUUCAUUCAGUUUCUCACUAAAGAAGGCAAUAGGCCUUUUAGACUGCGACAACACUCCGUCAAUCCCAACUCCACAAGCAUCACAUUCAAUCUCAAACAGUUUAUCAAAAAUAGGUAGAGCAAGAAUAGGGGCAGAAGUAAGCUUAUCUUUAAUCUCUUCAAAUCUCUUGUUGAUAGUGUCAGUCCAAGCAAAUUUCUACACUCUCUCUUUCUUCAAGCAAUCUGUGAUAGGGUAAUGAUGCUGCUAAAAUUUCUGAUAAACCGCCGAUAGAAAGUAGCAAGGCCAUGAAAGUUGCGAACUUCAAAAAUAGUUUUGGGGAUGGGCCAAUUCCGUAUUAUUUCUACCUUCUUCUCAUCAAUAUGUAUUCCUUUUGCACUAACAAUGAAUCCCAGGAACAAAACGCGCUCUGUCAUAUAAAUGCACUUUUUAGAUUAAUAACCAUCUCACUUUCUUGCAAGGUUGUCACGAUUUGAUGGAGAUGCUGUAAAUGUUCUUCUUUGCUGCGACUAAAAAUCAAGAUGUCAUCAAAAUAAACAACCACAAAUUUGCGUAAGAAAGGACGCAAAACCUUAUUCUUAAGUCGCAUAAAGGUGCUAGGUGCAUUCGUCAAACCAAAGGGCAUAACCAGCCACUCAUACAAGCCUUCCUUAGUCUUGAAGGCGGUCUUCCAUUCAUCUCCCUCCUUGAUCCGAACUUGGUGAUAGCCGCUUUUAAGGUCGACCUUAGAGAAGACUUUAGACCCGGAUAACUGAUCUAGCAUAUCAUCCAGUCGUGGAAUAGGAAAUUGAUACUGAACUAUAAUUUUGUUGAUGGCGCUGCUAUCCACGCACAUUCCUCAAGUCCCAUCUUUCUUUAGAACUAAUAGGGCAGGUACUUCGCAGGGGUUAAUGCUCUCCCGAAUAUUCAAUACUUCUUCAACGUGUUCUUGGAGGAUUUCACUCUCCUUUGGACUCAUAUUAUAAUGAGGCAAAUUCGAUAAUUUUGAUCCAGAAAUGAGAUCAAUCUGAUGUUGGAUAUUCCGCAAAGGUGGAAACUUGGAUGAUUCCUCCACUAUCUUAGGAAACUCCUUCAACAGCUCUUUGACAGGUGGUGGUAAAGAUGGUGCAUCCUCCAUUACACCUUUUGCUCUCACCAAUAAAGCCAGUGUGCCUCCAGAUUUUUCAACUGCGCCUGAUAGCCUCUGCACUCCCGUGGAAAUAGCAACAACAUUCUUCCUUUCUACUUUAGAAUGUUUCGCAGAACCAGAAGGCAAGAUAGUAAUCUUCUUUUGAUUCCACGUGAACAUGUAUAAAUUCUCCUUCCCCUUAUGCAAAGCAUCAACAUCAAACUGCCAAGGGCUACCUAGCAAAAUUUCACAGCAAUCCAUAUCCACAACAUCACAAUUAACAGGUUCAGUAUAAGAUUUACCGAUCAAGAUAGGCACGCUAUAGACUCUAUUGACCUCAAUUGUCGGACCUUCCUUAAUCCAUCUGACUUUGUAUGCGAAGGGUGUGGCUGUGUAGGCAACUGCAAUUUUCCCACCAAUUGCUUAGCUAUCAGAUUCUCACAACUGCAACUAUCUAUAAUUAGCCUGCAAAUUGCCUCUCAUACUUGACAAUUUGCUUGGAAAAUCUUCCUCCUUUGCGUCUCAUCCUCCUGUUUUGUUGAGCAUAAGAUUUUCUUCACCACAUAGGUGAUCUCUCCAUCUUUUGAACUAGCAAUCUGAAUGUACAUGACAUUCAAAUUUCACAUUAAGACAGCAAAGNNNNNNNNNNNNNNNNNNNNNNNNNNNNNNNNNNNNNNNNNNNNNAAAAAUCUAUCAUGAUGGAAUAUGGUAGAGACUUACAUCUCCACUCCUUUCCUUCACUUUCUUAAUUAUAAUUAGGAACAUCUUCAACUUCAAUUCAAGUACGUACACAAAUAAAAAAAACUUAAUUACACGUAUAAAACAUUACCAAAUUUCAACGAAUCUAUCAUGGCGCAUCAACAUGUUUAUUCCCAGUGGAACACAUGGUUGAACCAAGAGUACUAUAAUUUAUAUAUCGGCUAGGAGCUGAAGUUCUAUGAAAUCCUUUCGGCAAACAAUUCGUCAUCCACGUCUUCCUCAGAUUCAGCCACCGGCUCAACCACAUUAACCUAUCAGUGAUCAGUAUUAACUCCUCUAUGUUCUGAACAAUUAUUCGAUCGAUGACCAGGUUGCCUGCAGCGGUAACAUAUGUCUCCCAUUGGCUUCUGAUAAGGAUUGGUCUACCUCCUUUGUCUAUUGUAGUAGUGACUGCCUUUCCUUUACUGUCUCUCCUUUCUUCCAUAAUAUUUUGAGGAUUGCCAGAAUUUACAACCUUAGAAGACUGCUCGCUGUUAUUGCCUCUAUACUGCUAUGUCCUUGUCGAACCAAAAUUUCUAUAAUUAAAAUUCCGGUUGUACUACUGUCGUAGUUGCCAAUCAACACGCUCUUCUACUCUUUUUGCCAUCUCGAUGGCGUCUGUCAAAGUGAAAAUCGUAGCUUGAUAGUGGUUGUCGAAGCUGUAAAAAAUAAACCUAUUAUCAAUCAAUAAAAUAAUUUGUAGAUAGUGGCAAUAGGGUCGAACUAUAGGGAUUUGACACUAAAGAUCUUCCUAAUUAUGACUUGGACAAGUAAAUAAAAAUAAAUAAAAAGAGGGGGCUUUGUUUUGAUGAUAAUGAAUUAAAACUAAAUAGUAAGAGAAAGUAAUAAUUUAAAAAGAUGAGUAAAUCAAUGGGAGAAAAGCUCUAGUUGAAGUAUGGAUCUGUUUCAAUUGUUUAGAAUUGAUCAUUGAUACUCCUAUUUAUUUUAAUAAAUUAGUUUAGAUUGUGGAAGACGCUUCUCAAAACCAAAUUCCUCCUUAGUUUUAGUUUGACUAGGAAACGUUCGCUAAUCAAACACUAGUUAACAAGUUGCCAAGGAACGUCUUUGGGAUUUUUUACUUUUCAACUGUUAACUGCAUUAAGACUUAGAGAAACCCAAUUCUAAUCUUGCCAACCGCGUGGUCAAGUUUAGAUUAUGCAACCAAGUGUGCUUGUGUUCAAACAAUCUAAGGAAUUACGGACCUAAAUUAUUCAAACUAACAAUUUAUUACUUAUGCAAUUAAAAGCAACAGGCCUUAAUUGAUUCUAAUAACAAAGCAAUAAUAGCAUGAAGAUCAAGUUGCACAAAUAUUGAAAAUAUAGGAGCUUAACAAUGGAGUUUUAAAUCUCUCAAUUCAUCACAAACUGAAAUUUUCCAACUUCAACUAGAAAAGAAGGUGUUUAGCCACUCAUGGUGGACAAAAAUACACAAAAAGAAAGAAGAAAAGUAGAAGAAGAGAGCUGUUGUGUUGCUUGCUGACUUUCUGCAGUAAAUUCGAUGCCUUUUUGCUGGUUUUGGUGCUAUCCCUUUUAUAGGUGGAGAUUCCUAAUUCAAUUAGGACUUGGAAUCCUUCUUUGAAUUGGUUUCAUGAUGGUCUUUUAAUUCCUCCUUGCUUUCGUAUUUUAUAAUGAAUAAAAUUCCUUUGGUGAAAGAUUUUCUUUGGUGUGGCUUUUGGAGUUGUCAUAAGAUUGAUCUUGUAGUGUUUGAAGUAGGAUAGGACUUCAAUGCUUUUGAAAUUUGAAAUUUGAAAUUUUUCUCGAGCUGUUGUUCCUUGUUUGCGUCAGUUUGAUUUGGGCAGUUGAUUUGCCCAAAUCGCUUGCCCAGAUCAUUUCUGCAAUUCAGUCCCAGUUUUCUGCUUCAGCUUCCUGCGAGUGAUUUGGCCAAAUCACUUCGACCCAAUCAAUUUUUCAGCUUUUUCUGCACUUUUUCUCUAACUUUCCAUUUUCUUCAUUUUCUGUAAAAAUAUCACAAAAACAUAAAUUAAAUUAGAAAAAUGUGUAAUUAAACAGUAAUAAAAAUAAUAAAAAUGUGACUAAAUUAUGCUUGAACACAGCUACUCCUAUCAUACAACGAAUUUCGUGAUUCAGGCCCCUCUGAUAAUGAGCAACUUGCUGGGCUUCGUUCUCACAGUUUUCACACCUCGCCUAUAAUCUCAAAAACUCCUCGGUAUAUUCAUUCACCCUUCGGUUCCCCUGUACACAGUCAUGAUAUCGGUUAUACAAAACCUGAGCGUGAUCGUUUGGCAAGAACCGUUGUUUAAUCAUCUGCUUCAUUAACACCCAGUUUCGUAUGGGUUCCAGCCUCCUCUGAUAGCAUUCAUUUUGAAUCGAAUUCCACCAGGCUGCUACACCUCCUUUUAACUUAUAGGCCAUAAUCGAAACCUUGCGAUCCUCUUUCACGUUUAUAACUUCGAAGAAAUGUUCAACCUCUGCCAGCUAAUCAAGAACAGAUUCCACAUUCAACGAACCAGAAAAGUUUUGAAGGUCUAUAUUGAUCUUGUAACCUUCCUGAUAAUUCUGUUGGGGAUUUGCAGGUACAGAAUUGGCGACCACAAAAUUGGCGGCCACAGGAUUGGUGACUGGCUGGGGGUGUGCGACGGCGGUGGGUUGGUGUAUUCCCUACUGCAGGGCCAGCUGUCCUAUCAUCUCCUUCAAUUCUGCCAAAGAUGCCUCAAUCGCAGCAAGUCGUACCUCUUAGUUGUCUGCCAUGGUCAAACUUUGCUCUGAUACCAAUCAGAUAAAGGACUAAUUAGACUCUGUCAGGAGUUUUAAUCAAUAUCGUUUGGCUAAGACGAUAUAAGAGAAAAUAUAUGCUGAAAAGACGAAUAAUCUUAUUGAAAUUCUUCAAAGAUUGAAAAGUGAGUUUCUAAUAGUUAAGGGAGGCUAUUUAUAAUAGAAAAAAACUCUAAUAUGUAAAAUUAUAAAAAUAUCUAAAAAAAUAAUUAAAAUACAAAAUUGACCCCUAAAAGAUGGAAUUUCCAUAUCGAACUUAGUGAUAGGCUUACUGCCCUCGUCACACUUUUGAAAGUUGUGCGUCUCAAAAUUUCCUUUCCGAAAAGUUAUCGUGGGUCUCCAUUGGACGUCGGCAGCAAAAGUUAGACCCGGUCCAAAUCUGCCAUAAAGUUCAAGACUAGUUACUCCAUAUCACUAAAUGAGCUCAAAUUUACUCCAUAUCACUAAAUGAACUCAAAUUCAAACUUUUUGAAUAGAGUUUGAGUUGGCUCGUUAAUGUGAUAAACGAGUUUAUUAAGAAUCGAGUUCGAGCCGAAGAAUCGAGUUCGAGCUUAUAAAUGAAACUCGAGUCAAGCUUGAAUUCGAACUUGAACUUUUAAAUUUAUUUUCUAAUUGAAUUUGAGUUUAUCAAAGCUCGGCUCAACUCGACUCGAUUAUGGCCCUAAUUUCUUGUAUAUUUUGGAUCAGCAGCCAUACAUGUAUAUAUACAGUGGGUACAAUAGGCUUGACUCAAGAUAGGUUUACAGAAAAUGCAACACACUUGAAAGAACUGAAAACAGUUUCUCUAAUCAACCUUAAUAGGUUUCUUGCUUUUUUUUUUCAUGAUUUAAUCUUAAACCUUUUUGCAGUACGAAAAAUAGUGUAAUUUAUCAAAUUAAAAAAAAAAGUCUAUUCAUGAAAUUAAGUGCGAAAAUAACUUAUUCACCUUUAAAUUAAUAUAUACAUUAUAUAUAAAUUGCAUAAUAAAUUUAUUAACCAACUUAAAUCAUUUGUUUAGAUUACAGAUUUUGGACUUGCUCAUGUUUUUACGGACGUUGCUACUCACAUAUCCAAAUCAUCAGUUAUGGGAACCCGAGUGUACGUAAGAUAUAACUUUCUUUCUAUAUUUAAUUGCAUUGCUAUUUUUUUUCUUAUAUAAACGAAUUGCAUUGCUAUUAUUAUCUUUUUUAUUUUCACUCUCAUUAUUAUCUACUCUAAAAUAAAAAUUAAAAUAAAAAAAUACAUAAAAAUAAAUUAAGACUCCUUAAUUUGAAGAUAUUAUUUUCUUAAAGAAAAUCUACAUGAAUUUUAAUUGCAAUAAUUCCAUUGCAGUUAUGAAGAUCCACUAACGACGAAAUUGGGGAAGUAUUCUGAUAAGUCUGAUAUUUAUUCUUUUGGUGUUACACUUUUAGAGUUGAUUACCGGAAGAAAACCUCUAGAUAAUGGCACUGAUAUUGUUACUUGGGUAUGACUCUAUUUGCAUUAAUAAAAACUAUGAUAUAAUUUUUUUUUUAUCUCAGUGAUAUAUAGUCAUUUAAAAAAAGUAAAGUCUUGAAUUUAGAUUUCAAUGGAGCUAUUUAGAUUUCAUUCCCAUGCAUUUAAGAUCCAUUAAUAAAUAUUUUUUUUAUCUUGUAGGCAAAUCUUCGCAUUAAAAAAGUUUUAGACGGAAAAUAUGCAAAUUUUGUAGAUUCUAAAUUACAUUCUUUUGAUGCCGAACAAAUGCAUAGAAUGGUUUCUUGUAUUAAUUCUUGCUUAAAUCAACCUCCAAACUCUCGUCCAACGAUGGAAAAGGUAAAAAUUGUUCCCAUAAUUAAUUUAAUUUCAGUAUCUUUCAAUAUAUAUAUAUAUAUAUAAUUAUGUAGAAGCCUAUUGAUUUGUAAUUAUUUUUUUGCUAUAAAUGUCACACAGAUACGUUUAGUUCUUGAAGGAAAAUCACCUCUAGAGGAAUUAUAUGGUCACGAAGGAUUGCAGCUGAGUAUGAUAUAUAAAGGUUCAUAUUAUUUUAUGUUAAUUUAUUAUAAAUUAUAUGCAUAUUUAUACUAAAGCUUGAUCUAAUUGCUGCCUAAAUUGUCAUUUAAUUUUCAACUGCAAAAAAUAAGUUUUUUAAUUUGAAAUUUAGAAUAAAUUAGUUUUUAACCAAAAUUGAUACAUAUUAAUUAAAUAUAUUUUUUAAUCUUAUAAUUAUUCAAACAAACUGUAAAAACAAUGAUGAAAGCUUUAUCUUAAAGUUUUAAAACAUAAAUCUAAAAGUUCAUAAAUAAUUUCUUAAUCGUUAAUUUUGUUAAUCAUUGAAUUAAAACGUAUAGUUAAUAUAUAUAGUAUUGAAUAGUUUCAGGAUUAAAAAUAUAAUUUUAUUUGAAUAUAAUUAUUUAUAGGGUUAUGAUUUAUCUUAUUAAUUAUUUUUAAUAAUUAUAGGAGACAAGAACAAAAAAAUCAUUUAUCAACCGAAAACCUCCUUUGUCCCAUAUAUAUGAAAAGUGUAAAAUUAAGAAUUACUAUAUUUUAUUUAUUAUUUCAUAAAAAUGAAUACGUAAUUACAUUUACAUUUAAAUCGGUUAGAGUUUUUUAGAAUUAAAAAAUAAAUUAUAAAUAUUUAAUUUAUUAAUUAGGAAUCAAUAUAUAAAUUGGAUGUUUGUAUUAAAUAGUUAACAUUUUAGUCAAUUUACAAGUUCAUUGACUUAUUUAUAAUUUUACAUAUUAUUCUUUUAUUAUUUAAGGAAAAGUAAAUAAAUAGAAACAAAUCUUCAUAAGAAAAAAAUAUAUAUUAUCAAUGGCCAUGAAACCAUUUGCUAUUUUGAAGUUGUUAAAUUUUCUUUUGAAAGAUUGUGAAACGUAAUGAUUUACUUAUAUUAUAUACAUCCUGUUUGACAAACUUCUAAUAAAUUGAUUUAGUUUGUUUAAAUAAUAAACUUAUGAUAUUUAUAGGUUACAGUGUUUUUAGGUAAAUUUCAAUCAUAUAGGUUAUUUGAAUAUUAUUAAAAUUAGUACAUAACAAUAAUAAUAACUCAAUGUAUAAAAUUAAGAAAAUGAAAAAUAAAAAUAUGAAAGUUAAUACGAUCAUUUCUCGUUCACUAAUCUAAUUGGUGAAGGUGGUUUAGGACAAAUUUUUAUCGGAUCUUUGAAUGGUGAGAUCCGUGCUAUCAAUAAACUUAAAAAUCUGCCGGAUUUACAAUUCGAAGGAGAUUUUGAGAGACAGAUUAGGGUCUUUCAUAGUAUCCGUCACAAAAAUCUCAUUGAACUGCUUGGUUACUGCAUCGAUGGACCCAAUAGAUUUCUUAUUUUAGAGUAUUUUCCAAACGGAUCUUUGAAAUAUAAAUUACAUGGUGAGUCCUAUAUCUUUUAUUUUAUAUUCAUAUAACUGUUAUGACAUAUAUAAUUAAUCUGACAAAUUAGAAAUGGUAUAUUGUAGAAAGUCAGAAUGUUUUGGACUGGAAAAAAAGAAUGAAGAUCGCUAUAGGUUCUGCAAGAGGAUUGGAAUAUUUACAUGAACAAUGUGAGUAUAUAUUAAUAGAAUAUAUUUAUGCUUGGUAGGCUUUGUAUUAAUAAUUUAUUUUCUUUAAAGUCUUAUCUUCUCUUUAUGUCUUUUUCAGGUAAUCCUAAAAUCAUACAUUUAGAUAUCAAACCAAAUAAUAUUAUUCUUGAUCAUAACUUUGAACCUAAAGUAAGACAACUAAAUAAUAAAUAAAAGUUUUGUUUAUAUCAUUAUAUAUUUAUAUUAAAACCUUGAUUGUUGAAUUUUUAAAAAAAAAAAUAUAUUAAAAAAUAUGUGAACUCAUUAAUUUGAUUGUUGUAACUAAUUAAUAAAUUAACCUUUAUAGUUUUUUUUGUCUUUUUCCUGCCUUAAUAUUUUCUUAAUAAACCUUAUUGAAGUACGGAUAAUAGUGUUAUAUGAUCAAAUAAAAAAUAAAAAAUAAAAAAAGAAUAUAUUCAUGAAAUUAAGUGUUGAAAAUAAUUAAAUAUUUAAAUUAAUAUAUAUAUAUAUAUAUAUAUAUAUGGCAUAAUAAAUUUAUUAAUCUACUUAAAUCAUUUGUUUAGAUUUCAGAUUUUGGACUCAGCACAUUUUUUACGGACGAUGAUAGUGACAUAGACGAAUCAUAUAUUGGAUGGACCCCAGGGUACGUAAGAUACAACUUUCUUUCUAUCAUUUUAAUUACAUUGCUAUAUAUUAUUGUAUAUUUCUUUUUUAGUGCCAUUAUUAUCUACACAUAAAAAGAAAUUAGGACUCUUUAAUUUGGAGAAAUUAGUUUUCACAAAGAAAAUUUUAACAUGAAGUUUAAUUGUGAUCAUUCAAUUGCAGAUAUACAGAUCCGGCCAUAUUUCAAUCGAAAAAGUAUUCUGAUAAAUUCGAUGUAUAUUCUUUUGGUAUUACACUUUUAGAGUUGAUUACGGGAAGAAAGCCCAUUCAUAAAGGACUUGACAUUGUUACUUGGGUAUGACUCUAUUAGUUUAUAACGGUAUAAUAUAAAAAUUGUAAUAUAUAUUCUUUUAGCUCAUUGAAAAAAAAUAUAUACAUAUAUACUAUAAGUUAAAUAUAAAUUUACAUGCAACAAAUAUUUAUGAUUUGUUAAUAAAUAUUUUUUUUUCAAUAUCUCAUAGGUAAAUCCUCUAAUUAAAAAGGCUUUAGACGGAGAAUAUGUGAAUUUUGUAGAUUCCAGACUACAAUCUUUUGACCACAAUGAAAUGCAUCGAAUGAUUUUUUGUGCUAAUAGUUGUAUAAAUCAAUCUCCAAAAUCUCGUCCAUCAAUGAAAAAGGUAAAAUUUAUUCACAUAAUUUAAUUUUGGUGUAUUUUAAUUAAUUUUGGGGAAGCAUUAAAAGAUUACAUAAUUGAUUUAUAUAUUUUUAUACCAUUGCUAUGCCAUGUAGAUAUUUCUAGCUCUUGAAGGACUUUUGCCUCUAGAGGUUUUAUGGGAUGAGAAGAACAACUACUUACUAGAGAGAGCUGCAAAUGAAGGUCCGUUUCUAGUAAACUAUGGGAAUAUCUAUUUCAAAGUGUUGUUCAUUUUCUUUAUAGAUAAAUUAUAACUUAAGGAUAAAGUGAGAUCAUAUUAAUGUGAAAAAAAAAAAUCUUACUAUUAUCAAUUAAAUUUUAAUUUGUUUCAGCUACAUUUUAGAAUAAAUUAAAUUAUUUUUUAAAGCAAAUUCAAUUAAACUUAAGAUUGGUAAUCAAAUCAAAAUCAUAUUUUAGUGAAUUAAAUCUUUUUUUCUUUAAGAUAAAAAGUUACAAAAUCUAAAAGUAUAAAUUGUUUUGAAUUGCAUUUUUAAAAUACUUAAUUUAUUUAAUUCUGAUUGGCAUAUAAUUCUUAAUUUUGUCUAUUUAUUUUCAUUGAAAUAAAAUGAUUACUUUAGAUACAGCUUCACAUUUGCUUCUCAACCAGUUUCACAUUUUUUUAAUCUGUUUUGAUGGAUUUUUUAUCCAAAUUUUUUUACUUAGCAUGAUUGAUCAUAAGAUGGAUAUAUUAAAAAGUCUGAUAACCGAUUUUAAUUAGAUUUUUCAUGUUAAAUUUUUUCUUGUCUUAUUAAUAAAAUGCUGCUUAUCAGAAAAAAAAAACCAGUACUUACCAUUUUGUUUUUUAAUUCCAUUUCUUGGCAAAGCAGGUGAUCCCGUUGGAGUUCGAGCAGGAAAUAUUCCUCUGAAAAAUCUCAAGAAUUGAGCAGAAAUGUUUAAAAAAAGAAUUAUUUUUUUCCUUUUAAAUAGAAGUUGGAAACUUCAUUCAAAGGCCAAUUGAACAUCGAAAUAAAAGAUAGGCCUCAGUUGAGUUGGCAAAGGAAGACUUUCUGAAUUUUGCUUUGCUUGUAUGAACAUGUAUGUGGAUCAUUCUAUGUAUUGAUACGUCUUUGGAGUACUAUUGCAAUUUUUUUUUUAAUUAAAAAAAAAAGUUGGGGUCUGAAAUAAAUAGUAUACAAUGAAGUGAUUUAAUUUUUAUAAAAUCAUAUUAUUUUUAAAUUAAAUCUUUUUAGUUAACAAAUUUAAAUGAAUUUAUCCAUCUCAAUCUUGGAGAUAAGGUUGUUGUUGAAGGUGAAGGAAAUGAUAGGCCAAAAAGAUCUCAAUGUGUGCUAUGUAACAUGAGACAUGGACACACCUAUAUGUGCAACAUGAUGGUAUACUUGCUCAUGCAACAUGAAAAAGAAUGUGGCUUUAUUUGUUGAUUUACUUGCUUCACGUGGGAUUAGACCAAAUUAUUAUCUAUUGUUAUUUUUUUUCACUAUAUCAUGAAGUUAGGAGUAGUUAUUGAUUCCAAUUUAUAUUUAAACUCUUUCUCAUUUAUCAAAAAGCCAUGCAUUAUUUUAAAUAAAAUCUCCUAAUUUAUUUUAACUAUAAGCAAAAUAUUAGUUAUUCUUUUUAAUUUUGAUUCGACCUGUCAUCCUGGGCUCUUCAGUUUUUGCAUUGAACCGAAUGUAUUUGUAUUUGAUGCUGGACGCUGGGAAAAUGGGGUAUGGAUCUGGAAUCUGCUGUGGACAACUAUAUAUACACAUGAUAUUGUAUCAACGGGAGAUUGAACUCCUAGUCCAACUAUUGGCUUCUAUUAGAGGUGUAAAUGAAUCAAAUCGUUCGUGAGCUACUGGAGAUCCGGUUCGAUAAAAACUCGACCAAGUUCGAGUUUAAUUUUUAGACUCAUUUGAUAAACAAACUAAAUUUGAGUUCCAUAGUAUUCGACUCGUUAAAACUCAGUGAGUUCGGCUCGUUUCUGAGUUAAUGAGCAGGCUCGCGAAUAGACUCGUGAACAGUCUCAUUAAGUAAGUUGAAAUUAUUAUCAUAACAGCAAUAAACUCAAAUCCUACAUAUACUUUCAUUAGCCAAACUUAAAUUUUUUAAAAUUCAGCUCAAUAUAAUUUAGUUAUACUUUUAAAUUUACAUAUAUUUGGAUCAUUAAAAUUUUAAAGUUUAUCUUUAUAAGUUUACGAGUUAAUUUGUGAAUAUACUUAUUUAACUAAAAUUAUUUUAGUUUUAAACUUAUUCGUUUUAAAUUAAAACUCAUUAUAUAUGUAAAUAAAUUGAAUCAUUAGUUAACUAUUCGAGACUAAACUCGAUAAAAGUUCGAUUCAGCUCGAUAAAAACUCGACUCGUCUAAAUUCGUUUGCUAAACGAGACAAACUUAAACUUUUUAAUACUCGACUCGAGUUCGAAAUGAGUAAAACUCGAAUUCGGUUCGAAUUUAAAAAAAUUUUAACGAACCAAAUUUGAGUUCUUCAAAAUUCGACUCGACUUGAUUCGUUUACACUUCUAACUUCUAUUAAUACAACUAGACCAUAGACUGAAAAAUCAUCGCCUCAUUUAGAAAGUUUAAUGUUACAAGUUAUUUCAAUUGCUAGUUAGUUCUCUUUAUUAAUUUAUCUAAAUUAAAGAAUGAAUAAUUAAAAAACCAUAAUCAUAUGAAUUAGAUAUGAGACCAUCCAGAUCGUUGACUUUGAAAAAAAAAUGUUAAUACUAAUUAAAUUCAAAUGCCAUGAUUGUUCAUUGAUAGAGUUAUUAACAUAAGUACAUCCAUUCAAACGUCCAGGUGGAAAUCACGUUAACCUUAUGUCUUAAUAAACAAUAAAUAACUUGUUAUUUUUAUAAGACUUUUAUAUUUUUAUUUUUAUUCUCAUAAUCUUUUGUUGCCCACUACACGAAAUUAAUUUGUCAAUUAUUUACAUCAGAUAUCCUGCAUAAAAUCACUAAUAUAUUAUAAAAUUACUCUAAUUACAGUGUGAAAACAUGAAAUUCCCAUACUCAUUCUGUAAGAAAGCCCCAUUAAUUACAUUUUUUAUUAUAUAUUUUAAGAAAAGAAAUUAUAUCCACCGUAGGUUUACUGAGUCGAACUCAUUAAUAAAAGACCCUCAUUGAAACUUAGAAUAAAGAGAAACUCAUUAAUAAAUUUAUAAUAUGCAUUACACAAAAUGACAUUAACUGGAGGCCACAUGCUGCGAAUUCUACGCUCAACGUCAACGUUAAUUUUUUUUUUUUUUUAAAAAAAAGGAAAACGAAGGUCCUAACUGUCUUCCUUCAUCCUUCUUACAUCUCCCUCUUUAUCUCUGACCAUUCACAUUCACACUCUAUAAGAACUCUAUUAUAUAUACUUGCAAAAAACCUCUGGCCGUGGUUGCACAAGUCUGCAACUUCUGAUGGCCAAUCGCUUGGGGAUGAACGGGGCAGAUCACCGGAUUGAAACUAGAGGUAUUAAUUGUUUUUAGCUGAAACUGUUGUACCAAAUAGUAAUAGUUUCAUGGAGAUUUCAUUUCAUCUAACUAAUUGAGGCAUGUUGUUUAUUGAUUGUCACUAAGCACAGAUCAGAAUGAAUCUGGCUCAUCUUCUGAGAAGACUAUUGGGCCAAAGUCAUAUUCAUACGGUGAAUUAGCAAAGGCAACUGAUCAUUUCUCGCACAAUAAUCUAAUUGGUAAAGGUGGUUUUGGUCAUGUUUUUAAGGCAUCUUUAGAUGGUGAGAUCCGUGCUAUCAAGAAACUUGAUUUUUCGGAUGUACAAUCCGAAGGAGGUUUGGAGAAGGAGAUUAUGAUCGUCCAAAGCCUCAGUCACAAAAACCUCGUUGAACUGGUUGGUUACUGCAUUUAUGGAGCCAAUAGAUUGCUCAUCUUAAAGUAUUUUCCAAAUGGGUCCUUGAGAUCUAAAUUACAUGGUGAGUCCCAUAUUCUUUCUUUUACUUUUAUGUUCAUAUAACUAAUCAAUAUGAUAUAAUUAAUAGGAAGUGAUAAUGUUUUGGACUGGGAAAUAAGAAUGAAGAUCGCUAUAGGUUCUGCAAGAGGAUUAGAAUAUUUACAUGAAAAUUGUGAGUAUAUACUACUACAUAUUCUUAUAUGGCAGUAUUUUAGCUUUUUGAGUGUAAAUUUAUUUAUUUAUUUUUAUUUAUGUUUGAUAAUUUAUUUUCUCUUGCAGUUCAUAUUCUUUUUAUAUUUUUUCAGAUAAAUCUAAAAUUGUUCAUUUAGAUAUUAAACCAGAUAAUAUUCUUCUUGAGGAAGAUUUUGAACCUAAGGUAAGAUAAUUUUAUCAUAAGAAAAUAUUUUAGUAAUGUCAUCACAUAUGUAUAUAUAGCGUAACUUUGAUGAUUGAAAUUUUAUUUUUGAAUAACAUUAAAAAAUUAUGUGAAUCAUUAAUUAUAUAAUUUAAUUAAUAUAUAUAUAUAUAAAUGGCAUAAUAAAUUUAUUUAAUUAACUUAAAUAAUUUGUUUAGAUAACAGAUUUUGGACUUGCUCAAUUUUUUACCGACGGUGCUACUCAUAUAUCCAAAUCAUCAGUUAUGGGAACCCAUGUGUAAGAUAUAAUUUUCUUUCUAUCAUUUAAUUGCAUUGAUAUUAUUUUCUAUUUUUUCAAAUGCUAUUAUUAUCUUCUCUUAGAAUAGUUUAAAAUAAAAUAAAUAUUGAAAUAAAUAAAAUAACACAUAAAAAAAUAUAAGUGCUCCUUAAUUUGAUAGUAUUAGUAAUCUUAAUCUUAACGCACUCACAGAUUUAAUCUGGUGGUAAGUGCAUUUGAGUAAAUCUGAGAGAUUUCAUAUUCUACUUUUCAAAUCUCCAAUUCUCAGUUCAAAAAAAUAAAAGUAAUCUUAAUCUUAACAAAUUCUAUUGCAGUUACGAAGAUCCACUGACAACAAAACUUGGAAAGUAUUCUGAUAAAUCCGAUAUUUAUUCUUUUGGAGUUACACUUUUAGAACUGAUUACUGUAAGAAUGCCUAUAGACAAUGGUAUUGACAUUGUUACUUGGGUAUGACUCUGUUUGCUUUAAUAAAACUAUGAUAUAAAUAUUCUAUUUACCAUUUAUAAAGUUUUGAAUAUAGAUCUCAAUUGGAGUUAUUUAGAUUUCAAUCCAAUGCAUUUAUGAUUCAUUAAUAAUAAUUUUUUAAUUAAUAUCUUGUAGGCAAAUCCUCUAAUUAAAAAGGCUUUGGAUGGAAGAUAUACAAAUUUUAUAGAUUCCAAUUUACAAUCCUUUCACCACGAACAAAUGUAUCGAAUGGUUUCUUGUGUUAAUUCUUGUCUAAAUCAACCUCCAAGCUCUCGGCCAACAAUGAAAAAGGUAAAAUUUUUCACAUAACUAAUCUCAAAACCAUAUAUAUAUUAUCUUAAACCUUGUAAUCAUUUUAUUGUUAUGUCAUGCAGAUACGUCUAGUUCUUGAAGGAAUAUCACUCCCGGAAGAAUUAUACGAUCAUAAAUUGCGAAAGAGCAUCAUACAUAAAGGUCUAUAUCCUUUUAUGUUAAUUUAUUAGAAAUUAUAUGCGUAUUUAUACUAAAACUUGAUCAAAUUGAUGCCUAAAUUAAUUUUUAUUUAAUUUGUGUCAUAUCUUAAAAUUAGAAACAAAUGUUGAUUUUCAACUGCAUAAAUAUUAAUUUUUUUAAUUUUAAAUGUAGAAUAAAUUAGUUUUUUAGUCAAAAUUGUUAACAUAUUAAUGAAAUAUAAUUUUUAUCUUCUAAUUAUUCAAACAAACUGUAAAAACAAUGAUGAAAAUUUUACCUUAAAGUCAUACAUAAUUCCUAAUCAUUAAUUUUGUCAAUUAUUGAAUUAAAUCAUAUAGUUAAUAUUUAUAGGAUUGAAUAGUUUCAAGAUUAAACAUAUAAUUUUAUUUGAAUUAGAAGAAUAGAAUUACUUAUAAGAUACAGUUCUUAGAACACUUAACAUUAUAUUAUGAUUUACAUAGUCUGUUAACCAAGUUGGUUUCCUAGUAGAACGAGGCUAACCUCUUUCAAUAGGUUGGAUUUCCGGUGACCAGCAAUUUGAUGUUGCAAGUCAGAUUCUAAAAGUUGUACAAGUUGGUCAUUUUGAUUCUCUAUUUCUUUAAAGGAGACUCAUAUAGGUUGCUGUUGUGACUCAUUUUUAUCCUAAUUCCAUGUGUUUUCUUCGUAAAAACUCACAUCUCUACUGAUCACAAUCUUUUUAGUGUCUGAAUUUAAUAAUUUAUAAGUUUUAGAGACUUCACUUAAGAUAAGAAAGACACAUUUUUCACCUUUAUCAUUUAACUUUUUUCUUUUCUCAUCAGAUAUAUAUAUGCAUAUUUGAUGCAACUGAAAAUUCCACAAUGAUCAACAGUUGGUUUUCUUUCACUCCAUAUUUCCUUUGGAGUCAUAUUCUGUAUUGAAAAUGUUAGACUUCUAUUCAGUACAUGGAUACUCCAAUUAACUGCCUUAGGGCAAAAGUUUUUCGGAACAUUGCCUUUAGCCAGCAAUCUUCUCACCAUAUUAAGUAUUGUUCUAUUUUUCCUUUCCAAUACGCCAUUUUAGUAUGGUAUAUAGGCAGCUGUGAGUUGUCUUUGAAUGCUUUAUUCAUCACAAAAUUGUUUAAAUUUCUUUGAACAAUAUUUUCCACCAUGAUUAGUACGGAAAGUUUUAACUGCCUUCCCUUACUCAUUUUCAACAUGCACUUUGAAGCUUUUAAAUGCACAAAAAGCUUCUGAUUUAGCCUGCAAAAAGUAAAUCCAAUCUUCCGAGAAAAAUCAUCAAUGAAAGUGAUUAAAUAUUUAUUACCCCCAUUGGAAGUUGAAUUGAUUGGAACACAUAUAUCGAAAUGGACCAGCUCUAAAAAAUUUUUCGCUCUCUAUUAUUUUCCUUGUGGAAAUUGAGAGCAAUGUUGUUUACAAACACACACUCUUCAUAAACACGAGAUGGAAUAGUAAUUUGAGGAUGACCAUUCCCCAUAUUCCCCUGUUGGAGAGUUCUUAAUCCACCGAAAUUCAAGUGGCCGUAACGGAAAUGCCAAAGCCGAGAUGGAUUCUUCAUUUCAGCCAUCAAAUUGGUUUGGGCAACUUGAAUUUGCAAUGGAAACAACCUGUUUGAGCUCAUUUAAAUAAUUACAAUAGCUUCUCUUGAAGGAUCAUAAAUUUUACAAGCUCUCUUUUGAAUGAUUAUCAGAUAGCCCUUCUCUUGCAAUUGACCAGCACUAAGUAAAUUAAUUUUCAAAUCAGGAACAUAAAACACACUAGAAAUGGUCUCCAUAAAACCAUUCUUAGUUUUAAUAUCAAUAUCACCUUUUCCCAUCACAUUUACUUUAGAACUAUCACCAAAGCUCAUAGUUGAAUGAAAAGUUUUAUCUAAAUGGGAAAAGAGAGACUUACUACCACACAUAUGAUUACUACUGUAACGACCCAGAUUUCGGACCAUUACCGGCGCUAGGAUCCAGAUCGGCAUAAGGCCGCCGGGACCCGUAGCAAGCCUCCUAUACUCUCUGUAUACCUGUAUAAAUCUCAUACAUGAUCAAACAUUUCCUGUCAAAAUUUUGUUUUGUUCCUUGGCUUAACCUGUGCAUGCACUAACUCUGUAACCUGUGUAUGAACCCCCUAACCAGAGUACUCAUCAAUGCUCUAGUUGGGUCCAUACCAUAUGUGUUAAGCCUGGACACUCAUACUCAUCCAUGAAACAUAAACAUAAUCGACCAUGUACAUAAAGGGGAUUAACAUAAAACUGGGCCAAGCACAGUACUAUACAUCAUUCUUAACAAUACUACACAUCAUUCUUAACAGUUCUAAACAUCUCUUUAAAAGUUUACAUCAUAUACAUCAAUUACAUGUCCACCACUAGCUAUUACAUUAUCAGAACUCCUCUAACACUAUCAACUCCCUGAUCUGUCCCACACCUGCAAACUGGGGUAAAGGGAAAACGGGGUGAGCUAUAAAGCCCAGUGAGUAGAAACAUGGGGCAUUUUCAUAUAAACAUGCUCUCAUGGAAUGCAUCAUAACUCAAACAUUUCACGUAACGGAUGAAUCUUGUCACCAUUAGCCCUCUCAUCCUAUGCCCGGCCCUCGACGGGGCUCCGCAGGCUAUCACUUUAUAUCAUGCAGUUGCCAAGACGCGUGGACAUGAGGCAGCCCUGGACUUUCAUCAGCAUGCAAACAUAGGGCGGUGCCAGGACGCGAGGACAUGGGCAGCCUUGGACUUUCAUCAUCAUACAUAGGAGAGCUAAUGGGUCACUCAAAAUUCAUCCACAUCAUCAACAUAGUAUGCAAUGCAUCAACUUCGUGAAACUAAUGCAAAACAACCUAAAAUAUUCAUAGCAAUCAUGAUGCAUGAGAUAUGCUUAAAUUUUAAAACAUAGUUUAGUUCUACUCACCUCAAACUGACUCUGCUGCAGCUGACCUACUGCUGUGGUCCUCGGUUCCUCUGGUUCGAACCUACAUAGGUGGACUCAAAUGAGGUACCAAACAUAGACUAUAAAGACUCUAAACAACUCCCCGGAAACCCCCUAGAACAUCAUAAAACCAUCAUGUAAAACAAGCAAAGAAAGGCUGGACAGGGCACUUUCGGCGGCAGGUUCGGCGGCCGAAACCCCCCUCCAGAGACGAAACUCAUGCAUGUUCGGCGGCACCUUCGGCAGCCGAAAAUCUCGUCCAGAGACGAAACUCAUGCACCUUCGGCGGCACUUUCGGCGGCCGAACCUUGCCUCCAGAGACGAAGGUCCCAACUUUCGGAAGCAAGCUUUGGCAGCCGAAACUGCCUCCACAAGGGGUUCGGCGGCCGAAACUCCCUUCGGCGGCCGAACCUGGUUGCUUCUGUAAGGCAGAAACUCUGCAUCUCACAUGCACAACUCCCCCAAACUCAUUCCAACUUGCAUCAAACAUAACACAACUAGCAUAUACUUAAGUAUAUGCAUAAAGGGGUCCAAAACUAACAUAAAACCCCAAACAACAAACACAAACAACCACAAAUCAUGAAUAUACACAAAACCCUCCAUAACACCCUCCUUAACCUAACAUGCAUUUCUACCCAUAAAAACUCCAUGAAACCUUCAAAAAUCAAGAAAGGAAGUUCAGGAUCUUCACUUACCUCUUCCAAAUGAGAGAAUAAACGAUCCCAACGUGGAGUGAUGGAGAAAUCUUCCCUCAAAACCUCCAAACUUCCUAACUUUGCUCUUUUACUCAAAAACUUCAAAACAAACAUAAAACUCAUCAAAACUUUGAAUGAUUUGAAGGAAACAUGAAAAUCACCCAAGGAGAACCUCAGCCUCACCUCUGGUUGGCAAAAAUGGAAAAAGUGAUCCAAAUCACCGACCUUUGACCAUUUAUAGGUGGCUGGCCAGACCACCUUCGGCGGCCAAACGUGAAGCCGAAUGCCAUGCAUGUUUGGCGGCCGAAAGUAACCUUCGGCGGCCGAACAUGGGCUUUUCUGCCUUGGUGUUUUUUCUUUCAAAAACUCAUUUCUUUUUAACACUUUAAAACAUUAAAACUCUUUUAAAACAUGUAAAAACAUAACCCGAACCCUUCUAGGGCAUUCCGACAUCGGAAAUUCACCGGACUACAGGAAUUCCAAUGCCGAACUCUAGCCGGGUAUUACAUUCUCCCCCCCUUAAGAACAUUCGUCCUCGAAUGUUCCUCGAACACAUAACACAUAGAUACGGGAAAAAACUAACUAACCUUAAAACAGAUAUGGAUACUGCUGAAGCAUAGAUUCCCGUGUCUCCCAGGUGCAUUCCUCUAGAUUGUGGUGGUUCCACAAAACUUUCACCAUCGGAAUUUCCUUGUUCCUUAGCUUUCUGAUCUGCGUGUCCAAGAUCCGUACUGGCUGCUCUACAUAGGUGAGAUCACCGAGGAUCUCUACAUCAGGUUCACUAAGAACCUUACUCGGAUCAGGCACGAACCGUCUCAGCAUAGAAACAUGGAAAACCGGGUGAAUUCUCUCCAUAGAUGCAGGUAAAUCCAGCUUAUACGAUACCUUCCCGAUCCUCUGCAAGAUCUCAAAGGGACCAAUGUACCGCGGAGCUAGUUUACCCUUUCUUCCGAACCUAACCACUCCCUUCAUUGGAGACACUUUCAGCAAAACCAUAUCCCCCUCCUGGAACUCUAACUGUUUCCUGCGAACGUCUGCAUAGCUCUUCUGUCUGCUAACUGCAGUUUUCAUCCUUUCUCUGAUUAUGGGCACUACCCUGCUGGUAAUCUCUAUUAACUCUGGCCCUGCCAGAGCCUUCUCCCCUACUUUUUCCCAGCAAACAGGUGUUCUGCAUUUCCUCCCAUACAAAGCUUCAUAAGGAGCCAUCCCUAUGCUAGCAUGAUGGCUGUUGUUGUAGGCAAACUCCACCAAAGGUAGAUGCUGUCUCCAAGAACCGCCAAAGUCUAACACACACAUUCUGAGCAUAUCUUCUAUGGUUUGGAUGGUCCUCUCUGAUUGACCGUCUGUCUGUGGGUGGAAAGCAGUACUGAAAUCCAAUCUCGUGCCCAUAGCAGCUUGCAGACUCCGCCAAAACCUGGAGGUAAACUGAGGUCCUCUAUCCGAAACUAUAGACACAGGAACUCCAUGCAGCUUUACUAUCUCUUCUACAUACACCUGCGCAAGUUUGUCCACAGAGUAGUUACUCCUAACCGGAAUGAAGUGAGCAGAUUUAGUCAGUCUAUCCACAAUCACCCAGAUGGAGUCUAGCCUGUUAGACGUCACCGGUAACCCCACUACAAAGUCCAUGGCUAUGUUUUCCCAUUUCCACUCUGGAAUAGGCAGUGGGUUAAGCAUUCCGGCCGGCUUCUGGUGCUCUAGCUUCACCCUUUGACAUAUCUCGCAGGCUGACACAUACUGUGCCACUUCUUUAUUCAUCGCUGGCCACCAAUACACUCUUCUCAAAUCUUGAUACAUCUUAGUGGCUCCAGGGUGAACGCUAUACCUUGCAUUAUGAGCUUCCCUCAUAAUGUCUUCCUUCAACUCUCUAUCAUCUGGUACACAUAGACGAUUCCCGUAACGGAGGAUCCCUUGACCGUCAAACCUGAAUUCUGCACUGUUGCCUGACUGAACAGUCCUGACAAUCUUCACUAGUUCUGGGUCCUCGUGCUGUUUCUGAGCCACCUGCUCCAGAAAAACUGGUGUUACUCUCAUCUGUGCUAUCAAAGCACCGGUACCAGAUAACUUUAACUGCAGCCCUUCCUCCAAGAGCUUAUAAAACUCCGACACCACUGGUCGUCUCUCUGCGGUUAUGUGGGAUAAGCUGCCAAGUGACUUCCGGCUUAAGGCGUCUGCCACAACGUUCGCCUUACCCGGAUGAUACUGAAUUUUACAAUCGUAGUCACUAAGUAGCUCUACCCACCUUCUUUGUCUCAAAUUCAGCUCUCUUUGACUCAAGAUAUACUGUAAACUUUUGUGGUCUGUGAAGAUCUCGCAUCUAACCCCAUAGAGGUAGUGUCUCCACAUCUUGAGUGCAAAGAUAACUGCUGCCAUCUCCAGGUCGUGUGUGGGGUAAUUCAACUCAUUCUUCUUCAACUGCCUAGAAGCAUAAGCUAUCACCCUAUCAUUCUGCAUCAAAACACAACCCAGCCCUACUCUAGACGCAUCACAGAAUACUGUGAAGUCCUCACCACUGACUGGCAAAGCCAACACUGGUGCUGUCGUCAAUCUCCUCUUAAGCUCUUCAAAACUUUCUUCACACUGAUCUGACCAAGCAAACUUCUGAUUCUUCUUGGUCAGCUUGGUCAUAGGAGCGGCUAUUUUUGAGAAAUCCUGCACAAACCAUCUGUAGUAGCCGGCCAAACCCAAGAAACUUUUAAUCUCCGUCACCGUAGUGGGUCUGGGCCAGUUAGCUACAGCCUCUAUCUUCUUGGGGUCUACCUCGAUUCCGUCUGCUGAAACAACAUGCCCCAAGAAAGAAAUGCUCCUUAACCAGAACUCACACUUGGAGAACUUAGCAUACAAGCUAUGCUCUCUCAAGGUUUGCAAAACUGUCCCCAGAUGAUGGGCAUGCUCCUCUGCAUCCUUGGAGUACACUAGAAUAUCAUCUAUAAAGACAAUCACAAAGUGAUCCAGGUACUCACUGAAAACUCUAUUCAUGAGGUCCAUAAAUGCUGCAGGGGCAUUAGUCAACCCGAACGGCAUUACCAGGAACUCAUAGUGCCCAUAUCUGGUCCUGAAGGCUGUCUUGGGAACAUCUUCUUCUCUAACUCUUAACUGGUGAUAUCCCGAUCUCAGAUCUAUUUUAGAAAAACAACCUGCUCCAGCUAGCUGGUCGAAUAGAUCGUCGAUCCUCGGCAAGGGAUACUUAUUCUUGGUAGUGACCUUAUUCAACUGUCUAUAGUCGAUACAAAGUCUAAGGGAUCCAUCCUUCUUUCUAACAAAAAGCACUGGAGCACCCCAAGGUGAGGUACUAGGGCGGAUGAAACCCUUAUCUACCAACUCUUGCAGCUACUCUUUCAGCUCUUUCAAUUCUGCUGGUGCCAUCCUGUAGGGAGGAAUAGAGAUCGGUCUGGUACCAGGCGUCAACUCUAUCUCGAACUCUAUUUCCCUAUCAGGUGGUAGUCCUAGAAGCUCUUCCGGGAACACAUCUAAAAACUCAUUAACUACUGGUACCGAAGCUGGUUCCCUAACCUGUUUAUCUAGCUCUCUCACAUGAGCUAGAAACCCCUGACAACCCCUCCUCAACAACCUGUGAGCCUGAAGGGCUGAUAUCAAGCCUCUAGGCGUCCCCCUCCUGUCUCCUCUGAAGACACAUACUGACCCAUCCAGAUCCCUAAGACUAACUACCUUGUCCCUGCAAUCCAAGGUAGCACCAUAUGUAGAUAGCCAAUCCAUCCCUAGAAUGACGUCAAAAUCUAUCAAAUCUAGAACCACCAGGUCAGCUGGAAGGCAUCUACCUUCUAUAAACACUAGACUGUACCUGCAGACUGACUCUGCUACUGAUGGGUCACAUUUGGGUCCACUGACCCAGAGAGGACACUCUAACCCAGAAACUAUCAGACCCAACCUCUCUACGGCUCUAGAAGCAAUGAAAGAGUGAGUAGCACCGGGGUCCAUUAAAGCAUACACAUCAGAACACCCAAUGAUGAGUUUACCUGACACCACCGUGUUAGAUGUGUUAGCCUCUUCUUGCGUCAUCGUGAAGAUCCGCGCUGGGGCUGCAGGACCUCCACCUCGGGAACCUGCUGCUGCUGAAGAAGAGGCUGCUCCUCUUCCUCGACCUCUGCUACUAGCCUGAGUUUGUGCUGGUGCUGCUGGCUGAGCUACACUGCCAGAACCCGUCUGCUGAGACUGUGCCAUAGAAACUGUUCUAGGACAAUCCCGAGCCAUAUGCCCCUCUUGUCCACAUCUAAAACAUGCAUUUGUCCCAGCUCGACAAACUCCUCUGUGUAACUUUCCACACCUCAUGCACACCUGACUUCCCGAACCAGGGUUUGAACUACUUCCCAUUCCUAGUCCGGACUUCAGCUUGUUCCAAAACUUACUCUUUUUAGACUUGGACCUGUCCAUUUUUCCACUUCCUGAUGCCUUGGGUACUGAAGUUUGAGCCACUGACUGCCUAACCUUCCCUUCAAUGAUCGCACUAGCCUCCAUUCUCCGAGCCAUAUCUACUAUAGCAUGGAAGCUCUCCCUCUCAGCUGAUUGUAUCAAGGAGGAAUACCUGGAGUUUAACUUCAUAAUAAACCUCCUGGACUUCUUCUGAUCAGUAUCAAGAGAUUGCCCUGAAAAAGGCAAGAGCUCCAUAAAUUUGUCAGCGAGAUCAUCUACGGUCAUCUCAUCACUCUGCCUCAGUUGUUCAAAUUCUAACAUCUUCAUCUCCCUCGAGCUAUCGGGAAAAGUCCAUCCCGCAAACUCGUUAGCAAACACCUCCUAGGUGAGACUGUCUAUCCUCGGUUCUACAUAGCUUCGAUACCACUCUUUAGCUUUCUUACAUUUCAAUGAGAUCCCUGCCAUCUGAAUGGCUCUGGUAUCGUCAGCCCCUAGCUCAUCUGUAAGCGUCUUCACCGUUUUGAGAUACUCAAACGGAUCGUCACCUGUAUCAAAUUGGGGAGCACCCAACAUCAGAUAAGCAGUCAUUUUGACCUUUCCCCUUCUAGAUGAACUAGGCUGUGAUAUUGGAACUUCUGGGGCUAUAGGUUCUUCUGGUGGUGAUGGAGGUGCAACAUUUUCUGGUAUAGGGUGUACUGUUUCUGGAUGAUAAGAUGGGGGUGGAUACAUAGGAUACUGUGGGUAUGGUGGAUAGAAUGGUGGAUAUGUCAUAUAAGAUGGGUAAGGGUUAAAACUAGGAUGAUCCGACAUACCUCCCAUCGAAUAUCCCGGAUACUGUGGAUAAGGUGGGUAUUGAGGUGGUGAAACAAACUCCGAGGCCUGAGUGCCUCCCUGAGACUCACCCAUGCCUUCCUCAGACAUACCGACACCCAAAUUACUAUCCAUCUGCUGCUCCACAUCCCAAUCAUCCUCCACUUCCAUAGAUACUCCUCCUUGCACUGUUCCUCUUCUGCUUCCAUCAAAAGACCUUCUAGGGUCCCUUGACGUUCUUCCUCUGCUAGGCCUACUUGAUAUGGACCUAGGCAAAACAGGAGGAUGGGCAUCUGCACCCUCGUCCUGAGAUGGUACUCUAGUCAAUCGGGUAGAUCGACGAGUUCCUCGCAUCUUGUUUUCUGAGAAAACAACACAUAGCACAAAACAUCAGUAUCAUAUGGUCCAUGUGGAAACACACAUGAACCCUCAUCACAUAUAAAACAUGCAUAUCAUAACAUCAUCAAAGGACAAAACUCAACAUCCUACCCUAGUGGACAUGUUUUUCCUACUGUGCUUGCCCUUCUAGAACAUCUAUGAGCCCUAUACACUCUAGGUCCGACCUUACGAACCUAGGGCUCUGAUACCAAUCUGUAACGACCCAGAUUUCGGACCAUUACCUGCACUAGGAUCCAGAUCGGCAUAAGGCCGCCGGGACCCGUAGCAAGCCUCCUAUACUCUCUGCAUACCUGUAUAAAUCCCAUACAUGAUCAAACAUUUCCUGUCAAAAUUUUGUUUUGUUCCCUGGCUUAAUCUGUGCAUGCACUAACUCUGUAACCUGUGUAUGAACCCCCUAACCAGAGUACUCAUCAAUGCUCUAGUUGGGUCCAUACCAUAUGUGUUAAGCCUGGACACUCAUACUCAUCCAUGAAACAUAAACAUAAUCGACCAUGUACAUAAAGGGAAUUAACAUAAAACUGGGCCAAGCACAGUACUAUACAUCAUUCUUAACAAUACUACACAUCAUUCUUAACAGUUCUAAACAUCUAUUUAAAAGUUUACAUCAUAUACAUCAAUUACAUGUCCACCACUAGCUAUUACAUGAUCAGAACUCCUCUAACACUAUCAACUCCCUGAUCUGUCCCACACCUGCAAACUGGGGUAAAGGGAAAACGGGGUGAGCUAUAAAGCCCAGUGAGUAGAAACAUGGGGCAUUUUCAUAUAAACAUGCUCUCAUGGAAUGCAUCAUAACUCAAACAUUUCACGUAACGGAUGAAUCUUGUCACCAUUAGCCCUCUCAUCCUAUGCCCGACCCUCGACGGGGCUCCGCAGGCUAUCACUUUAUAUCAUGCAGUUGCCAAGACGCGUGGACAUGAGGCAGCCCUAGACUUUCAUCAGCAUGCAAACAUAGGGGGGUGCCAGGACGCGAGGACAUGGGCAGCCUUGGACUUUCAUCAUCAUACAUAGGAGAGCUAAUGGGUCACUCAAAAUUCAUCCACAUCAUCAACAUAGUAUGCAAUGCAUCAACUUCAUGAAACUAAUGCAAAACAACCUAAAAUAUUCAUAGCAAUCAUGAUGCAUGAGAUAUGCUUAAAUUUUAAAACAUGGUUUAGUUCUACUCACCUCAAACUGACUCUGCUGCAGCUGACCUACUGCUGUGGUCCUCGGUUCCUCUGGUCCGAACCUACAUAGGUGGACUCAAAUGAGGUACCAAACAUAGACUAUAAAGACUCUAAACAACUCUCCGGAAACCCCCUAGAACAUCAUAAAACCAUCAUGUAAAACAAGCAAAGAAAGGCUGGACAGGGCACUUUCGGCGGCAGGUUCGGUGGCCGAAACCCCCCUCCAGAGACGAAACUCAUGCAUGUUCGGCGGCACCUUCGGCGGCCGAAAGUCCCGUCCAGAGACGAAACUCAUGCACCUUCAGCAGCACUUUCGGCGGCCGAACCUUGCCUCUAGAGACGAAGGUCCCAACUUUCGGAAGCAAGCUUUGGCAGCCGAAACUGCCUCCACAAGGGGUUCGGCGGCCGAAACUCCCUUCGGCGGCCGAACCUGGUUGCUUCCGUAAGGCAGAAACUCUGCAUCUCACAUGCACAACUCCCCCAAACUCAUUCCAACUUGCAUCAAACAUAACACAACUAGCAUAUACUUAAGUGUAACGCCCCGGAAAUCCGGACCGCUACCGGCGCUAGGAUCCAGAUCGGCAUAAGGCCGCCGGGACCCGUAGCAAGCCUAACAUAACCUGUAAACAUGUUUAAUCCCAUACAUGAUCAACCAUAUACAUAAAAAAAAAAAAUCAAAACUUUUCUUUCAUACAUACUAUCAUCAACUAACUCAACCUGUGCAUACUCUGAACAUAUACAUAACAUAAUCCCUCUGUGGGAUCUCAUCAAGCCUCAAAGGCAAAACAACAGGUGUUGAGUUAAUUUACAUAAACAUCAUAUCAUAAGAUCAUGUACAUACAAAAGGGNNNNNNNNNNNNNNNNNNNNNNNNNNNNNNNNNNNNNNNNNNNNNNNNNNNNNNNNNNNNNNNNNNNNNNNNNNNNNNNNNNNNNNNNNNNNNNNNNNNNNNNNNNNNNNNNNNNNNNNNNNNNNNNNNNNNNNNNNNNNNNNNNNNNNNNNNNNNNNNNNNNNNNNNNNNNNNNNNNNNNNNNNNNNNNNNNNNNNNNNNNNNNNNNNNNNNNNNNNNNNNNNNNNNNNNNNNNNNNNNNNNNNNNNNNNNNNNNNNNNNNNNNNNNNNNNNNNNNNNNNNNNNNNNNNNNNNNNNNNNNNNNNNNNNNNNNNNNNNNNNNNNNNNNNNNNNNNNNNNNNNNNNNNNNNNNNNNNNNNNNNNNNNNNNNNNNNNNNNNNNNNNNNNNNNNNNNNNNNNNNNNNNNNNNNNNNNNNNNNNNNNNNNNNNNNNNNNNNNNNNNNNNNNNNNNNNNNNNNNNNNNNNNNNNNNNNNNNNNNNNNNNNNNNNNNNNNNNNNNNNNNNNNNNNNNNNNNNNNNNNNNNNNNNNNNNNNNNNNNNNNNNNNNNNNNNNNNNNNNNNNNNNNNNNNNNNNNNNNNNNNNNNNNNNNNNNNNNNNNNNNNNNNNNNNNNNNNNNNNNNNNNNNNNNNNNNNNNNNNNNNNNNNNNNNNNNNNNNNNNNNNNNNNNNNNNNNNNNNNNNNNNNNNNNNNNNNNNNNNNNNNNNNNNNNNNNNNNNNNNNNNNNNNNNNNNNNNNNNNNNNNNNNNNNNNNNNNNNNNNNNNNNNNNNNNNNNNNNNNNNNNNNNNNNNNNNNNNNNNNNNNNNNNNNNNNNNNNNNNNNNNNNNNNNNNNNNNNNNNNNNNNNNNNNNNNNNNNNNNNNNNNNNNNNNNNNNNNNNNNNNNNNNNNNNNNNNNNNNNNNNNNNNNNNNNNNNNNNNNNNNNNNNNNNNNNNNNNNNNNNNNNNNNNNNNNNNNNNNNNNNNNNNNNNNNNNNNNNNNNNNNNNNNNNNNNNNNNNNNNNNNNNNNNNNNNNNNNNNNNNNNNNNNNNNNNNNNNNNNNNNNNNNNNNNNNNNNNNNNNNNNNNNNNNNNNNNNNNNNNNNNNNNNNNNNNNNNNNNNNNNNNNNNNNNNNNNNNNNNNNNNNNNNNNNNNNNNNNNNNNNNNNNNNNNNNNNNNNNNNNNNNNNNNNNNNNNNNNNNNNNNNNNNNNNNNNNNNNNNNNNNNNNNNNNNNNNNNNNNNNNNNNNNNNNNNNNNNNNNNNNNNNNNNNNNNNNNNNNNNNNNNNNNNNNNNNNNNNNNNNNNNNNNNNNNNNNNNNNNNNNNNNNNNNNNNNNNNNNNNNNNNNNNNNNNNNNNNNNNNNNNNNNNNNNNNNNNNNNNNNNNNNNNNNNNNNNNNNNNNNNNNNNNNNNNNNNNNNNNNNNNNNNNNNNNNNNNNNNNNNNNNNNNNNNNNNNNNNNNNNNNNNNNNNNNNNNNNNNNNNNNNNNNNNNNNNNNNNNNNNNNNNNNNNNNNNNNNNNNNNNNNNNNNNNNNNNNNNNNNNNNNNNNNNNNNNNNNNNNNNNNNNNNNNNNNNNNNNNNNNNNNNNNNNNNNNNNNNNNNNNNNNNNNNNNNNNNNNNNNNNNNNNNNNNNNNNNNNNNNNNNNNNNNNNNNNNNNNNNNNNNNNNNNNNNNNNNNNNNNNNNNNNNNNNNNNNNNNNNNNNNNNNNNNNNNNNNNNNNNNNNNNNNNNNNNNNNNNNNNNNNNNNNNNNNNNNNNNNNNNNNNNNNNNNNNNNNNNNNNNNNNNNNNNNNNNNNNNNNNNNNNNNNNNNNNNNNNNNNNNNNNNNNNNNNNNNNNNNNNNNNNNNNNNNNNNNNNNNNNNNNNNNNNNNNNNNNNNNNNNNNNNNNNNNNNNNNNNNNNNNNNNNNNNNNNNNNNNNNNNNNNNNNNNNNNNNNNNNNNNNNNNNNNNNNNNNNNNNNNNNNNNNNNNNNNNNNNNNNNNNNNNNNNNNNNNNNNNNNNNNNNNNNNNNNNNNNNNNNNNNNNNNNNNNNNNNNNNNNNNNNNNNNNNNNNNNNNNNNNNNNNNNNNNNNNNNNNNNNNNNNNNNNNNNNNNNNNNNNNNNNNNNNNNNNNNNNNNNNNNNNNNNNNNNNNNNNNNNNNNNNNNNNNNNNNNNNNNNNNNNNNNNNNNNNNNNNNNNNNNNNNNNNNNNNNNNNNNNNNNNNNNNNNNNNNNNNNNNNNNNNNNNNNNNNNNNNNNNNNNNNNNNNNNNNNNNNNNNNNNNNNNNNNNNNNNNNNNNNNNNNNNNNNNNNNNNNNNNNNNNNNNNNNNNNNNNNNNNNNNNNNNNNNNNNNNNNNNNNNNNNNNNNNNNNNNNNNNNNNNNNNNNNNNNNNNNNNNNNNNNNNNNNNNNNNNNNNNNNNNNNNNNNNNNNNNNNNNNNNNNNNNNNNNNNNNNNNNNNNNNGCAGGUUGAGUUAGUAGAUGAUGAAAUGUAUGAAAGAAAAGUUUUAAUUGUUUAUGAUGAUGUUGAUCAUGUAUGGGAUUAAACAGGUUUACAGGUUACAUGUCAGGCUUGCUACGGGUCCCGGCGGCCUUAAGCCGAUCUGGAUCCUAGCGCCGGUAGCGGUCCGAUUUUCGGGGCGUUACAGAGUGGUAUCAGAGCCCUAGGUUCACAUGGUCGGACCUAGAGUGUCGGGCUCAUAGAUGUUAUAGAAGGUCAAGCACAAUAGGAAAAGAUCAUGUCCACUAGGAUAGGAUAAUGAGUCCUGUCUUGAAUGAUGAUGUGAAAUGCCAUGACAUGAUGCAUGUGCAUUAAUGAUAUGUUUUGAUUGCUAUGUAUGUGAUGAGGGUUCAUGUGUGCCCAUAUGAACCAUAUGAUGCUAAUGUUUGCUUGCUAUGUGCUGUUUUCAGAAAACAGGAUGAGAGGAACUCGUCGAUCUGCACGAUUGACUGGAGUACCACCUGAGGAUGAGGGCAUGAGCGCCCGUCCUCCAGCAUUGCCUAGGGCAAUGUCUAGCAGGUCAAGCAGGGAAAGAGUAGCAAGAGACCCUAGAAGGUCUUUAGAUAUGGGUAGAAGCAGAUCAGUAAGGGGGACUGUGCAAGGCGGUAUGUCAGAGGAUGUGGGAGAUGAGAUGGAUGUGGACCAGAGGAGGGAUGGUAGCCUUGGAGUGAGUAUGUCGGAAGAAGGGAUGGGAGAGUCCCAAGGAGGCACACAGGCCUCGGGAUUUGUUCAGCCACCUCAGUACCCACCUUUUCCACAUAAUCCCGGGUAUUCGAUGGGAGGUACAUCGGAUUACCCUAGCUUUAGCCCUUUCCCCACACAGAUGCCAUACCCACCAUACUACCCACCAUACCCACAGUACCCUAUGUAUCCACCCCCACCCUACUAUCCAAAUCCAGCAAACCCUACCCCAGGGGAUGCUGCACCUCCUCCACCACCCACAGAACCCACAGUUCCAACAACCCAAGACCCUAAACCUAGCUCAUCUGGAGGGAGCAAAGUGAGGAUGACCGACUACAUGAAGUUGGGUGCCCCCCAAUUUGAAACAGGUGACGACCCAUUUGUGUAUCUGGAGAGGGUCAAAACCAUAACAGAUGAGAUAGGAGCGGAGGACAGUAGAGCCAUUCAGAUGGCAGGGUUCACCCUGAAAUGCAAGAAGGCCCGUGAGUGGUUCAAGGCCUAUGUGAAACCGAGGGUGGACAGUCUUUCAUGGGAGGAGUUUGCUAAUGAGUUUGCAGGAUGGGCUUUCCCUGAUAGCUCAAGGGAACAGAAGAUGAUAGAGUUCGAACAGUUGAGACAAACUGAUGACAUGAGUGUAGAUGAAUACACUGACAGGUUUAUGGAGUUGCUGCCAUUUGCUGGCCAGAACCUUGAUACAGACCAUAAAAAGUCAAGGAGGUACAUCAUGAAGCUCAAUUCCAGGUAUUCCUCCUUGAUACAGUCAACAGAUAGAGAGAGUUUCCAUGCCAUAGUGGAUAUGGCCCGGAGAAUGGAGGCUAGUGCUAUCAUCGAGGGCAGAGUUAAACAGUCAGUGGCACAGCCUUCUGGUCUUAAGACCCCAGGUUCUUCAUCUCUGAGUGCAGCUGCUUCAGGCAGUAAGAAGUGGGACAGAAGCCCCAAGAAGUCAAAGAAGAACAAGUUCUGGAGCAAGAUCAAGUCAGGUCUGGGAUUAGGAGGUGGCUCAAGCUCUGGUGGAAAUAGUGCUGUGUGUGCUAAGUGUGGUAGGCCACACUGGGGAGUAUGCCGGUUUGGGACGACAGCCUGCUACAGAUGUGGGCAACAGGGACAUAUGUCACGGGAGUGUCCUAGAGCAGCUCCUACGGCACAGCCUCAGCAGACAGCUUCAGGCAGUGUAGCACAGCCAGCAGCUCCAGCCAUGACACAGGCCAGUGGCAGAGGCAGAGGGAGAGGGUCAGCCUCUUCUUCAGCAGGGUUCAGAGGUGAGGGUCCGUCAGCUCCAGCAAGGAUCUUCACCAUGACACAGCAGGAGGCUAACACAUCCAACACCGUGGUGUCAGGUAAUCUCAUCAUUGGGUGUUCUGAUGUGUAUGCAUUGAUGGACCCUGGUGCAUCUCAUUCUUUUAUUGCACCGAGAGCCGUUCAGAGGUUAGGGUUGAUGGUCUCUGGGUUAGAGUGUCCCCUAUGGGUCAGUGGACCCAAGUGUGACCCGACAGUUGCAGAGUCAGUCUGCCAGUGUAGUCCAGUUUUUAUAGAGGGAAGAUGCUUAUCCGCCGACCUUGUGGUUCUAGAUUUGACAGACUUCGACGUCAUUCUAGGGAUGGAUUGGCUAUCUACCCAUGGUGCUACCUUGGACUGCAGAGACAAGGUAGUUAAGUUCAGAUGUCAGGAUGGGUCAGAGGUCGUCUUCAGAGGAGACAAAAAGGGUACACCUAGAGGCCUGAUAUCAGCUCUUCAGGCUCAGAGGUUGCUUAGGAGGGGAUGUCAGGGGUUUUUGGCUCAUGUGAGAGAGCUAGACAGUCAGGUUAGAGAGCCCGCCUCAGUGCCAGUAGUCAGAGAGUUCUUAGAUGUCUUCCCAGACGAGCUUCCAGGAUUACCACCUGCUAGGGAGAUAGAGUUUGAAAUAGAGCUGAUGCCUGGAACUAGGCCUAUCUCUAUCCCUCCCUACAGGAUGGCACCAGCAGAGUUGAAGGAGCUUAAGGAACAAUUGCAAAAACUGGUGGAUAAGGGUUUCAUCCGACCGAGUACCUCACCUUGGGGUGCUCCAGUGCUCUUUGUGAAGAAAAAGGAUGGAUCCCUCAGGCUUUGUAUCGACUACAGGCAGUUGAACAAAGUCACCAUCAAGAAUAAGUACCCGUUGCCAAGGAUCGACGAUCUAUUCGACCAGCUAGCAGGAGCGGGUUGUUUCUCCAAAAUAGAUCUAAGAUCUGGGUACCAUCAGCUGAGGAUUAGAGAGGAAGAUGUACCAAAGACAGCCUUCAGGACCAGAUAUGGGCAUUUUGAGUUCCUUGUGAUGCCGUUCGGGUUAACCAACGCCCCUGCAGCAUUCAUGGAUCUCAUGAACAGAGUAUUUAGACAGUACCUGGAUCACUUCGUUAUUGUCUUCAUAGAUGAUAUCCUAGUGUAUUCCAGGAAUGCAGAGGAGCAUGCCCAUCAUCUGAGAUUAGUUCUGCAGACCUUGAGGGAACAUGGCUUGUAUGCCAAGUUCUCCAAGUGUGAGUUCUGGUUAAGGAGCAUCUCAUUCUUGGGGCAUAUUGUGUCAGAGAACGGAAUAGAAGUGGAUCCCAAGAAAGUUGAAGCUGUGACUAACUGGCCUAGACCCACUACAGUAACAGAGAUCAUAAGUUUCUUGGGUUUGGCUGGUUAUUACAGGAGGUUCGUUCAGGACUUCUCGAAAAUUGCAGCUCCUUUGACCAGGUUAACCAGAAAGAAUCAGAAGUUCAUAUGGACCGAACAGUGCCAAGAGAGUUUUGAAGAGCUGAAGGGAAGGUUGACUUCAGCACCGGUGUUAGCUCUGCCAAACAGCAAUGAGGAUUUCACAGUGUUCUGUGAUUCAUCCAGAGUAGGUGUGGGUUGUGUGCUAAUGCAGAAUGGAAGGGUGAUAGCUUAUGCUUCUAGACAGUUAAAGAGGCACGAGUUAAAUUACCCCACACACGACCUUGAGAUGGCAGCAGUUAUCUUUGCCCUCAAGAUGUGGAGGCACUACCUCUAUGGGGUAAAAUGUGAGAUCUUUACAGAUCAUAAGAGCCUGCAGCACAUCUUGAGCCAGAGAGAGCUGAAUUUGAGACAGAGAAGAUGGGUAGAACUGUUAAGUGACUAUGAUUGCAAGAUCCAGUACCAUCCGGGUAAGGCUAAUGUAGUGGCUGAUGCCUUAAGCCGGAAAUCACUUGGCAGUCUAUCCCACAUCACGGCAGAGAGGAGACCCGUGGUGAAGGAGUUUUACAAACUCAUGAAUGAAGGUCUACAAUUGGAGUUGUCUGGUACAGGCGCUUUGAUUGCACAGAUGAGAGUGGCACCCGUGUUUCUGGAGCAGGUGGCUCAGAAACAGCAUGAGGACCCAGAGUUAGUGAAGAUUGUCAGGACUGUUCAGUCAGGUAAAGACAGUGAGUUCAGAUUUGAUGAUAGGGGGAUCCUCCGCUAUGGGAGCAGACUAUGUGUACCAGAUGACAUAGGGCUAAAGGGAGACAUUAUGAGAGAGGCUCAUAAUGCAAGAUACAGUGUUCACCCUGGAGCCACCAAGAUGUAUCAAGAUCUGAAGAGAGUGUAUUGGUGGCCAGCUAUGAAGAGGGAAGUGGCACAGUUCGUGUCAGCCUGCGAAGUGUGUCAGAGGGUGAAACUGGAACAUCAGAAGCCGGCUGGAAUGCUUAACCCGCUACCUAUUCCAGAGUGGAAAUGGGAAAAUAUAGCUAUGGACUUCGUAGUGGGGUUACCGGCGACACCCAACAGGUUAGACUCCAUAUGGGUGAUUGUGGACAGACUCACCAAAUCUGCUCACUUUAUUCCUGUCAGGAGCAACUACUCUGUGGAUAAAUUGGCGCAGGUGUAUGUGGAUGAAGUAGUAAGGCUGCAUGGGGUUCCUGUUUCAAUAGUGUCAGAUAGAGGGCCCCAGUUCACCUCCAGGUUUUGGCGGAGUCUGCAGAGUGCUAUGGGUACCAGACUAGAUUUCAGUACUGCCUUCCAUCCCCAGACUGAUGGACAGUCAUAGAGGACCAUCCAGACUAUAGAAGAUAUGCUCAGGAUGUGUGUGCUAGAUUUUGGCGGUUCUUGGAGGCAACAUCUACCCUUGGUGGAGUUUGCCUACAAUAACAGCUAUCAUGCUAGCAUAGGGAUGGCUCCAUAUGAAGCUUUGUAUGGGAGGAAGUGCAGGUCACCCGUUUGCUGGGAAGAGGUUGGAGAGAGGUCCUUAGCAGGGCCUGAGCUUGUAGAGAUCACCAGCAGGGUGGUGCCCAUGAUCAGAGAAAGAAUCAGAACUGCCAUGAGUAGACAGAAAAGUUAUGCAGACAUCCGCAGGAAACAGGUAGAAUUUCAGGAGGGGGAUCUAGUAUUGCUCAAGGUGUCUCCGAUAAAAGGGGUGGUUCGGUUUGGUAAGAAGGGUAAGCUAGCUCCGCGGUACAUCGGACCCUUUGAAGUCCUGCAAAGGAUUGGGAGUGUAUCGUACAAGCUGGAUUUACCUGCAUCUAUGGAAAGAAUCCAUCCGGUUUUCCAUGUUUCCAUGUUAAGAAAGUUCGUGUCAGAUCCAGGCAAGGUUCUUAGCGAGCCUGAUGUGGAGAUCCAAGAGGAUCUCAUUUAUGUAGAGCAGCCAGUAUGGAUUCUAGACACUCAGAUCAGAAAGUUAAGGAACAAGGAAAUCCCGAUGGUGAAAGUCCUUUGGAACCACCACAAUUUGGAAGAAUGCACCUGGGAGACACGGGAGUCCAUGCUCCAGCAAUAUCCCCAUCUCUUUUAAAGGUUAGUAUCUAUGUGUGCUAUGUGUUUAGUAUGUAUGAUAUAUUUUAUGCUUUGUAUGUACUAAUUGAGGAACAUUCGGGGACGAAUGUUCUUAAGGGGGGGAGAAUGUAAUACCCGGCUAGACUCCGGUAUCGGAAUUCCUACCGUCCGGUGGAAUUUGGAUGUCGGAAACCUCUAGAAGGGUAAAAACAUGUUUUUAUAAAAUGUUUUCAUGUAUUUUAAUGUUUUAAGUAUGAAAUUAAAUGAGUUUUUGCAUGAAAAGUCUUUGGAGGAAAACCCAGGUUCGGCCGCCGAAAGUCAAGUUCGGCCGCCGAACAUGCAUGCGUUUGGGAGGCACGUUAGGCCCCCGAAAGCAUAAGAAAGGGGAGUCCAGGUUCGGCCGCCGAACCUUAUGUUCGGCCGCCGAACAUUGCAUGGAUGCGGAGGCACAUUCGGCCCCCGAACGUGGCCUGGCCAGCCACCUAUAAAAGGGGCACUUAGCCGAAAUGGGCGAGUUUUCUCCCAUUUUCGGCCACAGCAAGCUUUCGACCUCCCUCUCCCCAAAUCUUGUGUUCUUUCUACAAAUCUCCUCCAUUUUUCUUGAGUUUUAACUUCACAUUGCAAGUUUUGAGCAUUUGAGACAACUUUUGGAGCUUUGGAAACUCAGGAGCUCAUUUGCUUGGAUCUCCGAGUUUUGAUCGCCUCUCUCUCGAUCUUCAAGAGGUAAGAGCCGAUCUUAAGCUCAAUGUAUGUUUUAAACAAGUUUUAUGAAGUUUUAUGGGGUAGAAUGGCAUGUAUAGGGUUGUAUGAGUUAGUUGAGCUAUGUUAGGUUUUAUGUGAUUUUUUUGAGCAAUGUAUGUUGGAAAUGUGUUGUUGUGAGUGUUGUAGUUGGGGUAUAUGUUAGUUUGAGACCCCUAGGUGUAAUGUAUGUGAUGUAUGCAUGUUUUAGAACAAGUUUAUGCAUGAUUGGUGGUUUUGGGAGGCAAGAGGCUCAUGUGAGCAAAGUUUCUGCCUGUUUGGCAGAAACCAGGUUCGGCAGCCGAAGGGACUUUCGGCUGCCGAACCCCCUUGUGGAGGCAGCAUUCGGCUGCCGAAGCUUGCCCCCGAAAAGAGACUUUCGUCUCUGUCUGGGAGUUUCGGCCGCCGAAGGUGCCGCCGAACCUGCCUGACUUUCGUCUCUGUCCAGGACUUUCGGCCGCCGAAGGUGCCGCCGAAAGCGCCCUGUUCAGCCACUUCAUGCAUGUAUUCCUAUGUUUAUGUCAUGAUGUUUUAGGGGGUUUUUGGAGAGUAUAUUAGAGUUAUGUUUAUAUAUGUUUGGUCCCUCAUUGGAGUCCACCUGUGUAGGUUCAGACCCGAGGAACCGAGGAUCCCAGCAGUGAGUCAGCUGCUACAGAGUGUUGUUAGAGUCUUCAGAGCAACCAGAGGUGAGUAGAAUAAACUCUUAAGUUUUAAAAUUAAUGAAAUAUUAAUUUUGAGCAUGUUCAUGCAUCACGAUUGCCAUGAGAUAUUUUAGGAUGUUGCAUUAGAAUUCACGAAUAUGUUGCACUGCAUAUUAUGUUGAUGUUGUGGGUAAAUACUGAAUGAUCCACUAGUCCUUGAUAUGGAAGUCCAGGGAGCCUUUGACUACGCCCUUGGCACUAGAUAAUGGAAGACCAGGGAGCCUUUGACUACGCCCUUGGCACUAUGGAACGCCAAGACCAAGUGCCUGAUAAGGCCUUGGGGCAGUGUAAGUAAUGUUAUGCUUAAUGGAAGACCAGUGAGCCUCUGACUACGCCGCUGGCAUUAGAUAUGAUGAUGGGACUAGUUGGUGACAGGUUUACCCUUGAUGUGGCUUGUUUGUGAUGUGACACAUUUCAUGAAGCAUGAAUUAAAAAUAUAAUGUUUUUAUUAUUCUGCUCACUGGGCUCUUGUAGCUCACCCCUCUCCCCUAACCCCAGAUGUGCAGGUACAGGGUAGAUCAGGAGGUUAGCCAGAGAUUUGAAGUAUGUUUAUGUAAUAGCUAGAUUGUGGACAUGACAAAUGUAUUAUGAUGUAAUGUAAGAGAUCAUAGCAUGUUAUGUAAUGAGAUAUUUAUAUUGAGGUUAUAGUUGUGCUUGACCCUAUGAGUAUUGUUAUCCCAUUGAUACAUGAUCUAUAGAUGAUGCUUAUGUAAACUAACUCAACAUAUGUUGUAAUGCCUUUGAGGCUUGAUGAGAUCCCACAGAGGGACUAUGUUAUGUAUAUGUUCAGAGUAUGUGCAGGUUGAGUUAGUAGAUGAUGAAAUGUAUGAAAGAAAAGUUUUAAUUGUUUAUGAUGAUGUUGAUCAUGUAUGGGAUUAAACAGGUUUACAGGUUACAUGUCAGGCUUGCUACGGGUCCCGGCGGCCUUAAGCCGAUCUGGAUCCUAGCGCCGGUAGCGGUCCGAUUUUCGGGGCGUUACAGAUACCUUCCCAACCUUUUGCAAGACCUCAAAGGGCCCGAUGUACCGUGGAGCUAGCUUACCUUUCUUCCCGAACCGAACCACCCCUUUCAUUGGGGACACUUUGAGCAAUACCAUAUCCCCCUCCUGAAACUCCACUUGUUUCCUGCGGAUGUCCGCAUAACUCUUUUGCCUGCUUGUAGCAGUCUUGAUUCUCUCUCGGAUAAUGGGCACCACCCUGCUGGUGAUCUCUACAAGUUCAGGCCCUGCUAAGGACCUCUCUCCAACCUCUUCCCAGCACACAGGUGAUCUGCACUUCCUCCCAUACAAAGCUUCAUAUGGAGCCAUCCCGAUGCUAGCAUGAUAGCUGUUAUUGUAGGCGAACUCCACUAAGGGUAGAUGUUGCCUCCAAGAACCGCCAAAAUCUAGCACACACAUCCUGAGCAUAUCCUCUAUUGUCUGGAUGGUCCUCUCUGACUGUCCAUCAGUCUGGGGAUGGAAGGCAGUACUGAAAUCCAACCUGGUACCCAUAGCAUUCUGCAGACUCCGCCAGAACCUGGAGGUGAACUGGGGCCCUCUAUCAGACACUAUAGAAACGGGAACCCCAUGCAACCUUACAAUCUCGUCAACAUACACCUGCGCCAAUUUAUCCACAGAGUAGUUGCUCCUUACAGGGAUGAAGUGAGCAGAUUUAGUGAGUCUGUCCACAAUCACCCAUAUGGAGUCUAAUCUGUUGGAUGUUGCCGGUAGCCCCACUACAAAAUCCAUGGCGAUAUUUUCCCAUUUCCACUCUGGAAUCGACAGUGGGUUAAGCAUUCCAGCCGGCUUCUGAUGUUCCAGCUUCACCCUCUGACACACUUCGCAGGCUGACACAAACUGUGCCACUUCUCUCUUCAUAGCUGGCCACCAAUACACUCUCUUCAGAUCUUGAUACAUCUUGGUGGCUCCAGGGUGAACACUGUAUCUUGCAUUAUGAGCCUCUCUCAUAAUGUCUCCCUUUAGCCUAUGUCAUCUGGUACACAUAGUCUAUUCCCAUAGCGGAGGAUCCCCUUACUAUCGAAUCUGAACUCACUGCCCUUGCCUGACUGAACAGUCCUGGCAAUCUUCACUAACUCUGGGUCCUCGUGCUGUUUCUGAGCUACCUGCUCCAGAAACACGGGUGUUACUUUUAUCUGUGCAAUCAGAGCACCUGUACCAGACAACUCCAACUGUAGACCUUCAUCAAUGAGCUUGUAAAAUUCCUUCACCACCGGUCUCCUCUCUACCGUGAUGUGGGAUAGACUGCCAAGUGAUUUCCGGCUUAAGGCAUCAGCUACUACAUUAGCCUUACCCGGAUGGUACUGGAUCUUGCAAUCAUAGUCACUCAACAGUUCUACCCAUCUCCUCUGUCUCAAAUUCAGCUCUCUCUGACUCAAAAUGUGCUGCAGGCUCUUAUGAUCUGUGAAGAUCUCACAUUUUACCCCAUAGAGGUAAUGCCUCCACAUCUUGAGGGCAAAGAUAACUGCUGCCAUUUCCAGGUCGUGUGUGGGGUAAUUCAGCUCAUGCCUCUUCAGCUGUCUAGAAGCAUAAGCGAUCACCCUACCAUUCUGCAUCAACACACAACCCAGGCCUACUCUGGAUGCAUCACAGAACACUGUGAAAUCCUCAUUGCUGUUUGGCAGAGCUAACACUGGUGCUGAAGUCAACCUCUUCUUGAGCUCCUCAAAGCUUUCUUCACACUGAUCGGUCCACUCGAACCUCUGAUUCUUUCUGGUCAAUCUGGUUAAAGGAGUUGCAAUCUUAGAGAAGUCCUGGACGAACCUCCUGUAAUAACCAGCCAAACCCAAGAAACUUCUGAUCUCUGUCACUGAGGUGGGCCUUGGCCAGUUAGUCACAGCUUCAACCUUCUUGGGGUCCACCUCUAUCCCAUUCUCUGACACUAUAUGCCCCAAGAAUGAUAUGCUCCUUAACCAGAACUCACACUUGGAGAACUUGGCAUACAAGCCAUGUUCCCUCAAGGUCUGUAAAACUAUCCUCAGAUGAUGGGCAUGCUCCUCUGCAUUCCUGGAAUACACCAAGAUAUCGUCUAUGAAGACAAUAACAAAGUGAUCCAGGUACGGUCUAAACACUCUGUUCAUGAGAUCCAUGAAUGCUGCAGGGGCGUUAGUUAACCCAAACGGCAUUACAAGGAACUCAUAGUGCCCAUAUCUGGUCCUGAAAGCUGUCUUCGGUAUGUCUUCUUCUCUUAUCCUCAGCUGAUGGUACCCUGAUCUCAGAUCUAUCUUGGAGAAACAACCCGCUCCUGCUAGCUGGUCGAAUAGAUCGUCGAUCCUUGGCAAUGGGUACUUGUUCUUGGUAGUGACUUUGUUCAACUGCCUGUAGUCGAUACAAAGUCUGAGGGAUCCAUCCUUCUUUCUCACGAAUAGCACUGGAGCACCCCAAGGUGAGGUACUCGGUCGGAUGAAGCCCUUAUCUACCAGAUCUUGCAACUGCCCUUUCAACUCUUUCAAUUCUGCUGGUGCCAUCCUGUAGGGAGGGAUAGAGAUCGGUCUAGUUCCAGGCAUCAAUUCAAUCUCGAACUCUAUCUCCCUAGCAGGUGGUAGUCCUGGAAGCUCUUCUGGAAAGACAUCCAGAAAUUCUCUGACAACUGGCACUGAGGCUGGCUCCCUGACCUGACUAUCUAGCUCUCUCACGUGAGCUACAUACCCCUGACAUCCCUUCCUAAGCAGCCUACGAGCCUGUAGGGCCGAUAUUAGACCUCUAGGCGUACCCCUCUUGUCUCCUCUGAAGACGACCUUUGACCCGUUCUGAUCUCUGAACCUGACUACCUUGUCCCUGCAGUCCAAGGUAGCACCAUGGGUAGAUAGCCAAUCCAUCCCUAGAAUGACGUCAAAAUCUGUCAAGUCUAGAACCACAAGGUCGGCGGAGAGGCAUCUUCCCUCAACAAAUACUGGACUGUACCGGCAGACUGACUCUGCCACUGACGGGUCACACUUGGGUCCACUGACCCAUAGGGGACACUCUAACCCAGAGACCAUCAACCCUAAUCUCUCAACUGCCCUCGGAGCAAUAAAGGAAUGAGAUGCACCUGGGUCCAUUAAUGCAUACACAUCAGAACACCCAAUGAUGAGAUUACCUGACACCACGGUGUUGGAUGUGUUCGCCUCCUGCUGAGUCAUGGUGAAGAUCCUGGCUGGAGCUGAUGGACCUUCACCUCGGGAACCUGAAGAAGAGGCUACUCCUCUCCCUCUACCUCUGCCACUGCCCUGAGUUGUGGCUGGAGCUGCUGGCUGUGCCACACUGCCUGAAGCUGUCUGUUGGGGCUGGCCCGUGAAAGGUGCUCUAGGACAAUCCCGAGCUAUGUGUCCCUCCUGGCCACAUCUGAAACAUACAUUGGUCCCAAAUCGACACCCUCCUUUGUGUGGCCUCCCACACCUUUGGCAUUCUGCACCGUCUGAGCCUGAACUCGAGCCACCGCCUAAUCCCAGACCGGAUUUCAGCUUAUUCCAGAACUUGUUCUUCUUGGGCUUCUUGGUGUUACUCCAUCUCUUACUACCUGAACUCUGAGUAGAGGGUCCUGACCCUCCUCUGCCUGGGGUCUUAACCCCUGAAGACUGGGUCACCGACUGCUUCACUGACCCCUCAAUUAUAGCACUGGCCUCCAUUCUUCGAGCCAUAUCCACCACAGUGUGGAAACUUUCCCUCUCAGCUGAUUGAAUCAAUGAGGAGUACCUGGACUGUAAUUUCAUGACAUAUCUCCUGGCCUUCUUUGCAUCUGUAUCUAGAGCUUGCCCUGAGAAGGGUAAUAGCUCCAGAAAUUUAUCUGUGUACUCCUCUAUGCUCAUGUCUUAUGUCUGUCUCAGUUGCUCAAACUCAAUCAUCUUCAACUCUCUGGAACUAUCUGGAAAGGCCCAUCCAGCAAACUCAUUGGCAAAUUCCUCCCAUGUCAUACUUUCAAGUCUCGGGUCCACAUAACACUUGUACCACUCCCGUGCCUUCUUGCACUUUAAAGUGAACCCUGCCAUCUCAAUGGCUCUUCUGUCAUCUGCCCCUAGCUCAUCAGUGAUCAUCUUCACUGCUCUCAGGUAUUCAAAGGGAUCAUCCCCUGACUUGUAUUUAGGAGCAUCCAGCUUAAGGUAAGCUGUCAUCUUCACCUUGCUCCCACUGGCUGAGCUAGGUUUAGGAGGUUGAGUAACUGGGGCUACUGGUUCUGUAGGUGGUGGGGGUGGGGGGUGCAGCAUUCCCCGAGAUGGGGUUUGCUGGGUGAGGAUGGAAGGAUGAGGGUGGAUAGGCUGAGUACUGUGGGUAAGGUGGAUAGAAAGGUGGAUAAGGCAUGUGAGUAGGGUAGGGGUUAAAGCUGGAGUAAUCCGAUUUACUUCCCAUCGGAUACCCGGGACUCUGUGCAUAGGGUGGAUAAUAGGGUGGAAAACCAUACCCCGAGGCCUGAGUGCCUCCUUGUGACUCCCCUGUCCCUUCUUCUGACAUGCUAACAUCCAGAUUCCCAUCCCUUCUCUGAUCUUCUUCCAUAACCUCCCUCACAUCUGAAGAACUUCCUCCUCUGUCUGUCCCCCUUCUGCUAGUAUCAAAAGACCUUCUAGGGUCCCUUGACACUCUUUCUCUGUUUACUCUGCAUGACAUUGCCCUAGGCAAUGUGGGAGGACGGGCGCUCGUGCCCUCAUCCUCUGGUGGGGCUCCUGUCAACCGUGCAGAUCGACGAGUUCCUCUCAUCCUGUUUUCUCUGAAAAACCAGCACAUAACUCACAAGCAUUAACAUCAUAUGGUUCAUGUGGGCACACAUGAACCCUCAUCAUAUACAUAGCAAACAUAGCAUAUUAUUUAUGCACAUGCAUUUAAUCAUGGCAUAUCACAUCUUUAAUCAAGGCAGGACUCUACAUCCUAUCCUAGUGGACAUGACUUUUCCUAUUGUGCUUGACCUUCUAUAACCUCUAUGAGCCCGACACGCUAGGUCCGACCAUAUGAACCUAGGGCUUUGAUACCACUCUGUAACGCCCCGGAAAUCCGGACCGCUACCGGCGCUAGGAUCCAGAUCGGCAUAAGGCCGCCGGGACCCGUAGCAAGCCUAACAUAACCUGUAAACAUGUUUAAUCCCAUACAUGAUCAACCAUAUACAUAAAAAAAAAAAUCAAAACUUUUCUUUCAUACAUACUAUCAUCAACUAACUCAACCUGUGCAUACUCUGAACAUAUACAUAACAUAAUCCCUCUGUGGGAUCUCAUCAAGCCUCAAAGGCAAAACAACAGGUGUUGAGUUAAUUUACAUAAACAUCAUAUCAUAAGAUCAUGUACAUACAAAAGGGAUUAGCAAUACACUAUGGUCAAGCACAACUCUAACCUCAAUAACCUCAUUACAUAACAUACUGAAAGUUUUUACAUUUCAUCAUAAUACAAUUGUCAUGUCCACAAUCUAACUAUUACAUACAUAUGACUUUUCUCUUCUUGCCUUCUCUAUCUAUCCCGUACCUGCAAACCUGGGGGUUAAGGGAGAGGGGUGAGCUAGAUGCCCAGUGAGUAGAACUGUAAAAAGAAUAUUUAAAACAUGCUGUCAUGGAAUGCAUCACUACACAAACAUUUCACACCACGGGUGGACUGAUUCAAAAAUCCCUCAGCUCCAUGCCCGGCCCUAAAGAGGGCACCACAGGACUUCAUAUGCCCGGCCCUAUUAUGGGCACCACAGGACUUCGUAACUCGGAGCUAUUGCCCGGCCCUAUUAUGGGCACCACAGGACUUCGUAUUCAGAGGGCUAAUGAAUCAUCCUAAUGUCCAUCCACUAUCAUCUAUCACAACAAUGCAAUGCGGCAUAUUCGUGAAUUCUAAUGCAAACAUCCUAUAAUAUAAUCAUGAUGCAUGAAGCAUGAUAAAAACAUUUAAUUUCUUAAUUUAAAAGGUUAAGUUUAGUUCCACUCACCUCUGGCUGACUCUGACAAUCUCUGUAGCAGCUGGCUCACUGCUGGGGUCCUUGGUUCCUCGGGUCCGAACCUACAUGGGUGGACUCCAAUGAGGGACCAAACAUACAUAAACAUAACUCUAAUAUAACCCCCAAAAAUCCCCCUAAUGCAUCAUGAAAACAUCACAUAAAAUAUGCAUGAAAUGGCUGAACAGGGCACUUUCGGCGGCACCUUCGGCGGCCGAAAGUCCCAGACAGAGACGAAACUCAGGUAGGUUCGGCGGCACCUUCGGCGGCCGAAAGUGCCAGACAGAGACGAAAGUCUCUUUUCAGGGGCAACUUCGGCAACCGAAAGGCCUGCCUCCCCAGCCAUGUUCGGCGGCCGAAAGUGCCUUCGGCUGCCGAACCUGGUUUCUGCCAAAGGGCAGAAACUUGGCUCCCUUUGCACAUUUCGCCUCCAAACCUUCCAAACAUGCAUAUUUUUCAACCAAAGCAUGCAUACAAGUUCCUAGGGGCCUCAAGCAAGCAUAUACCCCAUCUACAACACUCCAAACACACACAAUCAAGCCACAUUGUUCAUCAAAGCAUCAAAAACCCAUAAGCUCAACAUAUACCCUAACAUGCAUUCUACCCCUUAAAACUUCAUAAAACUUGUUUAAAACACAUAAUAAGGGUGGAUCCGAGCUUACCUCUUGAAGAAACGAGAGGAAAGGCGAUCCUAGCUUGGAGAUGGAGAGAUUGAGCUCUUUGAACCUCUAAGUACCCAAAUCUUGCUCUAAACUCAAAAAUCUUCAAAAACAAAGUUAUAGGCUCAUUAAAACGUGUGAGAUUUGAAGGAAAAGAUGCAAGAUUGGUGAGGAAUGACGGAGAGCUCACCUUGGCCGAAAAUGGGGGAAAAAGCUCGCCCGUUUUCGGCUAAGGGACCCUUUUAUAGUGGCUGGCCAGGCCACGUUCGGGGGCCGAAAGUGCCUCCGCAUCCAUGCAAUGUUCGGCGGCCGAACCUGCACUUCCCUCACUCAUGCUUUCGGGGGCCUAACGUGCCUCCAAAAUGCAUGCAUGUUCGGCGGCCGAACUUGGCUUUCGGCGGCCGAACCUGGAUUUUCCUCCAAAGAUUUUUCAUGUAAAACUCAUUAAAUUUCAUACUUAAAAACAUUAAAAACAUGAAAACCUUUUAUAAAAACAUGCUUUUACCCUUCUAGAGGUUUCCGACACCCAAAUUCCACCGGACGGUAGGAAUUCCGAUACCGGAGUCUAGCCGGGUAUUACAUUAAGUAUAUGCAUAAAGGGGUCCAAAACUAACCUAAAACCCCAAACAACAAACACAAACAACCACAAAUCAUGAAUAUACACAAAACCCUCCAUAACACCCUCCUUAACCUAACAUGCAUUUCUACCCAUAAAAACUCCAUGAAACCUUCAAAAAUCAAAAAAGGAAGUUCAGGAUCUUCACUUACCUCUUCCAAAUGAGAGAAUAAACGAUCCCAACGUGGAGUGAUGGAGAAAUCUUCCCUCAAAACCUCCAAACUUCCUAACUUUGCUCUUUUACUCAAAAACUUCAAAACAAACAUAAAACUCAUCAAAACUUUGAAUGAUUUGAAGGAAACAUGAAAAUCACCCAAGGAGAACCUCAGCCUCACCUCUGGUUGGCAAAAAUGGAAAAAGUGAUCCAAAUCACCGACCUUUGACCAUUUAUAGGUGGCUGGCCAGACCACCUUCGGCGGCCAAACGUGAAGCCGAAUGCCAUGCAUGUUCGGCGGCCGAAAGUGACCUUCGGCGGCCGAACAUGGGCUUUUCUGCCUUGGUAUUUUUUCUUUCAAAAACUCAUUUCUUUUUAACACUUUAAAACAUUAAAACUGUUUUAAAACAUGUAAAAACAUAACCCGAACCCUUCUAGGGCAUUCCGACAUCGGAAAUUCACCGGACUACAGGAAUUCCAAUGCCGAACUCUAGCCGGGUAUUACAGCUACAUCCUAUAUCAACGUAUCAAAUUCCAGAGUUAAUUGUCUCAUUAGUUUGAACAAUCAUUAAGAGAGUUUCAGCUUCAUGAUUUUCCACAAAGUUUGACUUCUCCCUAUUUUCUCUGUCAUUUGACAUUUUGGUACGACAUUCUGAACGAAAUUGACCAAAUUUAUGGCAUCUGUAGCAUUCAAUUUUGGAUUUGUCAAAAUGCUGAAACUAUCCUUUUCCUUUGUGCGAUUGAUCACCGUCAGUUUUGAAAUUUGUGUUUCCAUUUCUGUUGCCACGAUCUCUCCUUCCUCUUCCUCUUCCACUUCCUCUACCUCUUCAUCGUUAGUUUUAUAGCUUCUCUCCAUAGUUCUCGCAAAAUAGCUUGUGAUAGAUUCACCAUCCUUCAUUUGUAGAGUCUCAAAAUCUCAUCUCAAGACUUGAAGCUGUGCAUGCUUUACUCUUGCGAAGUCUUGAUAUUUCUUUUUCAUGGAGUCCCAAAUUUGUUUGGAAGUAUCUUUACAUAAAAUAGUCUCUAAAAUUGAAUGAUUGAUUGCCUAAAAUAAAUAAUUUUUCGCCUUAAGAUCCUUCAACUUUAGCCCUUCAAUUUCUGCUUUUUGCCCCUCAGUCACUACUGCUUCACUUGUUGGUGCCAGUACUCCAUCUGAAACAACUUGUCAACACUCUUUCGAUAUGAGAAUAUUUUCCAUCAACAUACUCUAGUGAUCAUAGUGACCAUCGAAGCAAGAUAUCGUAGGUUGCACAAAACUAUCAAAUGCUAUUGAUAAUAUUUGAAAAAUGCAAAAAAAGCUACAGCUUAAACUUGGGUUUGAUAUCACUGUUAGUAGCAUUUUUUAAAAAUAUAGCAAAAAUAAAAUUACAGUAAGUGUAGUAUGAUAAAAGACCAAAUAAAAGUGAAAUCUCAUCCAUAAAAUUAAAAAUAAAUAGCCCAAAAUAGGCUUUACUAACCAACUAAGAAACAACUACUAACAUAAAAGCACUAAACCACUAAUAUAAAAACACUAAAAUAGGAAGCGUUAAACUGAUAACAUAAAAGCACUAAAUCACUAAUAUAAAAGCAAUAAAAUAGGAAGUUAAUUAGUUACUGCUACCAAAAAUUUGUAAAGAAAUUAAAUUGAGUGUAGAAUGUAAUUAAACACCACAUGCAUAAUUUACAGAUGAAUUUGUAUGAUUAAAGUACAUGAUUUAAUUUGAUAAUGUUAUAUUAUUUUGUAUUUUAUUUGACUGAAAAAUAUAAAAAUUUAUUAUAAAAUUAAUUUCCUAUUUCAAGUUUAAUUCUAUUAUUUUACUAACAAUAUUAUAUCACAAAUAAAAUUUUGAUAUUUUAAUAGUUUGAAAUAUUUAUGAAUAAUUAUCAUAAUAAUUGUUGUGAAAAGAAAAACAUUUUAUAAUAUGAUUUAAUUUAUAUAUUUUAAUAAUUUUUUGAAAAUUUUUAACAGGAAUUUUUGUAUAUUAUUAUUAUUUUUUUAAUUGAGAAUUGAAAAUUAGAUGAGUAGAAUAUGAGAACUCUCAAAUUUACUCAGAUGUACUUGCCAUUAAACCAGUAUUUUGUAUACUAAUUUUUAAAAGAAAUUUUUAUCCGAUAGUCAUAUAAUUAUAUUUUAAUUGUUCUUGAUUUCUCGCAUUAGCUUUAUAUUAAGGCAAUUUAAACUCGGUCAAUUGUAGUAAGUCUUCAUCUGAUCUGUCAAGUUGACUUCAUAUUUAUAUAUUUGGACAACAUAAUAUUUGGAGAAUACAAAAUUAUAUAUAAUGUUCUGAAUAUUUAAAAUUAUUUAUACACACCUUUCCGUUUUAUCAUUUUUAUUCAUUUUAUAUUUUUAUAUAUAUUAAAAAAUAUAGUUUUUUAAUUAUAUUCAUAUUAAAUAUAUUAAAUUUUAUUAAAUAUUAAAAAAAUUUUUAAAAAUAAAAUAAAAUUAAAUACGAUUUAUAUAUUAUUAUAAUUUUAAAAAAUAAAUAAUAAUUUUAAAACAAUAAAAAAAUAAAUAAAAAUUUAUGGAGUUUAUUUUAUUGUGAUAUUUUAAAAGCCUUGAAUCUAGGUCUUUUUUUUAUUUAGUUUUAUCGUAUGGGUCUUGGUCUAUAUAUUAUAAAACGUUAAUUCUAGAAGGCUUAGUAAUCAAUAAUUCAACAUGAUUUUAUCUCAUUGGAUAGAUAUUAUUAAUUAAUUAGAUGGUCACCACCUAAUUAGCUCAUCUCCACAACACGGCUUCAACCUCAAUAUCUUUCACACUUGUAAGCUCUCUAUAUAUAUAUAUUGUAGGAAACAUCUGUCCGAGGUAUUUUAGCUACCCGACUUUCAUUUACUAAAAAAUUAAAUUUAUUGAUCCAACCAGUCAAAUAAAUGCCGAAAAUCUAAUUUGACGGUGGUCAUUGCUUAUAAGUUAUGAUAUUAUAAAUGCUUUGUUCUUUCAAAUGUAUAAUAAAUUAUAAUUUAUUAAGAUUAAUUUAACUAAUAUCUAAUUAAUUCUAAAAAAAGACUAUUAAGAAUUAUAAUCCUUUAUUUAAUAAAUAUGAUAAUUAGUCAGUUCAUAUUCUGAAUUUUUACAAAUUACCAUAUAUAAUAAAUGAUCUUAGAUGGAUCAAAUGAGCUUAUAUAUAUGAUAAACGUAAUCACUCACAUUUACACUAUUAAUAUUAAUAUCUAUAAAAAUUGGUAAAAUUAUACGUAUACAAUUAAAAAUUAAAUUUUUUACGGAUGCUAAACUUGAAAUCUCUUACCUUUUGUUUGACAUAACUCAUUUUAGAAUAAAAGAAUUUAAAUAAAUUUUAGUAAAAUAUAUUUUAUUUUCUUUAAAAAUAAAAAUUGUAUGAAUUAAAAAAAAAUGUUAUAUUCCAAACAAUAAAAUUAAUGAAAAAAAAAAUUAAAUUGAAUCAUUAUAAAAUCUUUGAUUCCAAACAAGAUCCUAAAAGCUUGAACUAUGAAAAACCUUAUAAUUAAUUAAUAAUUUAUAGAUAAUUUGUCAUUUAUAAGUACAUCCAUAAUUUAAUUAUUUAUUCAUAAUUUAAUUAUUCUUAUUAUUUUUUAUGAAAUUUAACUUUUUAAUACAUUUCUGUGUAUAUCCUAUUUUUAUAGAUGUAGAUUCAUAUUUAACCAAAUCAUAUAGUGUAUAUUUUAUUUUUUUAUAAUAUUUACUUCUAAACCAAUCAGUUAUUUAUUUUCCCAACAGAUAAUAUGGCAGGGAAAUACCGUUUGGAUUGGCCAACCAGAAUGGUGAUCGCUUUACGCAUCGGAAGAGGAUUGGUAAAUCUGCAUGAUCGAUGUGAGUCUUCCCUUGUAUGCUUAGGCCUUGGCUAUAUCAAAGCAUGAUUUUUCUGUUUUAAUACAAAUGAAAAGUGCUUCUUGAUUUGAGUAUGUAAGGGUUUAUUUAUUUGUUCAGGCUGUUCCUGCAAUUCAAAAUGAUUGGCCCAAAGGCAACUAUAAGUUUGUUGAUGAAAAAUUAGAGAGAUACUUUGACAAGGAUGAAAUGGAUCGAAUGAUAGAAUGUGCUUUAGCAUGUUUAGAGCGUUAUCCACAAAAUCGACCAGAAAUGAGUAAGGUAAUUUCAUAAAGCUUUAUAUUCUAUUUUAUAUUAUGUAUACAUACGUGAGUUUUAAACAAUUUAGCAUUUUUUGUUAUAUUUUAAUAUUUAGACAACAUAUUUUUAUCACGGUUGUAAAAUUAUUAUUUUAAUACUGAUAAGAUAAUAAUUUAAAAUUAUUAUAGAGAAAAUUCAUUCUAUAUUCAAUAAAAUUAUAAUUUUAGUUGCAUUUUUAAUUCACUGUGAAAAAAUAAUUAAACCGUUAUUUUAUUCUAAUAAUGGAGAUAGAGGUAAUGAUUGUUAAACUGAUAUUAUUAAUUUAUAAUUACAAUUAAAAAUAUAAAACAAUAAUUUAUAGUUAUUGUCUUAAAUUUAUUUUUAUAGUAGUAAUUAUGAUAAACUAAUAACAUUCAUGUGUUAUAAUUAUAGUCUAAUUUGGGAAAGAAAAAAAAACUCAAUUGCUUUUUUUUGAACGGAAAAUUAGAAAUUAGGGAAAUAUAAUAUGGAAUCUCUCAAAUUUAUUUAGAUGUACUUAUCAGUGAGUGUAAAAAAGAAAAACUCAAUUACUAAAAAUUAAAUUUUGUAAGAAUUAUUAAUAAAGUUAAUUUAUUCCAUUUCUUGGCAGAUUCAGUACUUUUUUUUUCCCUUUUUCUAAUUACUUUUCUUGGCAAAGCAGGUUGUUGAAGUUCUAGCAGGAAACAUUUAUCGGAAAAAUCUCAAGAAUUGAGAUGAAAUGUUUGAAAAAGAUAAUUAUUUUUUUUCCUUUUCACUAGAAGUUGGAAACUUCCUUGAAAGGCCGAUUGGACACUGAAAUAAAAGAUAGACUUCCGUUGAAGUGGCAAAGGAGUGUAACUGGAAGACUAUUGCAAUUGAAAAAAAAAGUUCCGUUUGAAAUAAAUCGAAUGUAAAAAAGUGAUUUAGCUUAGAGUAAUUUUUUUAAUUAACUCUUUUUAGUUAAUAAAAUUAAAAUUUUAGUUAUUAUGUUUCUAAAUAUGCAAAUUAAAUUAAAUUCUUAUAAAUUUUUAGUUUUCAAACAGGAAAAUAAAAGGUUUUGGAAGGUUUGAAUCCAAAUAAGAACGUUGAGAGAAUUAUAUCACCGCCAAAUUGCUGGACUAUCUACAGUAGCAUUUCUUUUUCAAAAACAAUUGAAAAUGAGGUUAAUUCUUAUUCUAUUAACUAAAAUUAAAAAAAAAAAUUUAAAUGGAGAUUGAAAAAAUAAAAUUUAAUAUCUCACAUAUUUAUUUAAAUACACUUAUCACCAUAUUAAGAUUGUGAGUAUAAUAUUUAUUAUAUUUUAAUUAUAAUUUAAGAAUUUAAUACGCUAAUAAAUCAUAUAGAGAUGUAAUUGCAUAUUUAAUAUUAUUUUAAUCUGCAUUCCCAGGUUUAGCCUGAUAGUAAGUGCAUUCGGUUAAACCUGAUAGAUCUCAGGUUCGAAUCCCAUCCCCAUUUCAAAAAAAAAAAAAAAAUAUUAUUUUAAUCUUUUAAGUCAAAAUCAAUAAUUUCAACUCCAACCAUAGGUUAUGGCACUAAUCAAGUAAGAGAGAAAAAUAUUUUUAAAGGGAAAUACUUAUUUUUAAUAAAACAAAUUAACUCAGAGUUAGCUUCUCUUAUUAGUUUAUAUGAAUUUUAUUAUAUUAAUAAUAAAAAUAUAUUUGUUAAAUAUGACCAAAAUUUUAAAAAUGACCCUCUUUUAAAUUCCAAUAUUAAUUUAAUUCCAAUAACUUAUCAUAUUUCUCCUUAUUAUCCAUAAUAAACAAUGACCAAGAUUUUAAAAUGACCCUCUCUAAUUUAAUUCUAAUAUUAAAAAUGACCAAAUUUAUUAUCUAUAUUAAACAAUGACCAUGCUUUUUAAAAAUGAUCCUAAUUAAGAUCAAACUAACAACUUUGUAGUUUCUUCAUUUAUUAAUAUGCAAGUGGGAGAUAAAAAAUCAUUAGUUAAUUAAUUUGGUACGUCCUAUUUUAUAAUACACUGAGCAAUCUGAAAGCUGAUUGGCCCCCACAAAUGGAUUAAUUAAUAAUUCAACCUUCUUAAUUAAUGCCGCCUUCAUUGACAGCCUGGGUACUGUUCAGAAACUAACAAUAUAGUAAUCUUACUAUUGCACCGACUCUGCAUAAUUUGUAUUUUUUUGAUACUCCCUACUUUCAAACUUUAAUUUUCGCUAUCGCUGUUUAUUUGAUGGAUUCAAUUUUUGAAUAAAUUAAAUAUUUAAAUUUAAAUAUUUAUAAAAAUAAAAAUAAUCAAUUUUAAUUAAAAAUUAAAUUAAAUUGAAUCGAUCUGAUUUAAUUCGAUUUGAUUGAUUUGAAUUUUUAAUAAAUUUUUUAUUUUUUAUAUUUUAUUUUUAAUAUUUUAAAAUUUAAUUAAAAUAUUUUAAUUUUAAUAUAAUUUAAUAUUUUUAUAUUAUUGAACAUAAUAUAUUAUUAUCAUUAAUCAAUUCAGCUUGAUUUUUUUAUUUUUUUUAUCAAAAUUAAAUAAAAUUGAAAUAAUUAAAAAUUUUAAAAUUAAAAAUCAAAACAAACUCAAAUGAAUAAAAAAUUAAAUUAAAUUUUUAAAUUAAUUUAAUUUGAUUAAUUUUUUUGAUUUAAAUCGAAUAUUACUGGCUCUAAUUUUUCCAUAUAAAUAUUAUGCACAUGUAAAACAUAUAGGUUAAAUAUAUAUUAAAUAAGAUAUUUUCUUAUUAAAAAAAUAUUAUGCACAUGUAAAACAUAUAGGUUAAAUAUAUAUUUACAUAUUUAUAUUUUAAUAUUAUAUACAAAAAGAUACAAGAGAAAGAUACAAGAGUGUAUAUAUAUAUAUAUAUAUAUAGAUGACUGACUCUCUCUCGCUCCUUGGCUUUUCAUUUCCUAGCUUGACUGACUCUCUCUCUCUCUGUCAUCCUAACCUUGUGGGCAGCCAUGGCAGAACCAAGCAGAGGAGGUAUGUUACAACUAAACACCCUAUUUGAAAUUUCGAUUGUGUGAAAUUUAUAUUUAUCAUACUAUAUCUUUUAGUUCGUAACCUAUUAUUAACUUAAAAGUAAACUUAGUUAGAUUUAUUCGAGUUGUGAAUUGAAUUGAAAUAAUCGGUUAAAUUCUAUGAUAGAUUAGUCAAUGGAUUUAAAUUUUUAAUUCAGAUUAAAAUUUAAAAUCAGAAGGACUAAUUAAAAACUUCUCUUCUUAAUUGAAAUUAAAAUUGAACUAAAAUCGAUAAUUUAAAUUAAUCGUACAGUUUAGUUUCGAUUUGAUUUUAAAUUUUUAAAAUAAAUUAUCUUAUAAAAUUCUGUAAAUUUUUAAAAUUAAUAUAUAGAUAAAUCAAAUUAUUAAAUAAUUAAGUUAAAUUUUUUACUCGUAAAAAAUAUAUUUCCAUUUAAUUUUUUUUAUAUUAUAUGAAUGGGUAUAUUUUGUAAAAAAAUUAUUUAUUGAAUUAUUAAUUAAAUAAUUUUUAGUACUCAUAUUUAUUUCUUUACGUUUUAUUUAAUUUUAACUAAAUUUUUUAAAAAUUUUUUCACGUAUGUGUGGAAUUUAUGUUUGAUAUCAAUGCCAACCCACAAAAUUGCAGAAUAACAAAAUUAGCAUUUGAUCCAGGUGUUCACAAGUACAGCUUUGAAGAGCUAGCAAAAGCAACAGGUGAUUUCUCCAACAACAACCGCGUUGGACAGGACGGUUCUGGUGAAGUUUAUGAAGGAACACUUCCCAAUGGUAAACAAGUUGCGAUUAAGAGGCUUCAAUAUAAUUCAGAUCCUGAGAAACAGCAAGUGGAACUUCUAUUUGAGAAUGAGGUUAAAACCAAUAGCCGCACUCGUCACCCGAAUAUUGUGGAGGUCGUCGGAUACUGCAGCGAAGAAGCUGAUCGAUUGAUUGUUUACGAGUUCGUGUCCAACAAGAGCUUGAAAUCUCAUCUCUAUGGUGAGUACUUCUUAAAUUUUCUCAUUGGAUUUAUAAUUUAUUUAUCAUGAGAAUUAAAUGAUUAAGCCAUUUUGUUUGGUUACACAAGUGGGAAGAAGACAGCUGGCGACCGCCCCGAUCGAUUGGCCAACCAGAAUGAAGAUUGCUUUGGGUAUAGCAGAAGGAUUGGCAUAUUUGCAUGAAGAAUGUGAGGUUUUAACUUUAUUUAGUUUUUUUUUUUCCCAAGUUUUCUAUAUUGCACAUUAUACUUUUUAAUUUUAUGCAUUUUUAGGUAAAUCAGGAAUCAUCCACCGAGAUAUUAAAAGUGAUAAUAUUCUUCUCGAUGAUAAAUUUAAUCCUAAGGUAUGAUGAUAUACUCACAGAAGACAGCUAAACAUUUUAUAAUUAAUAUUAAAAAUGUAAAUAAAGUUUACAUUUAUAACUAUUAACUGUUUUAAUUAAUUACAAGUAAUUUUAAUUAUAAAUAAGUGGCCUUUCAAAAUCUUGAUUUAAAAUACCUUCUGUUUAGAAUUAAAAAAAACUUGUAAGAUUCAUAUCAACUUUGAAUUUAAAUUUAACUUAUUAGUUAUAAAUUAAUUUGAAUGACACAAUAAAUUACUUCUAUCAACUUUUUUCUUUUCAGAUUAGAAAUUUUGGAAUUUCCAAAGAAUUUGCGGAUUCAAAAACUCACGUUUCCACUAUCCCAAUGGGAACUCCAGAGUAAGAUUCGUUCUUAUUUGUUUGCUAAAUUUUCUUUCUCAAAGAAAAUUGGUUGAAUUAGUAGUUCUCAUUUGAUAAACACUUUCUUUAAGUGCAGUUAUCUCGCUCCUGAGCAUUACACCCAAGAUGAUCAAAAUAAGAAGCUCACCGAUAAGUCUGAUGUAUUUUCCUUUGGUGUCGUACUUCUAGAGCUGAUUACGGGAAAAUUAGCUGCUUUUGAGAAGGAACGCAGGGAAUAUAUUUUCUUAACUAUUUGGGUACUUAAAAAUAAAGAAUUUGAUAUUUUGUAUAUUCAAUAUUCAAGGGUUUUUUAUUUUUUAUUAUUUUUUCCCUGAUGGAAUGCUUAACUGACCUUUGUACAUCUAUUUUGAUUAUUCACAGGCCGUGCCUCUACUGAAACAAAUUUUGGAUGCAGACUAUCAAGAUUUGGAUGCUGAAAAUUGUAAAGAACUUUUUGAUUCCAAAUUACCGAACAAUUUUGAGAAAAAUGAUAUGGAAAAGCUUAUUUAUUCUGCUGCUGCUUGUAUAUAUAAACCUGCAAAGUUACGCCCACAUAUGUGCGAGGUAAAUUGACAAAACCAAACCAGUUAUUUUUGGAUUAUGCUUUGCAUGUGAUUAUCAGUAAAAAUAUAUGAAAUAUAAUUUAAAAAGUACGUAAAAAUUAUUUGAUAAUUUUGCAUAUGUUAUUAAAAAUUGGGAGGGUGACUGCAUGUGAUUUUUUGAUGCAGAUAGUUAAAGUACUAAAUGGAGAUAUGGAACCCAAAACUAUAUGGGUGAGAAGUGAUUGCAAGUACCUAUACAAUGGGUCACCUUACGCUCCAUUUCCUCAAGCUCAGGGAACCUCCAGCUCUUGAUCUCUAUCCAAUACAUGAAUUAACCUCCGCCUUGUAAUAAAAGAGUAUGUGUUCUUGCUAAAUGCACGUGCUUUUCUAAGGGAUCAAUUAGUUAAUAAGAAUGUGUUCCUUGCUGAAUUUUUUUUUUUUCAAUAUUAAUAAUGAUUGAUAUUGAAUAAUUUUUCAUGUAUAUAUAUAUAUAUAUAUAUAUAUAUAUAUAUGCAGAAUAUAUAAUAUCCAUUAAGUAUUAUUUUAAAACAAAGAGAUAAUAAUUUUUUUUAGUGAGGGUUCCUUCGAAGUGCAACAUAUAUAUGUAUAUAUAUACACAUAGGUAUGAUUGGUAAACGUAUGGAAAAUUUUUUUGGAUAAAUCAUAAGUCGAAUCCAACAAAAUAAUUAAAGAUUUAAUAGCUUUUGAUAAUUUCAAAUUCAACAUUUAUAUUUAAUAGCAUCGAUCUUGAUAUUAAUAUAUAUAUAUAUAUAUAUAUUAAAAUAAUGAAUACGUACAUAUUAAUAUAAAAUUAUUCAAUUAAUAUCAAGAUCAGAGCCACCAAAAAUAAUCUAUUAACGGGUGUCGAAUCUAUCAAUUUAAUUUUACUUCCCUUUUCUUGAUUUAGAUGACUAGUUGAGAUAGAAGAAUAGUUUGAAACAAAAAGUAAGAAGAAAAGUUUUUUUUUUUCUAUAAAAGUGAUUUUGCGUAAGUUAAGAAAAAAAAUUUAAAAGAAAAAAUAAUAAAUAGUGCAAUUGAAAAUUGAGAAACAAGUUAUUGAUUAAAAAUUCCAGUUGAAAGUAAUCAAAUUGAGGUUUUUUGCAGUUGAUAAUUGAUUAAAAAAAAAUAUUUCAUGUUAUUAUUUAUUGUUUGGUUACAGUGGUCAAACAAGCGAAUCUCACCGAUUCUUCUUUAUGAAUAAAUUAAUCCGCUUAGCGCUUAAAUUAAUUCCUAGUUAACUAACUGUAACGGUCAUCUGCCUGCUUGCGGCAAUUCCGUCCCACAUCGACGGAAUAUGAUAAAUUGGAAUUGUAUAUAAUAGCUAGCACGAAACUACUAAUUAACUUGAUUAACUAUUUUGGGCUGAGUGGAAAGUGGGUCCAAAAGUUAUUUAGGUCAGUUCCGGCCGGGCUGCUUCAAUUAGUAUCAGAGCCACCUUGGGUCAGACAAAUUGUGCAUAGCUAGUGGGCCUGCGAGUAAAGGGCUACCCGUGAGAGACAAGAUGGAGCUGCCCGAGGUACUAGCGAACCACAAUACCCGAGGGUCCAGUCCUGAUUAGCAAUUGUAUUGGAUUCAGUUGUCCUGGUUAGCAAUUGUACUGGAUUCCGUUGCGAUGAGGACGUAGCAAAAAUUUAGCGGAAUCGAUCUGCUUGUGGCAAUUCCGUCCCACAUCGGCGGAAUAUGAUAAAUUGAAAUUGUAUAUAAUAACUAGUACGAAACUACUAAUUAGUCAACUGCAUUAAGAGAGAAGAACCCAAACUUGACCAAUAAAAACAAGCGAUUUAUUUAAAUCAAAUCUACUAAUUUCUUAAUAUAAACUAACAUGUUAACAUGUUAAUUGCUACUUGUUAUUAAUUCAAUUAAACAAUUACGGAUUUAAUUAGCAAUAUGUUGUCUUCCCAAGAUAUUCAAGUGAUGAAAAGAAUUGAAGUACAUAACCUCCCAACUUGAAUAAAACCUCAAUUUAAUUUACCCUUCAACUGAAAAUAAUUAUAUAGGCACACAAGAAUAAAAUUCUAAGAUUGGGAGAGUCUUUAUAUAGGCACACAAGGAUAAAAUUUAAUAGUUUAAAAUAAACUCUACACCCCCUAUCUUAUCUCUAUCCUAAUCCGAUUGACAACUAAUUAUAUAGGCACACAAGAAAACAAUAAUGGGAAAUUAACAAAAAAUAGAAAUAAGAUGAAAAGAAUUGAAGUACAUAACCUCCCAUCUUGCAUAAAAACCUCAAUUUAAUUUACCCUUCAACUGAAAGUAAUUGUUUAGCCUGUAAAGGUCAUAAUAAAAUUGCAACAACUAAGAACAAGAAGAAGGAAAGAAGAAAAAAAAGACAAAAAGAAGAUGGAGAAGAAGAGGGGGUCGGCGGCACCCAGAGGAGAGGAGGGGGGAAGGAGAGAAUAUGAUGUGUAGGUUUAAUUCUAAGAACCUUUAUAGGGUGAAUCUUUGCUAAGGUGGCAAAAUCUGCUGAGGUAGCGCCUUCUGAAGCUCUCCAUUGCCUUGAGUUACAAGUUGAGUCAAGGUUGUAACCUUUCUGUCCAAAAAUCUUUUAAUUCAGUCUCUUUUCGUUCUUUUUCUUAAUUUUCGAUAAAAAACCUAUCCAAAUUUAAAUUCUAAAUAAAAAUUAAAUAUUUAUAUCAAAAUUAUAGUAAAAUCAUGGAAUUAAAUGAGAAAAAAGUUGUGAGUUUUGCAACAUCAUCUAUCUAAUUCAACAAAUAUAAAUUGCGUAUAGGGUGAAUAAGAUCAAAUUCACAAGAAAUUGACACUAAAAAUCUCCAAUUAAUAAGUAGAAAAAAUGAAUAAUAGAAGUAGAAAGAGAAUUUUAAUGAAAAUUCAAUUAAAGUAAUAAAUCAAGAUAAUUUAAUAAAGAUAAUUUAAUAAGGUCGUGAAAAUAUAUAGGGAAGCUAAUAUGGUAGCGGAUUAUCUUGCGAAUAGUGCGCAUGGUGGAGUUUUUGGUAUGAGUUUUAUUGAUUUGCCUUCAUCUAGUAUUAAGCUCCUCUUGAAUGCUGACUGUAUGAAUGUUUUUCAUGAUCGUAUAAUAAACUAAAGGGCUCUAUCCCUCCUUUUCAAAAAAAAUAAUAAUAACAAUAAUUAAGAGAAAAUUAAAUUAAUACAAAUAAAUUAUAGUUGAAGAUUAUAGUCCAUUUCAGUUUUGAAAAUUGAUCAUAAAAACAAAAAAAAAUCUUUAUUUAUUCUAAUAAGUUAGUUUAGUUAUAGAAUACACUCUGUAUAAUUAUGGCACACGAGAUCGUGGACAUGCCGGUCGACGAGCAACAAAAGCAACAAGUUAUGGUUCCUCCAACAUCAUUCCAGAAACUUCAUUUGAUGAGAUGGAUCGUUUUCCCAAACCCAUUGUCUUUAGGAGAAGAUGAACAUGUUACAUUUAAUAAAAACCUUAAACCUUUCUCUUCUUAUUUUUCAUAGACCAGAGUUCUCCUUAUCAUUUUAAGCUUUUCUCUUUUUAUUAUUUUCUUUAACCGAUAACUUAUUGUUUUAUUCUCUAUAUUGAAUAUGACCAAUCUUAAAAAUAACUCUCUUUUAUUUAAUUUCAAUAUCAAAUAUUACAUGAGAUUUCUGAAAUAUUGAUAUAUUUUUUUUUAUUGGUAAUUCAAUAAAAAUUCAUUGGUGAAUAGUAUGAUCUAUUUUUAAAAGUCUCACUGAUAAAUUUGUACCCUGGAAUCUAUUCUGGAAUUCACUAGUAAUUUUUUACCCUGGAACUUUUUUUCAAGCUCACGAGAUCAGUUGGAAAAUUGUUGUCUUUCUUUGCCCCCUAUGAAUAUACAAUGGUUCCACAAAUUAGAUAUAUACACUAACUGCAUGUCAUGGUUUGCUUAGAUGAUGAAUCUAGCUCAUACUUUGAAAAAGGUUGAUUAAAUUGAAGAAUCUGGCUCAUUGCAUGAGAAGAAUUAUAAGGGUUUUGGGCUGAAGCAACUAGCAGUGGCAAGAAGUGCAUCUGACAUUUAUAUAGGCGUAUAAUAAACUAGCAAAUGCAACAGGUCAUUUCUCGCUCAAUAACCAAUUUCGUCAAAUUUCAAGGGAUUCUUAGAGGGCAAGAUUUGUGCUAUUAAUUAAAUAAAAUUUUAGGGAUUAUGUUAUAAUUUAUUGUUAAUAUGUGACAUGACAUAUAGACUAAAAAUUUUUUUUAUCAAAAUUGAUUGAGAUUAAUAGAUAAAAUUAAAAUAAAUGUGAAAAGAUUAAUUUUAUUGUAUAAAAUUUUAAAAUUAGAAUAUAAAUGUGAAAAAUCAUACAUUUUUACAUCUUUUUAUCCAAUAGAUUUUGUUAUUAGAUAAACUAGUUGACACCCACAUGUUGAGUAAAUUUUAAUUAUACAGUUAUUAAUUUUAUUGAUAAAGAAUAAAAAAUAAAGUUUUUAUGGUUAAGUGGUAUCGAAGUUGCAAUACGGAUAAAAAGAUCUCAAUUUUUCUUAUAAAAUUCCAAAUCAAAAUUUUUAGUCAAAGUAUCCCACCAAUUUAUUAAAUUGUUUAAUUACUCUUUUGCAUUUAUUUUGAAUAACAAUACAAAUAAAUUUCAUUAUUAAUUAAAUCAUCAAAAUCCAUAUUAUAUUUUUAAUUUUUAACAUUAUACUAAUUUGUAAAAAUAGGAUCUAUUCAUUAAAGAUAUGUGUAAUAUAAUUAUUUUCAUAACUAUAUAUAGAUAUUACACUAGAACAAGCAAUUUAUUGAGACACCCAUGUAUCCAAAACGUAUAAACUAAUACACUGGGCAAUCAGAGAUAUCUUUAUUGAUUACAGAAUAGGUAUUUAUACAUACAAGUGUGACUUAGUUAACAAGUAUUUAAAAUCUAUACAAACUAGGAAACCGAAAUCUAUACAAAUUAGGAAAAUAGAAUCCUAAUCCUUAUCAGUAUAGUCUCAAUCCUAAUCCUUAUCACUUAUCAGUAUAGUCUCAAUCCUAAUCCUUAUCAUAAACCAUCAAAUACAUGCCAUUUAUCAAUAAUCUUUUUUAUUAUAAGAUUUUAAAAAAAACAGUGAUAAGAGAAAAAAGAAACACAACGGUUUAAAUAUUUAAUAAAUUUAGUCAUAAAAAUUAAAUUAAAUGUAAUAUUAAAUAAAUUUAACAUGGACGAUAAAAUGAUCAAAUGAGUAAACUUAAUCGUUUUAGAACAAUCAAACAUUAUAUUGCGACUUAUAUAGUCUGUCAACCAAGUUGGUUUCCUAGUAGAAGGAGGCUGACCUCUUUCAAUAGGUUGGAUUUCCUGUGAACUUUCACUAGCAAUUUGAUAUUGCAAGUCAGAUUAUGAAAGUUGUACAUGUUUGUUAUUUUGGUUCUCUAUUUCUUCAAAGGAGACUGAUAUAGGUUGCUGUUGUGACUCAUUUUUAGCCUAAUUCCAUAUGUUUUCUUCAUAAAAAAUCACAUCACUACUGAUCACAAUCUUUUUAGUGUUUGAAUUUAACAACUUAUAAGCUUUAGAAACUUCACUUAAGCCAAGAAAGACAUGUUUUUCACCCUUAUCAUCUAACUUUUUCAUUUUCUCAUAAGAUAUAUAUGCAUAUUUGAUGCAACUGAAAAUUGAACAAUGAUCAACAACUGGUUUUCUUCCACUCCAUAUUUCCUCAGGAGUCAUAUUUUGUAUUAAAAGUAUUAGACUUCUAUUUAGUACAUGGAUAUUCCAAUUAACUGUCUCAGGCCAAAAGUUCUUCAGAACAUUGCCUUUAGCCAGCAAUCUUCUCACCAUAUUAAGGAUUGUUCUAUUUUUCCUUUCCAAUAUGUCAUUUUAUUAUGGCAAAUAGGCAGCGAGUUCUCUUCCAAUGCUUUAUUCAUCACAAAAUUGUUCAAAUUCCUUUGAAUAAUAUUUUCCACCAUGAUUGGUAAGGAAAGUUUUAACUACCUUCCUUGACUCAUUUUCAACAUGCGCUUUGAAGCUUUUAAAUGCACAAAAAGCUUCUGAUUUAGCUUGUAAAAAGUAAACCCAAGUCUUCCGAGAAAAAUCAUCAAUGGAAGUGAUUAAAUAUUUCUUACCCCAUUGAAAGUUGGAUUAAUUGGACCAUAUAUAUCGAAUGGACCAGAUCUAAAAAAUCAUUCGCUCUCCAUGAUUUUCCUUGUGGAAAUUGAGAGCAAUGUUGUUUACAAACACACACUCUUCACAAACUUGAGAUGGAAUAGUAAUUUGAGGAAGACCAUUCGCCAUAUUCUUAUGUUGGAGAGUUCUUAAUCCACCGAAAUUCAAGUGACCAUAAUAGAAAUGCCAAAAUUGAGAUGGAUUCUUCAUUUCAGCCAUCAAAUGGGUUUAGGCAAUUUGAAUUUGCAAUGGAAACAACUUGUUUGAGCUCAUUUAAAUAAUUACAAUGGCUUCUCUUGAAGGAUUAUAAAUUUCACAAGCUCCCUUUUGAAUGGUUAUCAUAUAGCCCUUCUCUUGCAAUUGACCCGCACUAAGUAAAUUAUUUUUUAAAUCAGGAACAUAAAGCACACUAGAAAUAGUCUCCAUAAAACCAUUCUUAGUUUUAAUAUCAAUAUCACUUUUUCCCAUCACAUUCACUUUAGAACUAUUACUAAAACUCACAGUUGAAUGAAAAGUUUUAUCUAAGUGGGAAAAGAGAGACUUUACUACCACACAUAUGAUUGCUACAUUCUGUAUCAAUGUAUCAAACUGCAGAGUUAAUUGUCUCAUUGGUUUAAACAGUCAUUAAGAGAGUUUCAGCUUCAUGAUUUUUCUAUAAAGUUUGACUUCUCCCUAUUUUGACAUUUUGGUACGACAUUCCAAAUGAAAUUGACCAAAUUUAUAGCAUAUGUAGCAUUCAAUUUUAGAUUUGUCAAAGUGCUAAAACUAUCAUUUCCUUUUGUGUGAUUGAUCAUCGUCAGAUUUGAAAUUUGGUGCCAAAGAUCGUAGGAUUUUCUUCACAAUGGUGACAUUUUCCAUCUCCUCACCAUGAAAUCACAUUUUAUUGCUCAAUAAAAUAGGAAGUUAAUUAAUUACUGGUACCAAAAAUUUGUAAAGAAAUUAAAAUUGAGUGUAGAAUAAUUUGGGUAAGUAAACACCACAAGCAUAAUUUACAGAUGAGUUGGUAUGAUUAAUAAUGAUUACCAAAUUUUGAUACAACGGAUGACUAUUGUCUUGAUCUAAUAGUAAAAACAAAGGUGUUUAAAAAAUUAUGGUUCAAUCUCACCGUCACUUUUUUUUUUUUUUUUUUUUGCAUUUUUUGGUCAAAGUGCUAACUAACAUUUUUUUUUUGCCAAAGUGAUUACUAUUCUUGUAAUUCAACCUCAUGCUAAACCUACCCUAAAGAAAAUCCAAGUCUGAACGCUAAAGUUACCCACAUCUUUCUUCCAUCCUAUAAUAUAAUUUUAUUAUAAUUGAAAGCAAAAUUCUAUAAAGAAAAAUAAUUAGAAAAGUUUUCAUAAAUUAAAACCGAUUUUUACAAACAAAUUUUUAAAAACAAAAUCUCAUCUCUUUAAAAAGUUGACCAAUUUCCAUAAAAAUUAAUUAAAAAUAAAAUUUUAACUAUUUAAGUUCUCUAUUCUAUAUAUAUAUAUAUAUAGAAAGUAAAAUAUAAUUAAAUUUAUUAUUAUAAAAUUAAUAAUUUUUAGUAACAGAAAUUAAUAAUUUUAUUGUUAAUAAUGUUAUACAUUUAAUUAAUUUAUUAUAUGAUAUUAUAGUUUACUAUUUCAAGUUUAAUUCUAUUAUUUUACUAACAAUAUUAUAUGACAAAUAAAAUUUUGAUGUUUUAAUAGUCUGAAUAUUUAAAAUUAUUUAUGUACCUUUUUUUUCACAUAUAUUAAAAAAUAUAAUUUUUUUAGUUAAUUUUUUAAUUAUAUUCCUCUUAAAUAUAUUAAAUUUUAUUAAAUAUUAAAAAAUAUUUAAAAAUAUUUUAAAAAUAAAAUAAAAUUAAAUACGAUUAUAAUAAUUAAUUUAUAUAUUAUUAUAAUUUAGAAAAAUAAAUAAUAAUUUUAAAACAAUAAAAAAAUAGAUAAAAAUUUAUGGAGCAGAAAAUAGUAUUUUAUUGUAAUAUUUUAAAAGCCUUGGGUCUAGGUCUUAUUUUAUUUUAUUUUAUGGGUCUUGGUCUAUAUAUUAUAAAACGUUAAUUCUAGAAGGCUUAAUAAUCAAUAAUUCAACAUGCUUUUAUCUUAUUGGAUAGAUGUUAUUAAUUAAUUAGAUGGUCAUCACCUAAUUAUCUCAGCUCCACAAUACGGCUUCAACCUCAAUAUCUUUCACACUUGUAAGCUCUACAAAUAUAUUAAUAUUAAUAUUUUUUUAUAAUGUUUAUAUAUUAAUAUUUAAUAGAUUUUAUUAUUAAUAUUUCAAUAAAAAAUUAUUGGUAUUACAUAAUUUCUGAUCAUAAAAUUAAUAUUAUGUUGCAAUUAAAUUUAUAAAAAUAAUUUAAUUAUAUUAUAUAUAUUUAUCUAAUAAUAAAUAUUUUUUAUUAUUUUAAUAGAUUAAUAUAGUAUAAUAAUUUUAUACACUUUUAAUCACAUUAUAAAAUUAUGAAAUAAAGUAUAAGAAAUAAUUAUUAUUAUAUUUUAUAAAAAUAUUUUUAAUAUAUAAAAGUACUAUAAAAAUUAAUAACAAAGAAACUACAUACCAAAAUAUUUAAAAUUAUAAUAUUAUUCUUUUAUUAAACAUAUAUAAGAUUAUUUUAUUAAAUUAAUUACUUAAUUUAUUUGUUUUUUUAUAAAUUAUUAAUAAUUCAAUAAUCGAUAUAAUAUUUAGAAUUAUUAUAUUAUUUUACUAUUAAAUAUUAUAUGAGAAUAUUUAAUUAUUUAUAAUUUAUUAAAUACAAAUUAAUUAAUUAAUUAAUCUAAUAGCAUAAUAAAUUAAUUAAAUCUAUUAUUUUUGAUAAAUUAUAAAUAAUUAGUGAUUGUAACGGUCAGCGCUUGUGGAUUUGCGGCUUUCAUCCCACGUCGGGGAGAUGAUAGAAAAUUGGAAUUGUAUAUAAUAGCUAGCACGAAACAACUAAAUAACUUGAGUUAACCAUUUUGGGUCAAAUGAAAAGUGGAUCUAAAAGUUAUUUGGGCCAGUUUGGACCAGACUGUUUCAAUUGGUAUCAGAACCACCUUGGGUUAGACAAAUUAUGCGAAACUAGUGGGCCUGCGAGGAAAGGGCUAUCCGUGAGAGACGAGGUGGAGCCGCCCGAGAUACUAGCGAACCACAAUACCCAAAGAUUCGGUCCUGGUUAGCAAUUGUAAUCGAUUCAGUUGCGGCGAGAACAUCGUAAAUUUAGCUGGACCGAGGUAACAGUCAGCUGCAUGCUUGUGGAUUUGCGGCUUCCGUCCCACAUCGGGAGAUGAUAGAAAAUUGAAAUUGUAUAUAAUAGCUAGCACGAAACUACUAAAUAACUUGGGUUAACCGUUUUGAAUCAAGUGGAAAGUGGGUCCAAAAGUUAUUUGGGCCAGUUUGGACCGGGCUGUUUCAAUUAGUAUCAGAGCCACCCUGGGUCAGACAAAUUGUGCGGAGCUAGUGGGUCUGCGAGGAAAGGGCUACCCGUGAGAGAUGAGGUGGAGCCGCCCGAGGUACUAGUGAACCACAAUACUCAAGAGUUCGGUCCUGAUUAGCAAUUGCAAUCGAUUCAGUUGCGACGAGGACAUCACAAAUUUAACUAUUUUGAGUAAGUGAAAAGUGGAUCUAAAAGUAAUUUAGAUCAGUUUGGAUCGGGCUGUUUCAGAUUCCGUAUAGUAUCUAAUCAUAAUUUUAUUUUAUAAUUCUAAAUAUUAAUAUAUUUUAUAUAUUAAUAUUUAAUAUAUUUUAUUAUUAAUAUUUAAAUUAAAAAUAUUAUUAAUCUUAUAUAAUUUCACUAUCAUAAAAUUAAUAUUAUACCACAAUCCAAUAAAAAAAUAAAUUUAAUUUUUAUAAUUUUAAAUAUUUAUAUUAAUUUAUUUAUUUAUUUUAUAUUUUUCUUUAAUUAAUUAUUUAAUUUAGUGUUUUAUACAUACAUUUAAUACAAUAAUAUUAUAAUUUUAAAUAUUUUUUGUGUGCAGUUUUUUUUAUUAAUUUUUAUAAUAUUUUUAUAUAUUAAAAUAAUAAAAUAUAAAAAAUAUAAUAAUUAUAUAUUAAUAAAUUUAUAAUUAAAUAAAUUUAUAAUUAAUUAGUAUUAUUUAAUUAUAAUAAUAUAUUAAAAUUAAUAAAAUAUAUUAUAAAAAAAUUAUUGUAAUAAAAAAUAUAAUAUAAAUAAAAUUAUUAAAUUAAUAUAAUAUAAAAAUAAUAUAUUAAUUAAUUAAUAUAAUUAUAAUACUUUAAUAAUUAAAAAAAUAUAAAAAAAUUAAAUCAUGGGAGCUAGGCCAUGAUUACUAAUAGUUAGUACCAAAUUAUUAAUAACUUAAAUUAAUUUUAUAAAUAAUAUAUUAUUCUAUUUCAAAUUAAUAUGGAAUUGAAUAAAAUUGUAUUUAGUUAAAAUGUUAAUUAUAAUUAGAAAUUUAAUUUGUUUGAAAAUAACUUUUGCAUUAAAAUAUGAAUUCAUUGGAUUAAUCCUAACCGAUAAUCAUUUUUAUCAUAUAAAUUGUUGGGUUGACAAUUAAUAUCACCAGCCAGUUUCAAUUAAAACAUAUUACUAAUCCCAUUUAGGAAGUACAAAGAUCGUUCCAGAAUUAAAAUUAUAUUAAUUAUUAACUAAAAUCAAUCUUUAAAAAUUGAAUUUCAAGUUCACUCUCAAAUUUAGUUUAAUGGUAAGUGUAUCUGAAUACAUCUGAGAGAUUUCAGAUUUUAUUCUCUCAAUUUCCAAUCCCAUUUAAAAAAAAAAUUAAAUUUCAAAUAAAAUGAAACUUUUUUUACGUAAAAUAAAGAAAAAUUACUAAAUUUUAGGGCUGUAAUCGAACCGAGCUGAGCCGAAUUUUGAUACGUUCAGUCUCGAUUAGAAAAUAAAUUUAAAAGCUCGAGUUUGACCUUGAGCUCGACUCGAACUCUAUUUAUAAACUCGAGCUCAAUUCAUAAAAUAAAUAUUAAACUCGAGCUCGGUUCGAACUCGAUUCGUAAUAAACUCGUUUGUCACAUUAACGAGCCAACUCAAACUCUAUUCAAAAAACUCGAAUUUGAACUCAUUUAGACUCGAAUUUGAGAUCGAUUAUAUUAUAAAUAAGCUUAAUAUAAUUUAAAUUUAUUUAAAUUAUAAAUAAAUUUAAAUUAUAAGGUUAUUAAGAGACUUCUAAAUUAAAUUUUUUUAGCUAAUUGAAAUCUCUCUAAUUGAAAACUAAUGAAAAAGAAUGUCGAAUGGUUGUCUUUUUAUAGAGAAGUCACGAUUCUCCAUAUCCUUUCAACUUUCGAUGUGGGAAUAGUGUUAGCAAACAAGUUUGUUCGCGAGGCUGCUCACGAGCUUGUUCACGAGGCUGCUCACGAGCUUGUUCACGAGCCUAUUCACGAAUCAGCUCGCGAGUCUAAAUAAGCCGAAUACUGUUAAGUUCAAGUUCGACUCGUUUAUUAAACGAGUCUAAAAAGUGAGUUCGAGCUCGGUUCGUUUAGAAAACAAGUCGAGCCCGAUCGAGUUUUUAUCGAGACGAGUCUCGAAUAGUUCACGAACAGUUUGGUUCGUUUACAUCUCUACUAAAUUUAGAAAAAAAUUAAAAUUAACUAAAAUUUGAUACUAAAGGGAUUUUAUAAUGUAAUUUUGACUAUUAUAAUCGUUACAUAUAUAUUUAUAUUCCUGCAUUAUAUAUUUAAAAUAAAUUCAUUGAACACUUAAGUUAAGACUGUAACUCAUUGCAUAUCUAAUUUAUAAAAAUUCUACCAAUUAAAUAUUAAAUAAUUAUAUUCAAAUUUUUUUAUAUAAAAAAUUCCAUCGAAUUAUACUGUAGAUCUUGUUGGCCAUAUUUUAAAUUUUUUAAAUGAAAAGAUUGCCCUCUAUAAAGGAGAGUAAUUUUAUUAUUUUAUAAAAAUUUAAAGUAAUAUCGAUAAAUCUAGAAUAUAAUUAAACAAUAAUAAAUGAAAUUAAUUUUUACUUUUUAUUUAUAAGCUAUAGAUAAAAUGAGUAAUUUACAUUUAAUUGCCAUGAUUCAUGUACGAUUAAAUAUUCAAAUAUGUUUUGAUUAUAGUUUCAGUAUUAAGCCUUUAUUUAUUUAUAAAAUAUAAUAUAUAUUUGAAAAAUAUUUUUCUAUGUUUUGAUUAUAGUUUCAUGUAUUAAGCCUUUAUUUAUUUAUAAAAUAUAAUAUAUAUUUGAAAAAUAUUUUUCAUGUGAAAUAAUAUUAUAUUAUGUAAAAUGAGAGUAAUUUUUUAUUUUAUGAAAAUUUAAAGUAAUAUUAAUAAAUCUAGACAUAAACAAUAAUAAAUGAAAUUAAUUUUAUUUUUUUUACACUCUAAUGUAGAAGUGAGUAGUUUUCGGUUCAAAUUGAAAAAAUUGAUCGAAUUAAAUUAAUUCAAAAAUUUAGUGUAGUUUUUUUAUUUUUUUCGAUUUUGUACGAUUUUUAUUUUUAAAAUUUUUUAUUAUUUCAAUUCAAUUUGAUUUUGAUAAAAAAAAAUUAAUAAAAUUAAACUAAACCGAUUAGUGAUAAUAGUAUAUUAAUUUUUUCUAAUAUAGAAAUAUUUUAAUUAAAUUUUAAAAUAUUAAAAAUAAAGUAUUAAAAAUAAAAAAUCUCAUUAAAAGGUCUAAUCAAUUAAGCUAAAUCAAAUCAAAUCGAAUUAUAUCAGUUUAUAUUUAAAUGGUUUCUAUUUAAAAUCGAUUCGAUUUAAUUUUUAUAAAUUCUAAAUUUUUAAUUUUUAACUUUUUCAAUUCGAUUUGAUUUUAAACCGAACUGACGAAAUGUUACCUUACAUGCUAUUGAUAAUAUGAGUAAUUUAAAUUUAAUUUUCAUGAUUCAUAUACAGUUUAAGUAUUAAGUCUAGGGAGCUUUUUGGCCAAGUUUCCCUCUGUGGUACCUCUGUGGAUCGAUGCUCUCGCCUUUUCCUCUUCUUAAAUCUAACUUCUUCUUUUUCUUUCCCCAUUGAAGAUGAUCUGCGUCAAUUGACUAUCGAAGCGGCUCAUCCCGUCAAAGGUCAGGAUAGCCCAAAGCAAUGAUCGUCCUGUGUUGGAACUGCCGAGGACUCGACAAUCCUCGGACAGUAAAUACAUUAAAGGAUUUGGUUACUAGUUACAAGCUGGACAUUUUAUUUUUGAUGGAAACAAAAGUUCUUAGUUCUCGUAUGGAAUUUUUUUGUAGUUUUUUACAUUUUGAUAGUUGCUUCUCAGUUAAUAGACAAGGAUUAGGAGGAGGCCUUUCGUUAAUGUGGAAGAGUCAUGUGUCUGUUUCUGUGAUUGGCUUUUCUUCCAAUUUUAUUGAUUCGAUUGUUUCGCAAGGUAAUAUCCAAUGGAGGUUUACUGGUUAUUAUGGAUUUUCGAAAUCACAACGAUGACGUCAUUCUUGGAACCUUAUUCGAGCUUUAUCUCGUAGAAACUCUCUUCCGUGGCUUUGUUCGGAAGACUUUAAUAAUUUAUGCUCGAGAGAUGAGAAAGAAGGAGCAACUUUACCAAAUUAUCUUAUGCAGGGGUUUAGACAGAUACUUGAGGACAGUAAUCUUAUUCAAAUACCUACUGUUGGCUCUUUCUUCACAUGGGAGAAGCUUGAUAGAGCCCUUGCUACUGAGGACUGGACUCGUAAAUUCACUAAUGUUGUCUGCUCGGUUGUUCAUGUUCCUAGAUCGGAUCACAAACCGUUGGUGAUUAAUACAGCUCAUAAGGAUAAUAGGGGAGAUAGAAGGAGAUUUCGAUUUGAUAAUGCAUGGUUAUGUGAUGAGAGUCUGGCUAAGGUUGUUAAAGGAGUUUGGGUUAAUUCUAUACCACACAACCUUUUGAUGAAACGUGAUGAUUUAGUUUUAGCUCUUUCGUUGUAGAGUAGGAGUAGAAAUAGAGAGUUUUGGCAAAAGAAGAAGACUAUACAGAGAUUAUUGGAUAAUGGGCCCAGUACUGUUUCUCACGCCUCUUUAAAGAAAGAUUGGAAUUGUCUCCUUGAGCAGGAAGAAACUAGACUUAAAUAGCAGACAAAGUGCUUUUGGCUUAAAAAUGGGAACCGAAAUACAAAAUUUUUUCAUGCACAAAUUAAUGAUAGACAGAAUGAACCUUAUUACUAAAUUAAAGGAGUCGUCGGGUACCUGGAUUGAGGAUGAGCAGGAAAUUAAAAAUCAUAUUCUGCAUUAUUUAAAGUCUAUUUUUUAUGGCAGUUCUGUGGAUUGUGAACGGGUUUUUGAGUUGGUGCCGCCAUUGAUUAGUGAUACCGAUAAUACUGAUCUUUGUGCUCCCUUUUCGAAUGAGAAAUUUAGAGCUGCUCUUUUUCAGAUGCAUUCAGAUAAGGCAUCUGGGCCGGAUGGGUUAAAUCCUACAUUUUACUAGAGAUUUUGGCACUUGAUUGGCAAUGAUGUUUUCGAUGGUUGUCGCCUUGGCUUCAACAAGGUACUUUUCCUUCUUCUCUUACUGAAACAUUGAUUGUUUUGAUCCCUAAAGUAGAUAGCCCUGAAACUAUUAAAGACUUUUGUCCAAUUGCGUUAUGGAAUGUGUUAUAUAAGAUUGUGGCUAAAGCUUUGGCGAACAAAUUUAAAAGGGUCCUUCCUAUGAUUAUCUCUGAGAAUCAGUCUGCCUUUAUCCCUCAUCGAUUGAUUACCGAUAAUGUUAUGGUUGCGUUUGAAAUGAUGCACAAUAUGAAAACUAAUAAGGGCAGAAAUGAUGGUAAUUGUGCACUUAAAAUUGAUAUUUCUAAGACUUAUGAUAUGAUAGAGUGGGAGUUUCUAAAAAGCAUGGUGGAACGAUUUGGUUUUUCUACUCAAUGGAUUAGGUGGUUGAUUAUGUGCUUUUCGGAAGUCUCUUACAAUAUCAAUUUUAAUGGUGAUUGGAUUGGUCCUAUUGUGCCUGGUAGAGGUAUUCGACAGGGGGAUCCUAUAUCUCCGUAUCUCUAUUUGGUGUGUGCGGAAGGCUUAUUGUUACUACUUAAAGAUGCUGAAUCUAGGAGCUAGUUGCAGGGCUGUAGGGCAGGUACUAGGGGUGAGCAGUAUUCGGUUCAAAUCGAAAAAAUCGAUCGAACCGAAUUAAUUUAAAAAUUCAGUUCGGUUUUUUAUUCAAUUUGGUUCAGUUCGAUUUUUAAUUUCAGAAAUUUCAGUUAUUUCGGUUCGGUUCGAUUUUGAUCAGAAAAAAAUCGAAAAAACCGAACCGAACAGAUUAGUGAUAAUAAUAUGUUGUUUUCAAUAAUAUAGUGAAAUUAAAUCAUAUUAAAAUUAAAAUAUUUUAAUUAAAUUUUAAAAUACUAAAAAUAAAGUGUAAAAAAUAAAAAAUUUAUUAAAAAUCGAAACCGAUCAAACCGAACUGAAUUGAACUGAAUCAGACCGGUUCGGUUCGAUUCAGUUUCUAACCAAAAUCGAUUCGGUUCAAUUUUCAUAAAUACUAAAAUUUUGGUUUUCGGUUUAUUCGGUUCGGUUUUGAACCGAACCGACCGAAUGCUCACCCUUAGCAGGUACUAGAUGCCCAAAGAUCUCACAUUUAUUUUUUACAGAUGAUUCUCUGCUAUUUUUUAAUGCUAGACUGGAGGAAGUAGAUAGUAUUAAAUCUAUUCUCAAUACCUAUGUGGCUGCUUCUGGACAAGUGAACUUCAACAAAUCUGACAUUUUCUUUAGUCCCAAUGUGGUCUCCUCUGUAAGGUCUAAUAUUAGUAAUAUCCUGGAUGUUCAUUCACCAUUGAGUCAUAGUGCCUAUCUGGGAUUACCUUCUCUUAUUAGGAGGAACAAAAAAGCAAUUUUUAGUUUUCUAAAAGAAAGAAUGUAGAAGAGGAUUAAUUCAUGGAGCAGCAGAUUUCUAUCUAGAGCAUGCAAGGAGAUUCUCAUAAAAUCUGUGUUGCAGGCUAUACCUGCAUAUUGCAUGAAUAUUUUUUGGAUUUCCAUUACUAUUUUGAAGGAAUUGCAUAGAAUGGUCAAUGACUUUUGGUGGGGGGUAAAAGAGAAGGGCGGAGGGGUAUUAAUUGGCUAGCGUGGGAGAAGAUGUGUAGUAGAAAGAAGGAGGGGAGUAUGGGGUUUCGGGACUUUAGAAGUUUUAAUUUGUCUUUACUUGGCAAACAAGUGUGGAAGUUCUUAACAAAUCCUAAUACUCUUUGUUGUAGAGUGUUUAAAGCAAAGUAUUUCCCAAAUGGUAAUUUAUUUUCCGCCAAUGUAAGUAAUGGUGCUAGCUUUGUUUGGAAAAGUGUGAUGACAUCAAGGAAGUUGAUUCGAAGGGGUACAAGGUGGAGUGUGGGUAAUUGAGAGAAGAUUUUAGUGGCUUCAGCUCCCUGGGUUCCUAAGAAGGAUAUCUUUUUUGCUGAUGAUGGCUCCGAUUUUAUUGAACCACAUUUGCGUGUUUGUGAUCUUUUUUAAGGUAAUGAGAGGGUUUGGAACAUUGCUCUUUUAAUAGAGCUUUUUUGUUCAAGAGAUAUCAGGGCUAUUAUUAGUAUUCCUAUUAGUAUUACCAAUAAGGAAGAUUCCUUCUUGUGACAUUUUGAUAAAAGAGGUAUGUAUACGGUAAAGUCUGCAUACUUUGUAUGUAUGGACUUGCUAGGAAGAUCAUCUUUUAAUGUGGGGGGUGAGUUGUAGACUAGUUUGUGGAAUGUUUCUGUCUCUCGAAAAGUGAAAGAUUUCUGUUGGAGAGCUUGUAGAAAUAUAUUGCCUACAAAGGAUAACUUAAGGCAAAAGGGUGUGGAUGUAGAUGCUAGAUGUCCUUCGUGUCAUGAAAAUGAAAGUGUCAAUCAUAUUUUGUUGCAUUGUCCUUUGUCCAAGAAAGUUUGGAGGUUAAGGGGAGUGGAAAAUUUGCAGUCUAAUGAUAAUUUUUUUAAUUUUUUACUGCAGAUCUUGAAAUCUCAAGAUAAGGUUCAAAAAACCUUUGUAAUGGUCUGUGCAUGGAGAUUAUGGUCAGCAAGGAACUCAUUAUUAUGGAACCAGGUGCAAAAUUCAGCAGCUCACCUUGUGGAAGACGUCAUGCAUCAUAUCUCGGAUUAGGAAGUUGCUCAACGUGCUGGUGCUUUACAUGGAAAUACCAUUGCUGCUUUAUAUCGGGGCAGAAACUUGUUUUAUUCUUCCAACCCUGCUCGUGAUCCUAAAGCCAUUCCUCUCUAAAUUCGUGCGUCAUCUCCAAGUUUGGACAAUUUCAGUUGGUUUUGUCAAGUUGAUGGGGUUUUGUUUCAAGUUUAAGAUUUUAUUAGCUACGGUUUUGUUGUGGAAAACUCUGAGGGUAUAUUUCAACGUGGUGUUUCUGGUUUUUCGAAAGGUAAUGGUAUGCCGGUAAUUGUUGAAGUUUUAGCUCUCCAUCAUUGUUUGCUCUUUGCGAUGAAAUUUUUGUCUUUUAAUGGCUGCAUUCUUAUAGACUGUUUGUAGGUGAUUUAAACUCUUCAGUCUCUACAUUUAGACAUUUCUGAAUUGAGUUUGAUUUUGAAUGAUUAUAAAUCUUUGUUAGACUUUAGAACUGAUAUUACUGUUAGAUGGGUUCGUCGUUAUGCCACUCUAACUGCUCAUACUUUGACUAGAGAAUCUAUUAGGUAUGAUCGUCUUUCUUUUGGAAUGAUAUCCCUCUUUGUUUGAUAAAAUUUUAUUAAUAUAAUCGGUAGUUUUUUUUAACAAAAAAAUAUUAAGCCUAGGGCUUUAUUUGUUAGUAAGAAAUAAUACAUAUUUAAAAAAUAUUUUAAUUUAACAUAUUUUAAAAAAAAUAUUUUUCAUAAAAAUAUAUUUAAUAAAAUAAUUUAUUUUUUAUUAUUUAAUUUGUAAUUUUAAAAAUAAAAGAUAAUAAUACAUUUAUGUACAGUAGUAUUAAUAUAAUUCUGAAAAAAAAAUUUUAUUUUUUUAAAAGAAAAUAUCAUUUUCUUUAAAAAUUAUAAAAUUUUUCAUUUGAAAAAAUAAAUUUCCCUUGAUUAAUUUUUCUAAAUAUUUCAAGUUUUAUAAAAUAUAGAAAAUAUUUUUUUAAAAAAAUAUUUUGCAUGAAAUAAAGUUUUAAUCCACUAAUUUUAAAUAAUAUAAAAAUAUAAAUAUAUAUUUAAAGUUAUUUUAGAUCUUAGAUAAAAUCAGUUAUUCCAACUCCAACCUUUGGUGGUGGCACUAAUCAAGUAUAUAAGAAAAAUAGUUUUAAAGGGCUGCUUUUAUUAUAAUCGAGUAAAAUUAUAUAGUUAAAUAUUUAACAGGUGAUAUUGGUCAAUUUUAUAUGAAUUUAUUAUAUUAAUAAUGAAAUUAUAUUUAUUAUGUAUGUAAAAGAGUUGUAUUAAAUAAUUAUUUUAAUAUGUAUGAUUAAAAAUAAAAUGAUCAUAAAAUUAAAAAUUUAUUUUGUAUUCUCACUUUUCAAUUUUUAAAGAAUUUUAAUAAAUUUAAAGUCCAUAUUGUUCAUUGAUAGAGUCUUAGCAUAAGUGUAUCCAUUCAUACGUCUAGGUGGAAAUCACGUUAACCUUAUGCUCUAAUUAGGGGUGUAAACGAAUCGAGCUGAGCCGAGUUUUGAAGAGCUCAAGCUUGGUUCGUUAAAAUUUUUUCGAGCUCGAGCCGAAUUCAAGCUUUACUCAUUUCGAACUCGAGCCGAGUAUUAAGAAGUUCAAGCUUGGCUCGUUUAGCAAACGAGCUUAGACGAGUCGAGUUUUUAUCGAGCUGAGUCGAGCUUUUAUCGAGUUUAGUCUCGAAUAGUUCACGAGUAGUUUAAUUUAUUUACAUGUAUAAUGAGUUUUAGUUUAAAACUAAUAAUUUUAAAACUAAAAUAAUUUUAAUUAAAUAAGUAUAUCUACAAAUUAGCACGUAAGCUUAUAAAGAUGAGUUUUUAAAUCUUAAUGAUCCAAAUAUAUGCAAGUUUAAAAGUGUAAUUAAAGUAUAUAGAGUUUAAUUUUAGAAAAUUUAGAUUUAGCUCAUGAAAGUAUAUGCAGGGUUUGAGUUUAUUUCUCUUAUGAUAGCAAUUUCAGUUUGCUUAAUGAGACUGUUCACGAGUCUAUUCGCGAGCUUGCUCAUGAACUCAGGAACGAGCCGAGUUCACGAGUUUUAACGAGCCGAAUACUAUGGAGCUCAAGUUUUGCUCGUUUACCAAACGAGCCUGAAAAUUAAGCUCGAGCUUGGCUCGUUUAGAAAUCAAGUCGAGCUCGGUCGAACUUUUAUCGAAUCGAACCUCGAAUAGCUCACGAACGAUUUGGUUCAUUUACAACCCUAGUCCUAAUAAACAAUAAACAACUUGUUAUCUUUAUAAGACUUUUAUAUUUUUAUUUUUAUAUAUUUCAUAAUUUUAUAUUGCCCACUACACGAAAUUGAUUGGUAGUUAAAAUCUCUCUCUCAAACAUUUGGAUUGGACCUCAGAUAUAAAUUAUUAAUGGCACCCAUGUGCCCAUUAAAAAAUAAAUUAGGUACAGAUAAACCUGAUUAGCUUUACUGUAAGUUUCAUUAAUUUAAUACUUCAAUAUCUAUUUCUUUAUUUAUUAUUAUUUUUAAAAACCUCAUUGAUGAGAUGAAUAGGACCUUCAAAAUUUAAAAAGCAUUGUUGAUAUUUGUCAGCCGGCUUAGAUUAUUAUUUUUAUAAACAAAUUUUAACAAAUAAAAAAAAACUCUUACUNNNNNNNNNNNNNNNNNNNNNNNNNNNNNNNNNNNNNNNNNNNNNNNNNNNNNNNNNNNNNNNNNNNNNNNNNNNNNNNNNNNNNNNNNNNNNNNNNNNNNNNNNNNNNNNNNNNNNNNNNNNNNNNNNNNNNNNNNNNNNNNNNNNNNNNNNNNNNNNNNNNNNNNNNNNNNNNNNNNNNNNNNNNNNNNNNNNNNNNNNNNNNNNNNNNNNNNNNNNNNNNNNNNNNNNNNNNNNNNNNNNNNNNNNNNNNNNNNNNNNNNNNNNNNNNNNNNNNNNNNNNNNNNNNNNNNNNNNNNNNNNNNNNNNNNNNNNNNNNNNNNNNNNNNNNNNNNNNNNNNNNNNNNNNNNNNNNNNNNNNNNNNNNNNNNNNNNNNNNNCAUGUGAUUUUUUUUUUCUGAACUAAUAAAAGACCACACUGAAAAGAUUUUUUUUUUUUUUUAAAAAAAACAACUCCUCGUUGAAACUUAGAAUAAAGAGAAACUCAUUAAUAAAUUUAUAAUAUGCAUUACACAAAAUGACAUUAACUGGAGGCCAAAAUGACAUUAACUGGAGGCCACAUGCUGCGAAUUCUACGCUCAACGUUAUUUUUUUUAUAAGAAAAAAAACAAAAAAAGGAAAACGACGGUCCUAACGCUAAAGUUACCUACUGUCUUCCUUCAUCCUUCCUAUAUCUAACUCUCUAUCUCUGACCAUUCACAUUCACACCCUAUAGAAACUCUAUUAUAUAUAUACUCGCAACAAACUUAUGGUCGUGGUUGCAUAAGUCUGCAACUUCAUCGCCUCUCGCUUGGGGAUGAAUGGGGCAGAUCGCCGGAUGGAAACUAGAGGUAUUAAUUGUUUUCAGCUGAAACUGUUGUACCAAAUAGUAAUAGUUUCAUGGAGAUUUCAUUUCAUCUAACUAAUUGAGGCAUGUUGUUAUUGAUUGUCACUAAGCACAGAUCAGAAUGAAUCUGGCUCAUCUCCUGAGAAGACUAUUGGGCCAAAGUCAUAUUCAUACGGUGAACUAGCAAGUGUAACUGGUCAUUUCUCGCUCAAUAAUCUAAUUGGUCGAGGUGGUUUUGGUCAUGUUUUCAAGGCAUUAUUAGAUGGUGAGAUUCGUGCUAUCAAGAGACUUGAUUUUCCAGAUGUACAGUCUGAAGGAGGUUUGGAGAGGGAGAUUAUGGUUGUCAAAAGCGUCAGUCACAAAAACCUUGUUGAACUAGUUGGUUACUGCAUUGAUGGAGCCAAUAGAUUGCUUAUUUUAAAGUAUUUUCCAAAUGGGUCCUUGAGAUCUAAAUUACACGG